AUUUAUAAAAUCUUAUCUAUUAGACUUUGAUCUAAUAGUUGAAACUUUAUAUAUAAAUGAGUUUUUUUAUAAUUAAACUGGCAUUUACAUUUUUAUUUUGCUAAAAAUUAAAUAAUAAAAAUAUAUAUUAUAUAUAAUUAUUUAUUUAUAUAUAAAAAUAUAAAUUAAAUAAAUUAUAUAAAUAUAAAAUAUAUGUAUUCGAACUGUUAUCGGGACUUUUUUCAAAAAUAACCCUGUGAAAUUUCGUAAUUGCCAAAAUAAUCCUGUGAAACUUUUAUUUGUAAAACUAACCCUCCUCUCGCCACCUCAACCGCCAGGUCAGCGUUUCUCACAAAGACAGUGAUUCGUUCACCGUCUUUGGGACGCAUCUUGAAGGCGGUGAGUGGUUCACCAUCUUCUCUAGGCGUGGACCAUUUACCGCCUUCUCAGCAAUUCCCCGCGUAUCACCGCCUUCUCAACAAUUCUCCGCGUAGCUUAAGGUGCCUCGAGAAGACGGUGACUCGUUUACCGCCUUAACAAAGGCGGUGAAUCGUUUACCGCCUUAUCUAGGCGUAAACCAUUCACCGCCUUCUCAGCAAAUCCCCCGCCCAACAGUCCGGAUUUGUGGCAUAGAUAAGACGGUGAAUCGUUCACCGUCUUAUCUAAAGACGGUGAGUGGUUCACCGUCUUUAGUGCAAACACCACGCAGUCCAGGACUUAGUCAUUUUUUUCUCCGGGUUCGUGGAUUUGCACUAAAGGCGGUGAACCAUUCACCGCCUUUAGUGCAAACAGCACCAGGUGCUGAUUUAAGCUUGAUUUUAAAAAAAAUUUCAACAAGUUUAACGCAAGUUUUUUCACGAUAACAAAUAUUCGAACAAGAAACACAACAGAUCGAGUGGAAUAACAAGAUACAAUCAACAGAAUAAAAACAUCAAAAAAAAUUUCGAGAAAUAUACAAAUAUGCACUAAAUUAAGUAUUAUAUAAUAUUAUACAAAGUCUAAGUUAUCUAAAUCAAAGAUAUACAAUCAGCCUCUCGAUCGUCCUCUCCCUCGACGUCCUCGGCCACGUCCUCGUGCACGGCCACGUCCACGUCUACGGCCACCCUCUACAACGAGAUCAGCAAUAGGUACGUCAUCAAUUGCCUCGAUAUCGGCCAUCUCAUCGAGAUCCCCAAUCAUAAUGCCCUCGCGAUGCUCCGGUAUCGCCUGAGUCUCCUCGAUAGUAGCUUGUCUAGAUGUUCGGCAGGCCUGUGAUGAAGACGCGGCAUGACGUCGAGAAUAGACAAAUGUAAAGUGCUCGCUAGAGACUGGCGGCGGCAAAAGCAAGUCCAAGUCCAAUGGCCUUAAAGAAAAUCUCUCAGGGGCGGCGGGCAUAUCAGCAACAUCACUAGGAGAUGGAGAUACAGCAGAUGUCUGUGUCUGACGGUGGUGAUGACCCAAUGUCGAUGCAUGUCCAAAAUCUCGACCUCUGAUAUCAGUGGCGACAGGUAUAGUAGGAAUGUACUCCAGUACACUAUCAAGAUCGAUAUCCAUGCACGUCAAUGCCUCCAUCACCGCAUUAUAAGAAGGUCGAUCAUGAACUAGCCUUCUGAUGCUAUACUGUGUCUGUCGUAUAGCGUCCACCUGCAUUAUAGAUAAUAACUCACCUUUGGCAAUCUAUAUUAUACAAAAUAUUAAAAAAAUAAUAAAUGGGCUGAGUGAUCGUACCAAAGCUCUCUCGGUCUGGCCACGAGGCUGGUAAGUCAAUGGUGGACGCUAUACUGGACGAGAAAUCCAUUGUCUCGUGAUCUGUCAGUACCACUCCAUAUAAAUUGAGGUCGUCUGUACCGGAUCAUCACCGACAAUCAGAUGCUGGUCAAUAAUGGCCUGUAAUCUAUCUCCCCAUCUCUCGAUGUGUGCAGCAUGAAAGUGGGCCCAAUCCUCAUCUGGCCACCCCUGAGAAGUGUAGCGCCGGAUGGUCUCCACCGGAAUGGAUAUAUGCUGGAGGAGACCAAACUGCCGUAGGACUCGAUCCGGCACGUGAAGCUCAAAGAUAUAAAAACAAAUCAGUGUCAUCCGAGAUCGCCAUACCUCACUGCCCUGUACACAGAAUGCCGGUAGCGCAUCUAUAAUAGCAUCUGUGUACGGCCGCCAUGUAAUCUGUGAAAAAGCCAAUAAUAGUCAGCUGAAAUAUCAGUUGAAAUAGUCAAAAAAUGGUUGCAUUAAUAUGUACCUGAGUCUCUCUCUGUUGGUCUAACUUAUCUCUGUAGAACUCAAUAUCUGUUGUUCUAACGUUUGCUGCAAAACGUAACCCACCAGCGUUCAUCCAUCUAAUAUUUGAAAAGUAUAUUUGUUAAUUGCAAAUGUGUAUAUAUAUAUAUAGAAAUAUAUUCGGUAUCAAAUUUAUAUGUCAUACCGGCAACCCAUAGGGCAAUCAGCCAUGUCGGCAACAGCUCCAACGCUAGUAGGUCGGCCGACAUGUAGAUGGUCCCAUGCCCAAAUCUGUAAAUAAAUGACAAUAAAUUAAAUUGUUGAACUUAAAUAGGAGAAGCUUUAUAUAAUAAUUAUUAUAUAUUACUCAUAAUACCUGUACUAAUGUCGCGAAGCAACAGCAUUCGACCUUUCCUUUUAAUGCAGCCGAUCCCAAAGCUCGAUAUAGAUAGGCCAGUGCUGCUGCACCCCAGGCUAAAGCGCCACAUGCAUCAAAACCAGCUAUAAGUGGCAGCCACUUAAGAUGAACCCUAUAUCCGGUGGGGUUUGGAAAUAGACUACAGCUAAUCUGAUAUAAUAUAUAUGCACAUGCAGUGGCUGCAACUAAUCCAGCCGGAGCAUCCAAAUGUAGAUGAUGAAACUGCUGGUAUAUCCUGUAAUAUACCGAACUUCUAAUUCAUGAAGUUACGAUGUAUGUUAGCUUAGAAAGCCAUUGGGAUCAUUCCGGCGAAGUUCGGAAGCAUUCGGGUGCUUCGGUGCGCAUAGGGCGCGAAAACGGGACCCGAAAGGCUAUGUUGGACCAUGGACUAAAUCCGGCAUUAGCGUGGAUGANAAUGUGCGAAUCCCUGAAUAGAAGGAGCAAAUAACCAGAAAACACGGCCAAACUGACAUAUUCCCUCUUAUGGCCAUCAAUGAUCAAGCCGCCAAAAAGUUCCAUAAUUAGUACUCUGCAGCAUAGUAAGAUACCGAGGCAAGUCUGUGUAUGACUGCUCCCAGCUCCCGUAAAUAAUCUGUAAUGCUUUGCUCCUUGCCAGCCAUGCCUUCUAAUAACUUAUUUGAACAUGCAAAGUGGAUCGCAUCAUUUCCUGCACUUCUUUUGGCGUCAUAUUUAGUCUUCCCUUCAUUAACGGGAGAAUUACUUGGCAUAUGAGAUUUGAAGUACAAUUACGGUGCGCCGCAUUUAGCAUUGGAAUAACACAAGUGUGUUGACCCGCAUAUGUCUUAACUCUGAAAUAUGUUGCAUCUGUAGGAACCGAAGCGUGUAACCUCCAAGGACAUCCAUCAACUGUGCAUUUCACUGUAUAAGUUGUUUUGGUAGAUUUCAAAACUUUCAUCUGAACAUUGUGAGUAAUAUGCCAUCGAUCUAGUCCCGUCAAUGCUAGGUAGAUCGGAAUUGGUACGUCUAACAUCGAACUCACUCGAAUUCACAACAUACUCUUGUAUCCAAUUGUUAUCUGUAAGAAAUUGCUCCGGAUGGUCAAUGAAAUCAAGCUCUUCGUCAAGAUUGUCUACAUAUUCGUUGUUUACAUGCGGGUCAUCAUUCAAACUGUAAAUAUCAUUCACGAGGCAAUUUAAUCCACCAUCGUGAUCAUCUUCAAUGUCGGCAGCUAGAUCAUUCCAAUCGUCGUCCUCAUGAGUGGGUUCAUCAUCCUGAUUAUCGUCAUUACGAAUGGGUGAAUCAUCCUGAUUACCAUCAUUAUGAAUGGGGGCAUCGUCCUGAUUACCGUCGUUAUCAUCUCCUUCCUCGACUAGAUUAUCAAGAACUUCAUUCCAAUUUGCAUAGGACGUAGAUAGCCUGCAAUAGGUCCCGAAUGUUUACUAGAAGACGUUCAAAUUUCACUUAUUAUUAAUUAAAAAAUAAUCAAUAUUUUCUUUACCCCCAAUCAUAAUUUUCAUUAGGUGUAUGAAAUAUCGUGGAUUCGUCACGUGAAGUCUCGGGCUGCGCACGUGACGUCGAGGGUUGCGCACGUGCGGUGGAGGGUUGCGCACGUGGAGACUGAAUCUGUCUGCAGUAAUUAUUAUUCAAACUUAUCAAAAUAUUUCGUAAUUAAAUAAAAUAUUCACCGCAAUCUAUAGAUCUUACUGACCUUGUCAUCUGAUAAGUGUCUGGUUCAUUACUAACUUCACGGUCACCAAUUGGAGCAGCCGGAAAACCCACAUCGAUAUCAUUAUGUAGCAGGCUUGUGUAAUAACCUUGCGACUGAUAUUGUGUCUCCAACGGAUAUAAAUCUUUCUCGAUGUAUAGCGACACACAUCCAUAAUGUUCAGACAAUCCAAUUAAACCCUCCAAUGAUUCAUCAUCUACUAUAUCAUGAUCAAUAUAUUCAUUCGCUCCCAUAGGGCAUCGAAUUUUGUAUUUAAGACAACAUUCUUCUCUAUUACAAUUUACUAAACGAUACAUUCUCCUCUCAAAAUUCGUAUAGGUCGUAUCUGAACGAAUUGCGAUCAAUCUCUUUCGACCACCGAAAUAUCGGGGACCAUUUCCAUCCAUAACUAACUGUCCAUCCCAAUGAACACUAAGAGACAUCCGACGACUAGCCAUUUUAACUACAAAGGAAAAAGAAUCCUAUUUAUUUCCAACGACUAGCCAUAAACCUCCAAAAGAGGUUUUUAUAGUAGAAUACUAAUUAUUUCCAAUCCCGAAAUCAAAUCAAUUAGUAACCAAAUAAGCUAUUCUAAUUAAUAACCAAAUAACCUCCAAAAGAGGUUUCUAUAGUGCAUUUGUGCAUUUGUGCAUUUCAAAGGCAUAAGGCUUUUACACCUAUGAGAGGGAUGGGCAUAAGGCAAAUACACUAUCUCUAGAUAAUAUUUCAUGGUUAGAGAAGCUUACACAAAAUACAAAGUGCAUUUGUGCCAUUUCAAAGGCAUAAGACACUUACAUUCAAAGUAAAUUUGUGCAUUUGUGCCAUUCAAAGUGAGAUUGUCAUCUAACUAAAGUACAUUUACAGCUAAACAAACUACAUUUACAUUAAACCUAUACUAGAGUAUGCACCUGUGAGAGGGAUGUGCAUUUGUGCAUUUGUGCCAUUCAAAGUGAGAUUGUCAUCUAUGAUCAAGUCCAUUUACAGCUAAACCUACACUAGAGUAUGCACCUGAGAAAGGGAUGGGCAGCGACCACGUCAGGGGCGGCGGCGGUGACGUCGGCGACCGUGGGCGGCGACCUUGGCACGGGCGGCUGCGACAGGGGGAGGCGACUUUGGCACGGGCGGCGACGUCGGCGACAGGGGGCGGCGACCUCGGCACGGGUAGCGGCAACAGGGGGCGGCUCGUAGAGAGAGACAGAGAGAUAGAGAGAGAAUACGUGAGCGGGAAAAGGAAGGGAGAGGUAUCGGGCUCGGUCUGGGGUCGGGUAACCUAAUGAAGACGGUGAACGGUGAACGGUUCACCGUCUUCAUAAGACGGUGAAUCGUUCACCGCGUCAUGAAGACGGUAGACAUACGGUUCAUCGUCUUAUCUAGGAGUCAGGCGCUAAAGACGGUGUUAACCGUGUUUAGUGGAGCCCAGAUGAGACGGUGAACUAUUCACCGUCUUAUUUGUGUUUUAGCCCCCCUCUCGAGGAUUUAGCGAAAUUAGGCUGGGUGGAGUUCUACACUAAAGACAGGGAUUUCCUCAGGCGGCAUAGAUAAGGCGGUAAAUGAAUAACCGCCUUAUCAGAAUGCCCUAGAUAAGGCGGUAAACUAUUCACCGCCUUUGUCAAGGCGGUAAAUGAGUGACCGUCUUCCGUAGGCACCUAGCGCCACGCGGGGAAUUGCUGAGAAGGCCUUGCGCCACGCGGGGAAUUGCUGAGAGGGCGGUGGCCUCAAUAAGACGGUAAACGAUUCACCGCCUUCAUAAGGCGGUAAACGAGUCACCGUCUUCUCGGGGCAGCUUAGGCUACGCGGGGAAUUGCUGAGAAGGCAGUGCCUCGAAAAGGCGGUGAACUAUUCACCGCCUUCAAGAGGUUAGACCUAAGGACGGUGAACGAGUCACCGUCUUUGUAAGAAGUGCUGAUGUGGCGGCUGAGGUGGCGAGAGGAGGGUUAGUUUCACAAAUAAAAGUUUCACAGGGUUAUUUUGGCAAUUACGAAAUUUCACAGGGUUAUUUUCGAAAAAAGUCCCUGUUAUCGAGUCGAACACGAGCGAGCUGACCCCAGCUCGUGUUCGGCUCGUUUAUUAAACGAGCUGAAGAAUGUUCGGCUUGUGUUCGGCUCGUUUACUAAACGAGCGAUUCGAUCUCGAGCUCAUUUCGAGCCGAAUACGAGUUAGCUUGCGAACAGCAAGCUGGAUUGCCACCCUACUCGCGAGAUUCGGAAUUUCUGACGAAAUUAGAGGUGUGGUUUUUAUGUUUUUCUUUCUUUCAACAAAAAGGAUUGAUUAUUGGCACGUGAAAAUUAAAAACUGUGGCAGUGGAAAGUUUUUUUAUAUUUUUUGGGAUAAUUUCAAACAACUCUUUUUAAGCGUAUCAAAUAGCAAAUAUAUUCCUACAAAUCUUUUCUGCUAUUAGUGUAUGUUAGAAAUAUAUAGUUAAUCGUAAGUAAAAUAUUUAACUUUUAUUAGUGAGUAAGUUAAAUUGAUCUUUUUGCCUUUCUAGUAUUAUAAUUUCAUUAACUACCUAAUGGGUCUUAGCCUUAGUUGAAUAGGAAUAAAUGUUCUCACUCUGGAGAAAGCCAGUUUAUGUCCUCUCACGAAGCCAACGAAGAGACGAAGUCAGCGAUUGUAGUCCUCCGGUGACUACUGCACCCUAAGAAACUCUCUUGCGAACCCCUCCCAUGAAGCCCUCUAGCAUUUUUGAAGUAUCAUCAUACUCCUUUUCUUAACAUCAUCUCAAUUUAUUUGAAGUCGCUCUUUCAAAACUUGUUGAUCGUGUCGAACCUCAAUGGUGAAGGAAGAAAGGAAAGUAGGUAGCUACUCCCACCUGCAAUAGAGUAUUAUCGAUUUUUUUGCCAUUUUAGGAUUUGUUUUGAAAUUUAGGAUUCAUGUUUUAUGAAUUUAAGAUUUGUGUUUAUGUCGAAUAGUAUGUACAAGAAGAUUUAAUUUUGUAUUUCUUUACUCUUUAUAUCUAAAAAAAUUUAAUUUAUGAAAGAUUGAUUUUUGUGAUUUACCUUAGUAAGACUAAUAUCUUCAGGAUUUGGUAUCAUUUUAUAGAAUGAUUUAACGUUUUUUUUUUUAUUUUUCAAGUAUCAAGAGUUGAUUUACUCUGUUUGAGAAGCACAUUACUUGAGAUCAUACUGUAAUAUUUUUAUUAGAUAAUUCUACUUAACAUUAUCUAAGAUGAUAACAUUGUUAUUCUGUAUUUAUAAUGGUGUUGUUAGGUAAUUAAUUAUUAUUUCGCUUUCUUCUAUAAUGACAGUUUGACAAUAUGGAUGAAGAUAGUAUUUCUCAAGUGAAGGUUAUUUUAAAACAACCAAAACUGCCUGUUGACGAAGAUAUUGUGAUUGUAAAAAAAAAAUAUUAAUGAUAGAUAUUGAUGUUUACAAUCUCAUCGUAUUUUAUCGAGAUUCAGGAUCACUAUGGAAUUGAGUGUGUUAUGAAAAAUAUCAGGGCAUGCUAUGUAGCAAGAAAUGUUUAAGGCGAAGAGUUUUAUUCAAAUACUCAGAUAGCAGAAAAUGAAUUCAUGGCUAUAUUUUUCAUAUACAAAGAUAUGAAAAAAGUGAAAAUAUUUAUAAUCAUUUAGUUAAAUAUAUAUAAUGAGAGGGAGGUCCACCGUGGACCUCCUUCUAAUCCGGUCCACGAGGCCAAACUGGCCUCGUGGACCGCGCACUCCCGCUGCUCCCCUCCGCGCGCAACACCACGCCAUUUCUCCCCUCCGCGCGCAACACCGCGCCCUCUUACUCCCUGCACGGUCUCGGGCAAGACGGGAUCGUCGCUGCGACCCUCUUGCUCCUGGCACCGGCCAAGGCGGUGGAGGAGGACGGCGACGACGACGAGAGCGGCGACUCGCGGGCCGUUUUUUUUGUGCGAAUGAGGCGAGACUUCUUCGGGGCAGAGGCGGAGGAGCCGGCGCCGAGGUUGGCGGUGGUGGUGAGCUGCUGGCGCUCGCGGUGGCGGGCGACGGGGAGAGGGCGGCACCGGGCUUGAGGGAAAUAAGGCCAAGUUGGGAGAGAAAGAGAGGAUAACUUAAGGAAAUAGUUUAAUAAGGUAGGGGCAAAAUAGGUAUUUUAAUUAGGUUUUAACUCUGGUAUACAUUUAACCCAUGUUUAACUCGAGUUAGUUUAACAAUGGAUAACUGCGGGGGUAUUUUGGAAUAACGGUGGAACAUAUGAGGGGUAUUUUUAGAAAGAAAAAAAAAUAGGGGUAAAUCGGAUAUUUUCAAACGUAUGAGGGGUAUAUAGGCAAUUAUCCCUCUUUAUUAUAGGUGAAAACUUUACAAUGAACAUACAUAUACAUCUGUAAAUAGGUAUAGGAACAAAGUAGCAACACAAGUUUGGGUGUGCAAUAGGGUCUUCAAGUGGUUGCUAUUGGAAGGAGAUUUGUCUAUAAGCGGAUUGGGUAAAAGACUGCAAUAAAAAUAUCAUGUGGACUUGACCUAUUUCAAGGUCUUUGGGGAAAAAAUUGCAAUGUCUGAAAUUCAUGGUGAGUGGGAGGAGUCGUAUAAAAGGUUUUUAUUUCAAGAAAGAAAUUGUUCAGAAAAAUUAUAAUAGUCAUGUGGAGGUAAAGUUGCAAGUUAUUAAUCGAGAAUAUCUUUGCAACGACUUUUAUUGCUUUUAGUGAUUGCAUACAAGGAUUCCAUAUUGGAUUUAGAUGUUAUGUUGCAUUAAAUGGAUGUCAUCUCAAAAGAAUGUAUAGAGGACUGCAUAUAGAAGCUAAAAGUAUUGGCGGAAAUAAAUCAUUUUUUUUUAUUUCUUUUGGUAUUGUCGAGUUGGAGAACCCCAAUAGAUGGGAAUGGUUUUUUCGUGGGUUGAAGACUGCUAAAGGGUAGCCCGAAGGCAUAGUGUUCUCCUUGGAUAAACAAAAAGGUUUAGGUGAGGCCAUUCAAGUUGUGUAUUCAAGAAUUAAAUAUAAAAUGCUUGUGUCAUCUUUAUAGCAACUUCAAAAAAAAAUUUCGUAGUGAUUGUUAUAAAGACUUUGUAGGCAGCAAUAAGAGCAUAUAUGCCGAUUUUUUAUUAAGCUAGCAUCGCUAAGGUGUAUGAAGCUAACCAAAUGGCUAUUGAGCACUUGCGGGAGAACCAUGGCUAUUUGUGGAUUCGAAGUAUAUUUGAGACAACUGUUAAGUGUGAUUAUUGACUAAUAAUAUUUCUGAAUAAUUCAAUGCAACAAUUUUUGACGAUAAGUAUAGACUAUUGAUUCACAUGCUAGACACUAUUCGAUAAAAAAUAAUGGUUAAGAUAGAGAAGAGAAGAAAUAGAGUAAAAAAGUGAGAUCAUAAAAUUGUACCAAUAGUAAUCAAACAUGUAAACAAGAUAAGCAAAGUAUAUUAGUUCAUUGCAUUGAGUUUUGAUUUUAUACUAUCUUGCUUAAGUUAUUUUUUAUUUAAGCUAUCUUGCCUAAGUUAGUUCAUAAGUAAGGUUUGAUUUACUUAUUUUAUAUUAGAUAAGCUAUUUUGUUUAAUUUUCACAGAGUUUUGAUUUUAAGUUACUAAAACGCAUCAUACCGAAAAGUCUAAGAAUUAGAGAAAAAGAAAUAAGAAGAUAAAUGUUGCACUGUUAAAAUAAAAUUUGCAUUAUUUUAUAAAAAAAUUAUAUUGUUUAAUAUGAACGUUGCACUUUUUGAGAUAAAAAUUAUAUUCAUUGAAAUAAAAGAUGCUCUUUUGAUAAAAAUUGCACUAUUUCAGAAAAAAUUGUGCUAUUCUCUAACCCCAAUCGUCUCAUCAUCAUUUUCUUCUUCCUCUUCAUUUGAACCCCUCUUCCCCCUCCCCCUCCCCCUCCCUCUCCCUCUCCCUCUCGAUUCCCAGCCUCACCAAUGCGAGACUCUGUACACCGCACGCUGCAUCGGAGCCCCGAAACAUAGAAACGACCUCAUCGCCUCCAUUUCUCUACCCUCAUUUGGGUCCCUUGCGAAUUCUCCAUCUCUUUCUCCAAAGUCGGCGAAGGUGGAGGUGGAGAUGGAGGGAAGAGGAGGCGGCGCCGCCCUUGUUACUGUCACUAAGGGCUACCGGUGCCGGUGGAGGAGGAAAUGGAGGAAGAGCAGGUGGCGCCGCUUUUGUCACCGUCGCCAAGGGCUGCAGAGGUGGUGGAGGAGGCGAUGAGGGUUGGAGAGAAAAAUAAGAACGAAGAAAAAUAAAAAAGAAGAAGAGCGAGGUAGGUCAUUUUCGUGUUUCGGCACUCCGCUACGGCGGACGGGGUAGAGAGGCUGUAAUAUACUGAAAUUUCGGAUUACAAUGCUAACUUUGAUCUGGGAGAUCGAAGAGAAGUUUGAAUUGGAUGUGUAUCGUUCCCUAGUAAUUCUGGAGGUGUGGAAAUAAUUUUGGAAAGUAAUUGAAUGUUUCGGUGCAAAUUGAAUGCGAAAUGAACUCGAAAGAGAGUUUUUGGAUUGCGAUGUUAAUUUUGAUUGGAUGGAUCAAAUUGAAGCAUAUGGAUAAUUUGUGACAUCCCCUAGUCAUUUUGGAGAUGUAGGGAUGGUUAGUAGUGGUGUUUAGAAUACCAUAUAUCGAAUCUCCGAAGGCGAAGCUAACUUUGAUCAAAGUGAUCAAGGUAACGCAAGAAUGUAAAUUGGUUGUUCCCCGAGUUAAAUUGGUGAGUUGGGGAUGGCUAAUAGUGUAAAUUAGAUGUGUUUAGAGGUGUUAGAAUGAAGUGGACGCUCGAAAUGACCCUGGAUUGAUGCUGCUACUGCUGCCAAGUGCAGAUUUUGCACUAAAACGGCUGCAGGGACCAAUCUGUAAAAAUAGAAUUUCAGCAUUGGGUGAGGGCUUAAGAGUAAUUCCUGCUGAGUGCUGCUGCUACUGUUGAGUGCUGCUGCUGCUGCCGAGAGCUACUGCUGCUACUGCUGCUGCUGUCAAGUGCAGAAGAGAAACCGUAGGGACUGUUUUGUAACAACUGUAGGGACUGUUUUAUAACAGCUGUAGGGACUGUUUUGUAAAAAUAGCAAAUUCUGCUUUAUGGGGAGAUUUAGUUGCAAUUGGCUGAUCUUAUCUAAACUCCAGCACACCCCCAGCUGCAUACGUAUGCAGGGCAACCUCCUCUCCAUCUCUUUUCAUUUUCUUUCUUAUUCUCUCUCUCUCUCUCUAAACCGUAUGUGGUAGGAUUUGAGGGAGAGUGGUGGAGUUGAUGUUGGAGCUGUGAGAAGGUUUUGGAGCUGGGUUAUUAUGGUGGAGAGGGAACCCGAGGUGAGUUGGUGAUAUCUCUUUGAUAAGGUUUGCUCUAAUUACUCUAAGAGAGGGUUUAGCUUAGGUUUCUUGGAUACUAGAGUUGGUUUUUGACAUAGAAUCCUAGAAAAGCUAUAUGUGCUACAUGUGAAAUUGGGUAAUUGAGAGGCAACCUGUUGGAACUCGAAAACCAAAGGUGAGAUGGUGUUUGCUGUGAUAAGGUGGUUCUAAUUACCUUAAAAUGGAUUUGGCUUGGAUUUUUUACCUUCUAGAGUUUAAGUUAUCAUGAAAAAACCUAUGAUCAGCUAUAGGUGGAAUAGUAUGCAUGGGAGUUGUUUGUUAAAAAAUGAAGCCUUAGGCAAGGUUUGUAUAUCUCUGGUUUGAGUGGAGUUAUCUACUCUAAGAAGAUUUGAGCAACAGGAUUCUUGGAUUCUAAUGUUUGUAGACGCUAGAAAACUUAGAGAAAGCCAUAUGUUGAGUUGAAUAUCAUGUGAACUUGGGUUAGUAUGAAACCUGUAGGAAUAUGUAUAUGGCAGGAGUUAAUCUCUUUUAUUCUUCAAUUGCUUGGUUUAGUGGUUAUUGGGCUGUUAUCUUGUUAGGUUUUAUUGUGUUUAAUCUAAAGGAGAUUGAACUUUAGAAUUCUUGCUGUUGGAGCAUAUAUAACUGAUUUUGCCAUGAUAAACCUGAGGAAAAGCUAUGUAAUCCAAAAAACUAUACUAUGGCAGCUGAGAACCAAGAUAAAUUAUCUUGUAAUCUCAGAUUAGAAAUUGAUGUAAAUCCUCUAAACUAAUUAGUUUAGAGAUUCUUGGGUUAGUAAAGAAAUUGAAUUACUUUUAUGUAUUUUUAUAGAAUUUGUAUAAUAACAAGCUAUGUAGAACUAAAACUCGAAAAUGCUAUUUUGUAGGAUUGAAGGUCUAGCUUGGAAUUGAUCGCGUGAAAACCUAAUUAAGGGUAAAACCGACGCGUUAGAAAACUUGGAUCGGCAUUCCGAUGAGCUUACGACAAGCUAAUGAGGAAAAACCUCAUUUUAGCUUCGUUUGUUGCGAGCGAAGGUUGUGAUCGUUCAUAAAUCGCAGGAAGUGAUUUUCUCACAUCUCGUCAUCAUUUAAAGGUGGGUGGUGCUUUCCGAAGUCAUCGAAUGACCUAUUAUAUUUAUGUCACUUUUCUUGAGUAUACAUGGAUUGUAUAUGUUUAAUUAAUAUUCAUGCAUUAUAGGGUUGAGCUUGAUAUGUGAUUAGAUUGACAUGUGGUCUAUUUGUAUGCUUUGAAAGCAAAGUACAGUUGGACAAUGACUAGUAAAUAUAGAACCCUAUAGAUGUAUGAACUUGUAUUGGACUAUUAAAUAGUGACAAAGUGACAUUGUGAAUUAGAUUGCAUGAAUAGCACCCAGCAUUGUGAAUGUCAAACAAGAAAAAUGAACUUGUAAAAUGUGUGAUAUUAGAACUAUAUGAAUUGAUUAGCAUCUAGAGUUGGAUAUGUAAACCUAGCAUAAAGAGCUAGUUAAAGUGUGGCAUUGUCAGUGUAUCAUCGAAGACGAGUUUUGGAUCAUACUCACAAGUAGUCUAAUGCUCGAGGUAAAGGUCGCUCCUCCUUGGGCGAUGAGUUCCGGAGUGGUCAUCAACUGGGUGGGAAGCAGGUAUGGGCUCCCCAGUAGACGGUCCCGUCGGGCGAAAGGGAAAGUUUCCCCGAUAAAAAGGGAUUUAAUUAGUGAGUUGCAGUUAAUUAUGGGGUUAACUGGAUUAAUUGGGUAAUGGUAUAUGAUAGCAUGCAUGCAUAAACUCCAUGAGUUAUAUAUUAUUCUUUUCAGCUUUGUACAGGUAUUGUAGUAGUUACAUGAUAUAGUUGGUUACUAUCUAUUCUCGUUCUUGCCUACAUAUGCCUGAGUAAACCUAGUGGGUGAGUCGGCGAGGUCGGCAGCCAAACCCACUGGAAACUUUCAGUAGUUCUCACCCCACUAAUCAUGCAGGUUCUAGCUCGUGCGGGGUGGUUGAGGAUUGUGAUCUGGACAGCGCUCCAUAGAUAGCAGACAUCCAUUGAGUAUAGUGGUAUUUUGUAUAUUUCAUCUGUUUAUAGUUGAUGAAAGAAAAUAUAAAUUAUUCAUUUCAGAGAUGGCAAUGUCAAUUUAAAGAAUGUAUGUAACCAAUGGUAAGCUUUGUAUUUGAUUUAAAGUAAUCAAGGUAUAAUGUAUGAAUGGUUUAGUUAGUUUACUUUCACUUCUUGUGUUGCUUGUCUCGUGCAAGCUAUGUAUACUGGAAGUUUUUCUGGGCAUUUUUUUAUACAUGUUUGAUUAUUGUUGUUGAGCCUUGGGCGAACAGAAGAGGUUCUGUUCGUUCGGCGUCUGUGUGCGGGCCCGAACCGACCAAAUUGGUGGUCACGUGGCGUGACAGAGGCUCACGUUGGUGAGGAUGGGGGUCAGAGGGGGAGGAGAAGGGGAGGAAAGGGUCAAGGGAAGAGGAAGAAGAAGAAGAAGAAGAUGCGGCGAUAAGGAUCGGGGAAUAGUGCAAUUUUUUCUGAAACAGUAUAAUUUUUUUUUGAAAGAGUGUAAUUUUAUUUCAAAGAAUGUAAUAUUUCAUCUCAAAUAGUGCAACAUUCAUGUUAAACAGUGCAAUUUUCUUACAAAAUAGUAUAAUUUUAUUUUAACAGUGUAACCUUCAUCUUUUUCUUUUCUUUUUUUUUUUUUNAUAUUAAACAAUAUAAUUUUUUUAUAAAAUAAUGCAAAUUUUAUUUUAACAGUGCAACAUUUAUCUUCUUAUUUCUUUUUCUUUAAUUCUUAGACUUUUCGGUAGCAGCAAUGAUAUAUAAUGGUCUUUUAAAGAGAAAUUUUUUUCUUUAUUUUUUUUACUUUUUAUUCUUUUUUUUUCUACCAUCUGCAUCUUUGUUCACUCCUUAGAGAUGGGCGCGUCUUUUUUCCUCACUCUCACAUGAGGCAAGCACGUCCUUGACAAUGACUUCAUCGCCUUCGUACGCUCUGCCCUCACCUAGGUUUGCUUCAAGUUCUCUUUCUCCUUCUCUAGCACCGGCGGAGGUGGAAGCGGGGGAGGCUGCGCUGCCCUUGUUAUCGUCGCCGAGGGCCGCCGGUGCUGGCGAAGGAGGAGAUGGAGGAAAAGGUUGUGGCGCCGCCCUCGUUACCAUCGCCGAGGGUUGUGGAGGCAGUGGAAGAGGUAAGAUAAGGGUCGGAGAGAAAAAAAGAACGAAGGAAAAAAAAAAAAAGAGAGAGAGAGAGGAAUAAGAAUAUUUUGAUCAGUUUGUUGAAAAUCCGGCUCGAAUCUGCAAAAUCGAAAAAGACGGCCCCAAUUUUGUAAAAGCUCAAAACUCUUGAAUUUUUUAUGCAAAUUGGCCAUGGUUAUUCUAUUACCAAAUGCAGUCAAAAACGUUACAUGGAUAAAUGUGCAAUUUUAUUACUUACAGGGAUACACAUGCAAUUAACUUUUCUUUUUUUUAAAAAAAAAAAUAAUACGGGUCGGGUGGGCGAAGAAGCAACGCAGCCCGUAUCCGCCGGCUGCCAUCCCUCGCGAGCGGAGUGCGGGGACGAGUGCUGCCGUGCAGGGUUUGCAGCAGAAGAGCCGCUGCAGGAAGACCGCAAAUGCAAUCCUCCUUCCUACUUCCGCGGCCGAGCUCCUCCGACGGCUGCGGCGGCGGCCUCUUCCUCCCCUCCAGACGGCCCAUCAUCUCCUCACUCGGCCGGUGGCCCUGGCCCGACAUCCGCGGCGAGCUCGACCACUACGCCGUCCUCGGCCUCUCCCGCACCGCCUCCGCCGCGGAGAUCAAGCGCGCCUACCGCCUCCUCGCUAGAAAGGUCCCACCUUUCUCUCCUCCUAAUUUUUUUAAUCAAUCUUUAUUUGCUCUGCUGUAGAAAGGUUCUGUAAAGAUGAAACCCAAGCACGAGCAAAUUAGGCUUCGAUGAUGAUUAUUAAUAGUUGUUGAUUUAAGCGCGAACGAUCCUACAAGUCGGUGGUUUGGUAUUGCAAUGUCGUGAAAAUAGUGGAGGUCCAGCUGAUCAACAAGAUGAUUUGCCGAUCGGCGUAAAAGAAAUGAUUUGCGAGUAAUUGAAUAAUUGUAUUAGCGUUGUAUUAGGGCAUGAUAGGAGUGAAUCUGCAAGAUGCAUUGUGUAUUACUUUGAGAGGCUGCUGAGGAUUCUAAAAGAUGCAUUCUCAAUCAACUAUGAAACCAUGGGCGCUCUGCGAUUGUCGUUGUGUUUCGUGCUCUGGUCAUGUCGAAUGCAAUUCUUCUACUGACUUUCAUGGAAACACAUCCAUUGGUUGUUCAGACUGGCACUCGUGGAAAUUUCACCUUGGGACACAUGAUGGAUGCGAUUAGCCUGCAAGAACUACAAAAUACUUGUAAUCGAAAUAUCAAAAUCCAUGGGAGGACCGACUUCUAAAAGUUUGCGUAGUUUAAAGACAAUCAAACCGUGGGAUACAAGUUGAACGCAAUUAGUUUCACUUGUUAUGCCGCUUGAGCCGCUAGAAUCGUCAUAGUGAUUACUCUUUUCUUAAUAGUCCUAAAUGGAGUAAGUAGGGAGACAGACGGCGGGCGGGCUAAGCUGUAUUCAAAUGGAAAUUUGGUGUGAGUUGUAUACAGUGGUAAGAAAGUAAUAGCUGAGGACCUUGAUGUAUAAGAAAGAAUCCAGAGAGAGUGGAGUAAGUUAAGUCGGUUAGCUAACUUGCCGCCAGCCGAGCUAUGUAGUUUACUCUGUUAUUGGGUGGGCAGCAUUGUAUAAACAUGGAGCUUGUCAGCCAAUGCUUUCUUCUACUACUCCUCUUCUUCUACUACUACUCUCUGUUUAUCUUCUGAAUUCCCUAGUUGCAAUGAGGAUGUGAUGGCUUAUGCUUUCAAUUGUUUUUCUUUUCCCCUUUAUCUUCUUAAUUCCCUAGUUGAGUCAACCACAACUCAUCUGAUUGGGCUUUAUCUUGUCCCUACUUUUCUUCUUAAUGCCCUUGUUGAGCGGAGCACAACUCAUCUGAUUUAGCUUUAAUUUUUAGAUUGUUGAGUUGAAUCUUGUUUGCUCCAAGACCAUCACAGAAUCUUGUUGGGUACUCCUCCGCCGAAAAGUCCUACUAGCAUUUACUAUUGAUGGUGGGCUGGAAGUCCAUUCUUCAUCGGAGCAAUAUGAUGAUUAUUAAUCAAUCUUCUUCUUCUUCUUCUUCUUCUUCUUCUUCUUAUUUCCCUAGUUGAGUUGAGCGCAACUCAUUUGAUUUAGCUUUAAUUUUAAUAUUGUUGAGUUGAAUCGUAGUUGAUUCAAGACCAUUAUAGGUUAUCUUUGGAUGCUUCUCCCUCAGAAGGUCCUAUUAUCAUUUACUGCUGACAGUGGGCUUGAAGUCCUUUGACUAUCAAAGAUGUGACGAAUAUUAAAUCUUCAAGUUGGAGUGCUUACAUAUUUAGGAGCUCUCAUAAUCCCAUGUCUUGCCUAACUAAGUCUAAACCAGAUUAGAGAUUUUAAAGGAUUUAAAUUAUCUUUUACCAAACUAUUUAAUGCUGCAUCGUGUUGAUGGGACCCUUCCUUGAUAAUAUUACCUUUAUGUUUUAACUUUUAACCAUGCAAGAUGCGUUUCUUUUGCCAUAUUUGCUAUUGUUAGGUAAAGAAGACUAUUAAAACCUUGUAGCUUAAGUGUUGCUUGGAUAGGAGAAGAUAUUGGUUGAUUACUUUGGCUAUUAGCCUGACCUACUAGAGAAAUAGAAAGGGAUGGGAAGAAGUACGAUAUAGGGGCGGGAGGAUCUAGGAUUCUUCAUAGGGAGCAUAAUAUGUGUUAAAGAAGUAUCUAAGCCAACAUAUUAUGGAUCACAAUCUCCCAAAAAAAAAAAAAAUCAAAUAUAAAGCUUCUUGAUAAAAGUGCAUUAGCUAAUAACAAAAUAUCAACUAAGUACACAAUUUUAUAGAAUUUAGCAAUUAUGAUUGUCCUCAAUCAGUCUUCAUAAUAUGAAAGCACUGCAUUAUUGCUUUGUUGAUGAUGUCGUGAAACACUUCUUUUACAAUGUAGGUCAUCAACAAUUGUUCAUCCAUCGAUCCAGUGGCGGAUCUAGAAUUUUUUCUAGUGGGAUUGAAUAUAUAACGGAGAAAAAAUAUACAAAAAUAAAAGAAAAAAGUGAACUUGUCAUUAAUAUUGCAUUAAAAAAAAACCUUGUCCUUGACAUGUCUUCAUAUUCUGAAAAUGAUACAUGAUAACCUCAUCAGAAACACCGUCAAAUACAUCCUUCUCUAUAUUAAUCACCAAAAUUAAUUAUACAUAAAUUAGUUUCUUACUAAUCACAUGAAAUUAAUCAUGUGCCAGUGGCCAACAAAAAUAUAAAAAAUAAAUCAAUAAUAAUUAUUCACAAACAACAACAUUAAUCAAGUAGAAGUAAAUAAAAACUACUAAUAUACCUAUCAUAUUUUUUAUAUCAUAACAAUAUAAAAACAACUACUAUUUAUUUCAGAAAAAAAGAAUAAAUUCAUAAUUAAAGAAAAACAAAUAAAGAUCCAUACACAUACCUUAUAUUUUGCAACCCAAUUAAAAAUUGGAAGAAAAAAAAAUUUACUAGCACCAAAGUAGGAUUGGAUUUGGCCUUUGAAAUAUUAAUCAAUAUUUUAAUUAGAUUAAUAUGAUUGAGAAAAGUUAAGGAGAGAUUAUGUGGGGUAAAAGAGGCUAGAAUUUUUUGUAUUAAACAAAUCAUUUUUAGCCCUCUGCCGCUGCGAAGAAAAGAAACAAAGAGUUAGCAGGUCCAAUUUCAUCGGACCUGCAAUGGGUGCUUUUUCUUUUUCCUAAUAUGUACGGUUUUUAAUUUUGUCUGACCCCACUUGGGGUGAACUUGGAUCCCAAAGUGGGAUCAAUUGUGCAAGCAUGGCCUUAAUGACCUUUCUUGCACUAUCCUUAGUAGGGUCAAUAUAGGGUAUAUUGCAUCCGCCAAUGCAUCGAUCUCAUAUUUGAUUUUGUAGUUGAUUCUUUUUGAUUUUCACGGUGAAAAAAAGCUCUUUCAAUACUACCCGUUGAAACCGGCAAAGUUAAUGUGAACUUGAUCAACUUGUAAACGAUAAUAGCAUUUGAUUGGGAACAAAAUUUUGGAAUAACUUUUUUUUUUUGUGUUUCCGGGAACAAGUGAUGCCCUAGAACAAGCUAGAACAAGCGUAAUUAUGUGUUUGGAUCAAUGUUUCAAAAAACGGUAUGUGGGAUCUAUGUAGUUACCUAUCGCAUAGUGUAUAUGCAGUAUGUGGGCGCAUAUGGGGACGCAUAUGUAGUCCAAUUAUUAAAAUAUUUUAAAAAUAUUUAAAGCAUUAAAAAUAUUUAUUAAUACUUCGUAACAAAGCUAAAUAACUAAGGUAACAAUUUAGAAUUUACCAAUUGAAAUUGUCAAUUUUAAGUAAAGAGCCUCUCAUGUGCAGAUGUAUCAAUAAACUAAUAGUUAGUAAUUUACUCUUAAAUAUCAAAUAGAGAAAUAAAUAGGAUUUAGAUGCAUAAUCUUAAAAAAUGUCAAAAAUAUUAAUAUUCUAAAAGCUAUAUGCUAAACUUUUAUGAAGAAUAAUAAUUUUUUCAAUAAGUUAUCAUUCAAAUGAUUUGACAUGCCGACACUUAAAAAAAAGGCCAAUUGUUUAUAUACCUCUGAAAUAUUCCCGACUUUUUGAUUUACCCCUCUUAGAAGGCUAAUAUUGAAAAUAUUUUGUUUACAUUCCAACCUAUUUCCAAUAUACCCCUAGAGUUAAAUUCUGUUAAUGAAUUAUUAGCAAUAGUUGUUAUCUCUAUGAAAUUACUAUUUUGCCCUUUCAAAUAUAUCCUUCUACCAUCACCAAAUUUUCUUAUUUAUCCUUAAGUUAGGGGCACAAAAAGUAUUUUGAUUUUUGGUCUUUUCAAACAUACCCUUCUACCAUCACCAAAAUUUCUUAUUUACCCCUAAGUUAAGGGCAAAAGAGGCAUUUUAAUUUCCCAAAAAAAAAUCUGGUAUAAUAACAUCUAGUUGUAAUUAUUAAACACAUUAGGAAUACUAUCUAUUAAAAUAAAAAAGAGAUACUUAAGUUAUAUUUAUAUAAAGAUAAUUGCAUUUAUAUGCAUUAUUGUUAAUUAAACUUGUUUGAAAGUAGUCAGAUAUAUAUAUAUAUAUAUAUAUAGAAUUGAGCUAUAAUACUUUUAGAAGCACCACCUCUUUGGUGCUUCUAAGUUUUUAGCCCUUGGAUCUACUUCUUGAUUAUUAAUAGCCUUUUGAUCAAAAACUAUUCUACCUACCACCACCUUCCACCAUCAUCCCAACCCUACAUUUCUUCAUCUAGAGGCUAAAAACUCAAAAGCACCACCUCUUUGGUGCUUUUGGAAGUAUUCUAGCUCAACCCGUAUAGUUAUAUAUAUAUAUAUAUAUAUAAUAUAUAUAUAGAGUGCGGCUAGGAUACUUAUGGAAGCACGGAGGGCUCCGUGCUUCCACUUUGGUUUUCGAAUGUUCGGACUUUCGAUUGACGAUGGCUCCGUUAGACUUGAUCUAGAGUAUUUGAAGUAAUCUAGAAAAAUAAAAUUUUGCGAUUUUUCGAUAUCAUUUGCCUAGCUGAUCGAAGUGGCUCAAAAUCAACGUGGAAAAUAAAAAUUAUACAAAAUAUGAUGGAUAAUGACAUUAAAAAAUUUAGAUCAAAGCUUAUUGAUCUUGUUUUAUAUGCUAUAAAGAAUUCUUCUAUCAAAAUUUCAUUAGUAUUGAUAUUUUUCACACUGUGUUAAACUUGCCAAUCGGCUCACUACAGGCCAUUAAAAUUAGUGAUUUGAGCCCCUUCGAUCGCUAGGCAAGAUGAUAUCAAAAUCACAAAUUUAUUUCUAGGACUUCAAAUACUUCCUUAGAUCAACUCAAACGAGGCCGAUCGCGGAUUCGAAAGUCCGAACAUCGAAAACAAACUUGAAAGCAACGGAGAGCCUCCAGUGCUUCCAGAAGCAUAUACCACGCGCACCAACUAUUAUAUAAUAAUAUAUAUAUAUAUAUAGAGCUAGGCUGGUAUACUAUCGGUAGCACAGAGGCCUCCGUGCUACCAACUUGUUUUCAAUGCCGCGGCUUCCAAAUCGACGAUCGGCUCCGUUAGACUUGAUCUACAUUAUUGAAAGUAUUUGGAAACCAAAUUUCAUAAUUUUUUGGCAUCAUUUACCUAUCAAACGAGUAAUCUAAAAAUGAACGGCUGAAAAUAAAAAUNAUUUCAUAAAAAAUGAUGAUUAAAGACUUGAAUUUAAGAUCAGAGGUACUGAUCUUACUCUAAAUAGUAAAAAGAAUUUUUUAUAAAAAUUUAAUUAGAUUUGGAGUGUAGAUCAAGUCUAACGGAGCUGAUAGCCAAUUUGGAAGCUACAUCAUUGAAAACAACUUGGUACUACGGAGGCCUACGUACUAUCGAUAAUAUACCAGGCUAGCUCUCUCUCUAUAUAUAUAGGGCAGUUCUACUGUGGUAUUAGGAGCACAGUAGCCCUUGAGCUCCAAACUUUCUAACCAUCCAUCAAUUUUGAUAGAUGGUUUGAAUUAGAGAGAGAAGAAAAAUUGGGAAGAAAUUGGGUGUCUCAAUUUCUCUUCAUUUUGAAUUUCUCUCCAAUUUCUCUUUUCUCUCUCAUCCUAACCACCCAUCAAUUUUGAUGGGUGGUUAGGAAGUUAGUAGCACAAAAGCUGUUGUGCUCCUAAUAGCACAGUAGCCCUCUCUCUCUCUCUCUCUCUUUAUCUCUUUCUCUCUCUCUCUCUCUCUCUCUCUCUCUCUCUCUGGCCCUCACCCAGUCAGGCAGUCACCCUAGCUCACAUUUCUUGCAAUUUUUGUAUUUUGAACUAUUGGACAUAUUGCAUCAAAUUAUAGGUAAUGUUUUAUAAAAAUUAAACCAUUGAUUAUAUAAUGUCGAAAAUUUCAAUCGGCUCGUUUAGAGCUCGAGCUCGGCUCGACUCGAAAUUAGGCUCGCUCGAGCUCGGCUCGAAUUAAUUUCAAGCCGAGCUUGAGCCUAGAUUUAGGCUCGAAAUUAAUUUCAAGCCGAAUUUGAGCUGACAUAGGCUCGCUCGAGCUCGGCUCGUUUCCACCCCUACUAGUGUGCCCCAUAUUCGGGCCAGGCCGAGACGGUAAGAGUGCCACAAUAUCCGUGCCGUGCCUUGGCCCAGGCUAUAGUCGUGCCUGGCCACGCGGUCCAUUCCUACCAAUAGUUUAGCACAAUUUUUUGUUCCUAACUGUUGUUCAUAAUAUUACACAUUACUGUUUUGUAAUUUUAUUUUUGUUUCACUAUAAAGAUUAAUUUAUUAUUAACGAGGAUAGCACUGCAAACCACAUGACAAUAUAUAUAAUAUUUCAUCUCAUUUUAUCGCCAAGCGUAAUAUACUUUCUCGCACUCCAAACGAAGCCUUUAAUAUAUUAAGGUAUAAGAAAUUUAAAAAUGCAUGCAAGAUAUUUAAAUAUUUAAACAGGUUUUAAGGGGUUUAAUUUGUAUCUUCAGAAAUUUUUUUAAAAAAUAGUUAUCUGACUGAAAAGCAUUCAUUGUUCUAUAGGUUUCCACAAAAAAUAGUUUUUUUAAUUUUUUUUUAAAAUUCUAUGAAAGUAUCUCCUUUUCAUGUUUUAAAAUUUUUAUUCAAAAAAUAAAAAUUAUAAAAAAUAUGAUUUUAAGAAAAAACCCUUUUUUGAAAAAUAAAUUUUUACCUAUUUUGAGGAACCAAACACCCCACCAGGGCUAUCAGCGAGCCAAAUAUGAGUGAGCUGGGGCUUGGCCGUGUUCGUUUGUUUAUUUAAUGAGCCAAACGCGAGCCAGCUCAUUAAAUAUUGAGCUGAAAAUCAGCUUGUGUUCGACUUGUUUAUAAACGAGCCGAACACGAGUUGGCUCGCGAACAGUAAGUUAAAUUGUCAGCCUUAAUUACCACCGGACCACAAGUUGAAAGAAAAUUAGCAAAUUGGAAUCUUAAUCUAACAAUUAAAAUUUACAAAAUAUAGGUCCCUUUUUAUAUUUGAGUUGACCUAGAAUCUAAACACUAAUGUACAUAGAGAGAAUUCAGCUAGAAUACUAUUAAUACUAUAUGAAUAGUAGUUAACUAUCCACUUUUCUACCCUUGAAUGAUUACUAUUCUAUCAACACUACAGGAAAUUAGUUAAAAGGCGACAUUUAUUUAGCGGCUUUUUGAUAUGGGCCGGCCCAAAAUAUUAGUCCAAACUAUAUAUCUCCCUUUUCUCUUCCUGGGCCUAGCCCAUAAUUAAUUACCCAUCUCUUUCUCUUUCUCUUUCUCUCUCUCCCUCUCUUCCUCCCCUUCGCACAGACCCAAAUGGCUACCUACCCCAUCGCCCUCUUUCCCACUCCGUUUCCUCCAACCCCAUUGCCCACUCUCCCACUCCGUCUCCUCCGACUCAUCCUUUUCUAGGGUUUCCUCUUCUCCACCAUUUUCUAGGGUUUCUGACUCACCCGCGUCCUCUCGACCUCGCACGCGAUCGCCGCAUUGGGAGGGAUCAUUCGUCGACCUUCGUGAUCCCUCUUUGCUACUUCUUUUUUGGUAAGUUGAGCCGUAAUUGUCCCAUAGGUUUUUUGGUAAAGAAUUUGGUUGUGAUUCGAGUGCUUAGUGCCAUGAAUUGUUGUGUGAUUAUAUUCUUCUUUGUUUUUGUGUUGAAAGUUGGUGGAUUGUAAUGUUGUUGGAUCGUGUGGAUUUUAUGAAGAUUUUUUUAAAAUUUUUUUGGUCCUUUGAUUAAGCCAAUGCUCCUGUUAGGUGUAAUUGAAGGCGUCCAUAAAUUUUUUCUCAAUUUUGGUGUUUUGGUGCUUUUUUGGUGUAGUUCGGGGUUCCUUCUCGUAAUCGCUUUGAAUUGGUUCUUCAUUAUGUAGUUUAGGAUCUUCUUUGUUUGUUAGAGUUUUUAAUUUGAGGAAUUUGGUUUGAUUUGGUUGCUAAAUGAUAUAUUGAUGUUUUUUUGAGUUUGUAACUUAGACUUCUAAAUUGAAUCAUUAUGUGACUCUGUUCCUUUGUGUUGUCAUGGCGAAAGACUUGCUGGAUCACGAAUUAUUAUGUUGUUGCUUUGUUUGGUGGAUCACAAAUUAUUAUGUAAUUGUGGUGCAUUCUCAAAUUUCUGCUUGAAUUAUGCUAUUUUUGGUGCUUUUUUUGAUGUAGUUUGUGAUGAUGUCGGAAUCAAUAUAUGAACAUAUGUAAAGCAUUAUAAUUAGUACUUUGUCUAAUUUUCUAAGAAUAUAGUUUCAGAUACCCAUUCCAAUUAGGGAAGUAUGGUAUUCUUGCAUUAGGGCCGAUGAGAGAAUGCUUCGAGCGUUGGUUUUGUCUUAUGCCUUCUCAGAUUUGAGUUUGAAACAAGAUUGUCUUUAUAAUAGCAGUUGUUUCUUUGAUGCAAAAUCUGAGGCCUCCUUUAAGUACUAUUAUUUUUUUUUUAAAAAAAUAAAAAUUAACAUGAUUUGUGUGCCUUUGGAUGGGCUCCUAUGCUGCCAUUAUCAUUGUCGGCUGUUAGCAUUCUCAAUAUACCAAAAAUGGAAAAGAAAAAAAAGAGGAAAGACCAAAAAUGCUUGGUUCAUACAGUUGUAGCCAAUUGCUGUUAACCAAGCCACUGCAAAUGUAUGUAUUCAUCUUUUAUCCUCGAACUACAUAACUUGCACGGUUAUAAAGCAAGACGCCUGCUUCUGUGCACACAGCCUGCGAACAAAUAUUUAAAUUUAAUUUGUUCCCCAACAAUACAACACAUAAGAAAUUUUGAUUUGAGCUUAAUAUGAUUAAAUAAUAAAAAUGAAAAGAGUAUAUAUAUAUAUAUAUAUAUAUAUAUAUAUAUAUAUAUAUAUAGGUGUGUGUGUGGGGUGUGUGUGUGUGUGUGUGUGUGUGUGUGUGAAGUAUAUGUAAUGAUUUUUUUUUCAUAAAAGUAUAUGCAUGUUUUCAUAGAAGGAUUAUCUACUAUGAAAUCCUGCUAAAACCAUUUCAGCCAAAAUGUCUAAUGUUUUAUCUUCAAAAAAUGGGAAAGGAUGUCUUCUUGACAAAUAAAAAUCGGUUGUAUUUGACACACAAAGUUGCUGAUUUGGUGCUUUGUCCCAGUCGUUUCUGGAUUUGCAGUUUCCAAAUGGGCAGCUCACAUAUGUGGCUGGUGAGGUGUUGACUAGUAGUGCAUUUCUUCCUCUUUUUGGUGGGUUGCUUCAAGCUCAAGGCCGAUAUCCGGGAGAAACAAGAAUUAGCUUUUCUUGCAAGGUUAGCAUCAAUUCAGACUAAUGUCUUUCAACGGAAUGUAGAAAUAUCAUAUGGUUAUGUAUAUCUCUCUCAUUUUUUUUAUAUUACUUAAUAUGACGUCUCGUUUAAUUCUUUUAAGCUUUAUUUUCCUCUAUACUUUCUUAAUAAUGCUUAUUAGACUAACGGCUCUAAAAGUUUGUUAUUCUUUUUACGUAGAAUAAGCGAGGUACUCGAAUAACCCCAAUGCUGCAGUUGCCCGAAAAAUCUUUUUCCCUUAGGAUUACAUGGGCCAUAGCUUGGUAGAGAUCCGGCAUCAUGGUUCGACCCAGUGUCCAACUUAGGUCAAUUAUUUGCCUCUUCCAAAAAACUUCAGGUUUCUUCUUUUAAAUUGUUUCCAUGCUAUUCAUUCAUGGUCUAAAUAUAAUGAACUAUAUUGCAUUUUGAAAUUUUUUAUCUAAACUUAAAUAAUGUCGUAUAUUAAAUAAUGUAGCUUUUGUUUGUGUGUGGAGUGAAGAUUUUUUUAAUUUCUCUUGAGUUUGAUACUAUGUUAAAAAACACAUGCCAAGUUGGAGAGCUUAAAUUGAUAGAUAAAGAAAUUUCUCAUAAUAUAUAUACAUCAGAAUUUUAAUUUGUGUCCAAUAUGGGAGUAACCUUCUAUGUAAUCUCUCAACUGAAUGCAUCGGAAUAGCAUUGACUCCUUAGGCUAAUUCUGUAGAGAAAAACAAGCAAAGAGAAAAGUUUCUUGUUAAAUGAGAGAUUUGUAGCUCUGAUAAAUCAUAUAGGAAAGGUGAUUUGUAGCUCUAAUCUACUACUCCUAGGGUGACAGAUGCACAGCGAGAGAUUGGAAAGCUAUCACAAAAUUUAAUUUGUCAUAUCAUCUUAAUAUUUGGAUGCAUGGCACUUGGCACCUAAUAAAUAAGCUUUGCUGGUUUGUUAUGUUCUUUUCUUCAUAAAGAAUGAAAAGGAAAUCUCUCCUAAUAAUGAGAAAGUGAUCUAUAUAUUAUAUACAAUUCUUCGUGGAAUUUGUAUCUAGAUAAUUUUAUCGAUUUUAUCGUUAUGUUUUAAUUGUUAACUAUAUUCUUAUUUUAUUAAAGAAAUUUUCGUUUUUGUUACAGAAUCUUGAGUCUUCGGGAACUUGCUAUACGUCAGCAUCAUCAAAUCCUUCCAGUGAUAGUUGAUUAUUUCUUUUGUUUUUGGACCUACUAUGUCCUUUAGCAUCAUUUUAUGUUUUGAGCUACUGUGUCAUUUCUAAAAAACUAUUUUUGAAUAUUAGAGUUUUUUAUCAUUUUAUUGAUGUUGAGAAUGUGAGGAACAAUUAGUAUUUUGGUUUCAUUCAAUACUCUUGGCUUAUAUAUGAAUGAAACAACUUUUUUUGCUAUGAAUGUGUCAUUUUUGUAUUGUAUCUUUCAUACAACUACUAUUCCUAGUUAAUAUACAUAUUAAAAAGUCCCUAUAUUUCAAUCAAUUGUAGCUUUAUAAAAAGUCAUUGUAUAUACAAAUUAACAGCUUUCAAAAAGCCACAAUAUAAUUUUAUUAACAGCAUCAAAAAGCCGCAAAAACUAUAACAUUGUGGCACACCAAAUACCGCUAUACUAAUUAAAGGCGGCUUUUUAAUUGCCAUAACUUUUAAAAACGGUAGAAAUUACAGUAUUGUGGCAAAAAGCCGCUAUAGAUAAUCAAAGGCGGCUAUAGUAGUGCCACAAUUUAAAUGCUGAUAGUGGCUUUCAAAAAGCCGCUAUAGGCACUAAAAUGCGGCUUUUGCAAGAUGCCGUUAUAUUGACAUAGACCUAUACCGACUCAGUUUUCACCGGCUUUUUUUGUGGCUUUUUCAGAAAAGCCGGUACUUUUUAUUGCGGCUUUUCAAAAAGCCGCUAUAGGUACCCAUAAAAGCCACCUUUAAUACAAAAUGUUGUAGUGCAACUACCUAGUAACCUUAUGCAUCUAAUGGUCAAAAAGUGGAUAGUAAAUACUAUUCAUAUUAUUAAUAGUAUUCCAACGUAACUAUCUCUCCCUUACUAUUAGUAGCACCAAGCCAUUGGUUCUAUUAAGUUUUCGGCCCUUGGAUGAAGCAAUAUAUAGUCAGGAUGAUAGUAGUCUCCUAAGGUUAAAUAGAUGAUUGGUUGAAUAGUAUAAUCUAACAGGUGAAAAUGGUCAAAAUGAUAGAUCUAAUGACAGAAAACUUGUUAGCACCAAGUGCUUGGUACUAUAGUAUAUAUAGUAGGCGGACUUAAUAUAUAAAUAUAUUAUCGAUUGCAUUGUAGCCGAACUUAAUGUGUAUAUAAUUGGGAUGGAAUACUAUUAAUAGUAUUCAACCUGUUUUGCUGUCGAGUUUUUAAUCCUCAGAUGAAAAUUUGUUGGGUUGGGAUGAUAGUGGUCCCCUAAGGUUUAGUGGUGGUUCUCCUAGGGUUGAGUGGAUGGUUGGUUAAAUAGUAUGAUCUAAAGAAUGUAAUUGAUUAAAGUGUAGAUCUAACGGCUAAAAAAUUGAUAGGAAAAGAACCCAAAUACUAUUAAUAGUAUUCUAGCUCAACUCUUUCUCUCUCUCUCUCUCUCUCUAUGUAUAUAGGGCUACUGUACUAUUAGGAGCACAACAGCCUUUGUGUUCUUAACUUUCUAAUUAUUCAUCAAUUUUGAUGGAUGGUUAGGAUGAGUGAGAGAAGAAAAAUUGAAAUAAAAUUCAAAAAAAAAGAAAUUGAGACACCCAAUUUCUCCUCAAUUUCUCUUUUCUCUCUCACUUUAAUCACCAAUCAAAAUUGAUGGAUGGUUAGUAAGUUAGGAGCACAAGGACUGCUAUACUUCUAAUAUAUAUAUAUAUAUAUAUAUAUAUAUAUGAGUAGGGCUGCUAUACUAUUAUGAGUAUUGGGCCCUUCGUACUCAUAAGUUGUUUUCGAUGAUAGAGCUUCCGAAUCGACGAUCCACACCGUUAAGCGUUAUCUAGAGUAUUUGAAACAUCUAGAAAUCAAAUUUCAUAAUUUUACGAAAUCAUAAUAAAGUCCAUCAAGCGGGCAUAAAAUGAACGAUCAAAAUCGAACGAUGUCUUAAAAAUGGAUAAUCGGAUCCUUCAAUUUAAGAUCGAAGUUAUUGAUCAUUAUCUAGGUAGUGAAUAGAAUUUUCUAUCAAAAAUUCAACCUAUUCGGAUUAUUUUGCACCGUUAAACUAAUAAGUAUUCCAUACCGGCCGUUAAAAAUUGUCAAUUUUGUGAGCUUUUGAUCGUAAGGUAAAUGAUGUCGAAAAAUUAUGAAAUUUGAUUUCUAGAUGUUUCAAAUACUCUAGAUAACGUUUAACGGUGUGGAUCGUCGAUUCGGAAGCUCUGUCAUCGAAAACAACUUAUGAAUACGAGAGCGAUCGUACUCAUAAUAGUAUAGUAGCCGGACUCUAUAUAUAUAUAUAUAUAUAUAUAUAAAGUGGGCUGGGAUGCUUCUGGAAGCACGGAGCCCUCCAUGCUUCCAGGUCGUUUUCGAUGUUCGGACUUUCAAAUCGACGAUCGGCCCGUUAGACUUAAUCUAGAGUAUUUGAAGUACCUAGAAAAUAAAUUUUGUAAUUUUUCGAUAUCAUUUGCCUAGUAAUCGAAGGGGCUCAAAUUAAUAACUUUAAUGGUCGUGGUGAGCCGUUUGCAAGUUUAACGGUGUAGAAAUAUCCAAAUCACAUGAAAUUUUGAUAGAAAAUUCUUUAUACCAUAUAAAACAAGAUCAAUAACUUUGAUCUAAAAUUUUAAUGUCAUAUCAUCAUAUUUUGUAAGAUUUUUAUUUUCAGCCGUUGAUUUUGAGCCACUUCNGAUCUUACUCUAAACAGUGAAAAGAAUUUUCUAUAAAAAUUUCAUCAUAUUUGGAUUGUUUUACACCGUUAAAUUUACAAACACAUCAAAUCUACCAUUAAAAUUGUCAAUUUUGAGACCUAUUGAUCGCUAGCCAAAUGAUGUCGAAAAAUUAUGAAAUUUAGUUUCCAAAUACUUUUAAUAGUGUAGAUUAAGUCUAACGGAGCCGAUCGUCGAUUUGGAAGCUGCAUCAUUGAAAAGAACUUGGUAGCACGGAGGCCUUCGUGUUACCGAUAGUAUAUUAGCCUAGUUCUCUCUCUCUCUCUCUCUCUCUCUCUCUCUCUCUCUCUCUCUAUAUAUAUAUAUAUAUAUAUAUAUAUAUAUAUAAUAAUUGCAUUUAUAUGUAUUAUUAUUAAUUAAACUUGUUUGAAAAUCGCCAUGUGUGUGUAUAUAUAUUAAACAAUUUUAUUCAACACUACAUUUCAAUCCCACCUUAAAAAAACAACUUUAUUGCAUAUGCAGCAGCAUAUGGGCUACAUAUGUGGCCUGACCGUAUAUUGUGGCACAUAUUACAUAUGAGGUGUGGUUUAUGUUCGAACCGUAUAUGCGGAUAGGUUUUUGGAACAUUGGUUUGGAUGCAUUUUGUCUAUUCUUAGAUAAUAUUUUUGAUAGUGUUUGGAUGAAAAGAACACUCUUAAAAUUCACUGUUAAAAUUCUUUAGAAUACCAACAUGCAUGGAUAAGCUCACACUAACCCGUCAAGUUUGGAUCCAAUUUGGGAUUUUCCUUGAGAUCUCGUAGUUCCUACGGGGUGGAGACGAUGGGGUCGGUCCAUGGAUUUUCCUUCCUUUUGCCACAUUUCGCUCAUGCGAGAUUUGCUUUGUCCCUCUUGAGGUCGCUAGUAAACCCAACUCGUAUUUGCUAUCGAAAGUUGUACAACCAAGGGGGUUCAAAUCGCUCUUUUUCUGCUUUCUCUGAUCACUUGGGAUUUUUGAAUUCGAAAAGAUUCUCAUCCUUUUGAUAGUGUUUGGAUGAAAAGAACAAUGUUAAAAUUUCUUAGAAUACCAAAUAUGUCCUUUUUUUGUACUCUCUUUCCUACAAUAUUGAUUUCCCAACUAGCUCCUCCUCAGUCAAGCAUGGUCGGGAGAAGAGGCUUGUGCUUACUUUAGGAAGGGCUUCACCCACUUCCUUGAGUUAAGCAUCCCAUCAAAUUUCGAAGAAAAGGAAAAUGUGGAAGUGACAAUCAUGCUUGAAUCAUUGACUUACUGCUGCUCAUUGUUGGUCUAAAGCCUAAUGCGACGGUGGAGGUCGGAGUGGAGGGAGAAAGGGUGGCAGAAGUAGUGGUGAAUAGAGAUGAUGGAGAGGGUUUUGGACUUCAAGGGUUUUAACCAAGUGGGUUUGGGUUGGGGAGAGGGAGAGAGGAAGGAGCUGAGAGGAGAGAUUAGAGGAGGCAGCGGUGAUAGUGAAGUGGCAAAGGAAAGAGGGAUCUGGAGAAAAGGGAGAAAAAAGAAGGAAGAAGGAGAGGCCAAGAGAAAUGGUUGGGGGUUGGAGGAGAGCAGUUGGUGGGGAGAGGAGUGGAAGAAAGUGGUUCUUUCCCUUUUUUGUUCUUGCAAAUAUGGAAAACAGCUCAAAAGGCUUUUGAGUUGUUCUAGGGUUUACAAAGAACAACUCUAUUAACGUGUUGUUCUUAAAUAACUUGAUUUGACAUGAGUAAGUUGCCAAAAUUUUUUUAUUUAGUUUGUGUGCAAAUUGGAGGAUAUUCCCCUUAUUUUGGGAAUAUCCCCAACCAAAUAGUGCCUUAACGGGUUGUUCUUGAAUAACCCAGUUUGACUGAGAUAGAUUAUAUCUAAGCUUUUUAUUUUGUUUAGGUACAAAAUUGUGUCACCACAAGAUUACUACUACCAGUGGCGUGGUGGUGCAUGCUGCCUGCCAGCAUGACUUUGUGCCAUGUUGUACCUUGCUAAUGACGAGCGUAUAACCUGUCUGCACGACAUGUGUUCCAUGUUGACGUUGACUAGUUGGCGGCAUGGUUAUUUAGUACGACACUUGAAAUUUUGGUCCACACACCCAAGCAGCUCUAAGUAUUAAAUUUGUAUUAGCCAUAACAGAAGCAAGAGUUAAAGUGAGGAGAAUUUGUAUUAUUGAGGACAGAAGCCAGCACGAAAUGUGUAGUAUGCAGGGAAAAUGGGAUGUCUGUUUGGAAGUAAAUAACAAAUAGUUUGUAGAAAAGAUAGUGCCCGCCUGAGAUGGUAUGAUUUGUAUGCCAAGCCAGUCAAAAGAGGCACAGUAAAAUAGAGGUCCUAAUAUUUGUUUGAAAUGUAAGAGAAAGGAGGAGAAACUUGUUUGAUUGUUUAUGAAAGAUUUGAAUAUUCUGUUGAUGCUUUGGCAGCUUGAGUAGAAGUUGAAAGCAGAUAACAUGAUGCUUCUCUUUUUAUAAUAAUUUCAUUGUUUCCUUUCGCAAGUUUUAAAUAAAUAUUUGGUAUAAAGAAAUUCUGCAAUGGACUAUAAUUGUAAAGGAUGUGGAUUUUUAGAUGGUCGAUGAUGCCGCGAGAUGAUUUCUUUAACAUCACGUGGUCAGACGGCACUCAUUUGUUGCUGCUGUUCUUUUAUUUUGCCAGAUUUCAUGCAAAAUUUUCUUGUAAAGUGAGAUAUGGAACGACUGAGGGCUUACUCUGUUAGUGUUGUCAUCAUGUUCUUUUGCAGUAUCAUCCAGAUGUUUGUGGGGACUUGCAAGCUGCUGAGGUGUUUAAAAGCAUCAACUCUGCAUACGAGGUUCUUAUCCCUGCCAUUGCAUUUUUCAUAUUAGUUUAUGAGUACCAUAAUUGUCUAUUUUUAAUUUAUUUGUUACUUAAAUGGUUUAUUAUCAUGAUAUUGUUAUUUUCUACUAAAUGUAAAGAACUGUAAACUGUUUUCAUAUACAUGUGAUUUUUACUCUGCAUGAACUUCUUAUUCUUAAUAUGAACUCAAGUCAUGCAAUAUAUGUUGAAACUAAGUAGGUUCAGGCCUCUGAUUCGGAAAAUAAUAACUGUGAACACUAUAUAGCCUGUGCAAACUGGAUUGCCAAUUCUUAACUAGCCAAGAAAUUCUAUAAAAUACUUUGCUUGAAUGAAAUUCAAUUCCUGAACAAUUUAGUUAAUUUAUAUGCAAAUUUGAGAAGAAUUACAAAUUUGCUGACGCAAUCUUUUAGACGAUACUAGGCCUGUCCUUACAAAAUGAUUCUUUUUGUGUGUUUUCAUGAAGCUGCUCCUUUCAUCAAAACAUUAAAGUGAGAUUUUUAGGAGGCACUUUAGAUCCUUUAUUAGAGAAUUCAUCUCAAUAUUUGCUUUUUGUUUUUUUUUCUCCAUUUUUUUUUCUAGAACAUUAUUUGCCUUUUGUUGAUCUAAACUGCGGAUUUUAAUGUAGGUUCUCUCUGAUGAGACCUCAAGGGCUGAAUACAAUAUGACACUCCAAUUCCCUCGACAAACAGAGAGGCCCGAUUUGGAUGCAAGAAGGAAUUACAGAUGGUCGGAACUGCGGCGCAAAACGCGCUAUCGGAAACAAAAGAAAUAUGACUACUCGUGGUACUACCAGAGAUACUAUUCUCGAGAAGCCUCAACCUAUGAGAGACGUCAUUUUGGUGAUGUGUUGAUAUUCGCCUUCUUUACACUCUUCUUCGUGCAGACCAUCGGAUGCCGGGCCGCUCUCACGAUAUGCGGAAUCACCGCUUUGUUAGAUAACCGGUUGGAUACUGGGUAUAAGAUAGGGUAUGUGAUCGCGUGGAUUCUCGGGGGCCGGGGCGGUGUUCUUCUUACUCUAUGCAUUCGUUUCGCCAGCUGGCUCUGCGGGAAGAACAGCAGCGGGAUGGUGGCUUUGGUGGUGGUGGCGAUGUGGGUUGGGGUGAGCCUCGCGAGAUUUGCUCCUCUUCCUCACGGUGCCGUGCUUACGUUGUUGUACAUGUCCAUUAAGCUUCAGGUCGAUCUCAAGUGAGACAAAUGCGAGUGCGUUGUUGGCUCCCUGGUGAUGAUAAAUCCAUCCAUCCAUCCAUCCAUCUGGUGUAUAUACUUGCGAGUUGGAUUCUGAAAUGAAGAACAAACUAUUUCGUAAACUGUAAAUACAAAAUUUCCAAUUACUGAAAGCUGGUGCAGAAAGACUUCUUGAUGGCUUCAUAUGUAUAGCCAGUUGAUAUUCAUCUUUGCAAGGACUCUUAUCAGCUUUUACUUACAUACUCCGUACGUUACGGGACAUUUAGACCAACAUUAAAGAUCCUGUUUGGAUGCAUGAAUAUUUUUGUGAGUACUUUUUUUUUAAAAAAAAAUGUACUCAAGAAGAAGCUUAUAAUAUUUGGUAGAUGAGCAGUACGGUCCAAUGUAGGAUAAAUUAUUAUAUCAUUAUAUUCUAAGCUGGCUUAGAGUUUCAUGUAGGUUUUGAAACUUCUAUUUGAUGUGUUAGGAGUGCUUGGAACUUCUAAAUUGCUAAAAUGUAGAAUCACUUACCAUGCAUUUGGGAAAUCUUAAUAAAUUUUUAUCUUCUUUGUCUCACUUGUUUUCUGAUCAAGCAUGCAGGUUAGCAGAAGUGCCUGUUGGCCUAAAGAUUGGAGCAUUUUAAAAGUUAAAAGGGACCAAAAACUAAACCUCCACCAAUAGGUGAGGAACUAAACUAAUGGUAUAACUAACCCUGUAUUCAAAUCAAAUCUGCUUCUCUAAAAAGUGUGGCCAAUAAAAGCACAAAAGAAAACUAUGUACAGCUACUCAUCUUUACCUCUCACACUAUACUUUAAAAAAAAGGUUUGCAUUGCGUGUUAAAUUCUAUGUACGAAACAAAGGAACACCAACAUUUUUUGAACACCUCUCUUCUCUCUCUUUCACCCCUCUUUUUUGAGAUCAGGUUUGGCCACGUUUACUUAAAUAUUAUUAUUAUUAUUUUUUUAUGAUACUUACUUAACUCUAAUUUUUCUUUUAAAUAAUUCUAGUAAUUCUAGUUAGUUAAAUUAAUAAUAAAUUAAAAUAUUAAAAAAUCAAUUUAAUUUAAUAAUUUUAUUAGAUAUUAGCUAUUAUUAAAUUUGUUGAAAUCACCGACAAUUUGAUACAACUCCCGAUUUUAUUUAUAAACAUGUCACUCAGUUAAAAUAAGAAAAUGUCAAUGCAAAAAGUUUAGGGGGCUCCAUAUAUUUUUACCAUUUAAGUUUUUCCUCGACAGAUGAGGCUGGCUGGUUCUGGCUUGCUGGAAGUAAUAAUCCAAACUUAAUUUAAAAUUUAGUUAGAGUUCGCUAAAGUAUAUCCAAAUUAUACAUUAAAUAGGAUUUAUAAUAUCUAAAAUAAAAGUUAGAUUUAUCAUCUGUUAUGGCUUGAGAGCUAUGUAUAGUUAAGUAUGAGUUAAUUAGAUGAAUAAGUCACAGUAGAUAUGGCUGCAUGGCAAGUAAUUAAAUAUUUUUUAUUAAUAAAGUAUUAAUUUAGUUAUUUUCUUCCUCCUCCAAUAUUUUUUUUUAUAUUAUAUUUUGUUUUCUUUUAGAUCUUGGGUUAUAUAAUAUCAGAACAAGUACCAAUUCUAACGAUUGAUAUUAAAAAAAAUCAGGCUUCCAAUAUGACUUUUAGACAGCAGAUAUAUAGGAAAGAAGCUUUUCUGGGGCAAAAGCUUCAAAAUCAUGAUUACAAUAUUUUAUAGUUAUUUUAAAGAGUGCACUAUUUGCUUACCUUAGAGCUUAUAUUUUAAUAUAAUCUUUCUCUUUCGUCCAAAUUAAGCUUGAUAUAACUUGUUGAAAGUUUCUAUACAAUAUUUCAAAGUGUAUGUUUACAAAUAUAAGAGGAUUGAAAAAUUGCCAAAGAAUAUAUUUAAAAAUACAAUCAUGUGUAUUAUUUUAUUUUAUUUUAUAGGGGAUGGAGAUUCAUAUGUCAUGAUUAAUGUGAGAAAUCUAUAACUAGCCCUUAGUCUAAGCUAUGGAACCAUUCUACAGGGUAAACUUAAUUUGGUUGGUGUGGAUUUGCAUCCACAAGAUUGUAGAAAAAGGAGGGAAUACUAUUAAAGAUAAUGAAAGAAAAAUAAGUAAAUUUUAAUUCGUCUCCGCCAAUUUAGUGCAUUUUUAUUUUAUCAUUUCGUGGCUUAAAAUUUUGUACUUUGCCGACUUAAAAAAAUAAUUUCUCAAAAAGAAAAAAAAAGGGGGACAUUGUAGCCUUCAUUUUUAACUUUUGAGAUUAAAAUAUGUAGGCAAUUAGUUGAAAAGCAAACAUUGAUUAUGAUAUUGUAUGGUUUUGGAGAAGGAAAUAAAGUAUAUUUUCACACAAAUAUUUUCAACAGUAGUAAAAAAAAAAAAAUAAAAGAGAUGUAACGCCUCAAUAGUCCCAUAUCACGUGGGAAAAUGAUUAUGAUUAAAAUAUAUGAGGCCUAAACGCUAGUAUAAUAAUUGAAUUUACGUAUUUUGGGCUGGUAGUUUGGGCCCAAUGAGUUAAUGUUGCUAGCGGGUCGGAUCAUUACAAUUGGUUUUAAAGCCAUAUGUGAGAGCUACAGCAACAGAUUUUGUGAGAGUCACCUCUAGAAUUCUGAUUAAAAUAUAUGAGGCCUAAACGCUAAUAUAAUAAUUAGGUUUAAGUAUUUUGAGCCGGUAGUUUGAGCCCAACGAGUUAUUGUUGUUAGCGGGAUUAAAAUAUAUGAGGCCUAAACACUAGUAUAAUAAUUAAGUUUAAGUAUUUUGGGCCGGUAGUUUGAGCCCAAUGAGUUAUUAUUUUUAACGGAUCGGGUCAUUGAAGAAGGGAAGGGACUAGAGAAGAUUAGAGAGAAUGAAAGAUAGGAAAUUGAGAGAAGGCUUAAAAUAUCUCCCUAAGAUCUUAAAAAAUAUCCCUACUAGAGCCUACCAAUACAAGGCCACCGACUUUAAUUUGCAAUAGGGAAUUGGUACUAAACAGUGUAAUUUUUGUUUUUACAUAACAAAUUUAUUGUAUGCAGCUGAAAGACUAAAUUGCACUGUUGAUCCUCAAACUAUGAGUCCCGUAACAUUUGAUUUUCAAAUUUUAAUUUAUUAUAAAUUUUUUUUCUAAAUUUCAUAGAUUAUUAUAAUCAAGUCUCAGAAUAAUAUUUAGUUGACUAAAUAAUUAUGUUGAUAUGAAAAUAAUGUGAGAGUAAUUAGCCAUAUUAUUGUCACAUCAACAACAACGAUAUAUCAUUAUUCAGCCAAAGAGAAUUAUACCGUAGGACUUGGUCGCAGUAAUAUAUAAAGUUUGAGCUAGAAAUUAUAACAAAUUAAAAUCUAAGACCAAAGUGUUACGUCCCUUAUAUUUUGAAGGCCAAAAGUACAACUUAGCCUAGUUAAAAUUUUGAGAGUUCUUUCUCUGCAUUAUACCGAAUAAAACUUUAUUUGCAUCAAUUUCCUUUUAAUAAUUGGCUACGUAGUGCUUUAUCUAUUUUGUGUCAUUGCAAAUUUUCAACAGAACUAGUCUAAGUUCCUUUUUUUUUUUUUUUUUCCUUUUCUUUUGAGGAUUGGAGGAUGGUGAGUUUUAAUCAUUGCCACAUUAAUAGUAUUAAUGGAAUUAAACAAUACAGCGUUGUUAGGAGAAGAGAAUAAGAAAGAAACAAAGCAAGAAACAAAACAUUGACAGAAACAAAACGCCAAUAUAUUUGUCCACAUUAUUAUUAUUAUUAUUAUUAUUAUGACUUAGAGAACAAUAAUUUGAUCUCCGUUCAUAAUGAAUGCCAUACUAUUCCAAGUAAAUGGUUUCACUGAAAAUAAUUUGGACAUAUACCUUUAAAACACUAUUUUCUAGUAUUUUUUUUUUGAGUAAACAGGGAUAAACCCUAUUUGGGUAACAACAAAGCGAACGAAACAAAAACAAUCGCCGCUAGGGCGGAACCAGAACCCCUACAAAUUGACUUGAGGUAAACAGAUCAGCACCUAAAAAUGCGAAGAAAAGAAACAGGAAACACACUUGAAACAAGAAACACACAUGAAAAGGAAAAACGGAAAAGGAAAGCAUAAGAGAAAGACACAGUGUGUGGAAGUUGUCAUCAGCUCCUGAGCACCGAAGUCCAGAGCUUCACCGUGCAGAGGAUCCCUUCUCCCAGUUCAUCACUUCGUUUCACCCCAGCACUGAAAAUUCUCAUGUUUCGCUGCUUCCACAGUUCCCAGCAAGCUGCUGCAAAAUAGAGAUUGAAGAAAAUUGUUUGCUGCCCCCUGAAUGAACGUCUAGAUCGAUUCCACCGAGUAGCUAAGUCACCUGAAAGGUUGGUCAUCAUCAAUCACUGAGAGUUUGAGGUACCUCGAAGGAUCCGAUUCCAUACAGUUCUCGCAUAGGUGCAGGAAAAUAGGAUAUGAUCCACCGUCUCAUCAUUGCUUGAGCAUAAUGCACAUAUCGACGGGCCGUACCAGCCCUUCCUAGCAAGAUUAUCCGAUGUUAAAAUUCUGUUCCUAACAGCUAACCACAAGAACACCUUUACUCUCAGGGGGAUCUUUAACUUCCACAUGUGAGUGAUUCUACCCCCGAAAAUAAGAAAAUCUUUUGCGCACUGUACUGAGAACAUACCGUUAGAACUCCAGCGCCAGAUGGUCGAGUUGUCCGAUACCGACAGUGUGGUGCUCUGGAUCAGUGCUUGAAAAUGUGGUAGUUCAGCUUGAUGUUCAUGAUGGCAUAGAGAAGGAUCAAAGCCCGGGUUGGCACAUUCCACGAAUCGGCGGAGCCAGUUGUCGACGGAGGUGCCUACAGCUUGAAAUGGCAUACAAGUUGGGAAAACAGGUCCGCAGGGCGAAAUCUCCAUUCCAUCUAGCAUUCCGAAAGGACGUCGCCUUACCAUUACUGAGGAAAAAUGAUACUGAAGAGAGGAAGGGUGCAGCGGUGCUGAGAAAGCCUUUCCAAAUCGGGCUGCAACCAUUGUAAGGUAUACGAACGCUGUGUGAAGGAGGCCUCAGCAUUAGCAGUUUGACCCAAGGCAGGUCCUGAAAAUAGUAGAAAUUUCACAAAUUCUUCAUGAGUAAAGCAGAAUUCAUAGAUCUUAGAUUUCGAAUGCCCAAUCCACCAUAUUUUUUUCUAGUAUUUCAAACAAGAUUAUAUAUGGGAAGUGAAAUUUCCGGAAAUGCUUAAAAUUUGAUUGUUAUUUAAGUGGGAAUUAAAAUGAUAAAACAAUCCUAAUAAUAUAAGAUAAAUAUUCAAAUACUAAACUAAUAACAAAAAGAAGAAAAUAACAUACUAAUAAGAUAUAUAAUCACGAAAAAUAUAUGGUACGAUUAUAUGCCUAAAUAAAACUUCAGAGGAGCAGUCUUACGCCUUGUUAUGAAACUCUUCAUCUAUUGUCACCUAUUAAUUUUACACUUAUCCAAAAAUAUAUUGGAUAUUUUUAAUAUUAAAACUCAAAAAGAGUUUCAAACUCUAAAAGAAAGGUUUAUAGUCGUUAGAUAGAGCCAAAAUUGAUGUAUGACAGUAGAUUGGGACUCCUCAACAAGUCGUUGUUCGGGAGCUUCCAACUGAAGUUUUUUUUUCAGUCUGUUGGCCACACCACUUUAGGAAUCUGAGUUAUAUCCUCUUGCUUUGGAGAGGAUAUUCUAAAUCAAUUAACUUCCAUCGAUAAAGUACAAAAAAAUAUUUAUUUAGUUAGUAUAUUAGACAAUAUUAUAUGGGAAACCUGUGAGGCAGCCGGUCGUCCGUACUAUUCUAAGAUUUGAAUGCUGCGUGUGAGUGACGGAUGAUGAGUAGGGACGUCUGUGGAUUAGGUUUGGGUUAAAUUUUCAAAAAUUCCAACUUAAAUUAGAGUUUUAAAAAUUCAUAUCCAUAUCCGUCUCCAACCAAAAGCACAAAACUCGAAUCCGGACCCAAACUCGUUAGAUUUUAAAAAUCCAUACUGUUGGAUGAUGACGAUUUAAUGAAUAAAAAUUAUUUAAUAUUUUAUAUGUUAAAUAAAUAAAUAAAAAUAAAUUAUAUAUAUAUAUAUAUAUAUAUAGCUAGGCUCCUAUGCUUUCGAAAGUACGGAAGCCUCCGUACUUGUAAGUUGUUUUUAAUAAUAAGACAUCCGAUUCGGCGAUCGGUUCCGUUAGACAUGAUCUACGUUAUUAGAAUUACUUAGAAACCAAAUUUCAUAAUUUUUUUGACUUUAUUUGUCUAGUAAAUGAGUAGCCUCAAAAUGAACGGCUGAAAAUAAAAAUUUCAUAAAAAAUAGUGAUAAAUGACUCAAAUAUCAAAUCGGAAGUAUUGGUCUUACUAUUGAUGUUAAGUAGAAUUUUCAAUUAAAUUUUUAUCUAAUUUGAAUACUUCUACACCGUUGAACUUAAAAACGUGCCACAUCGACCGUUAAAAUAGUCAUUUUUGAGACCUUUUGAUCGCUUGGUAAAUAAUGUCAAAAAAUUAUAAAAUUUGGUUUCUAAAUAAUUCUAAUAGGGUAGAUUAUACUUAACGAAGCCGAUUGUCGAAUUGGAUUUCCUAUCAUCGAAAACAACUUACAAGUACGAAAGCCUCCAUACUUUCGAAAGUACGGGAGACUUACUAUAUAUAUAUAUAUAUAUAUAUAUAUAUAUAGAGUGGGCUGGUAUGCUUAUCGAAGCACGGAGGCCUCCGUGCUUCCAAGUCGUUUUCGAUGUUCGGACUUUCGAAUCGACGAUCGGCUCCGUUAGACUUGAUCUAGAGUAUUUGAAGUACUUAAAAAAUAAAUUUUGUGAUUUUUCGAUAUCAUUUGCCUAGUGAUCGAAGGAGCUCAAAAUCAAUAAUUUUAAUGGCCGUGGUGAGCCGGUUGCAAGUUUAACGGUGUAGAAAUGUCCAAAUCGCAUGAAAUUUUGAUAGAAAAUUCUUUAUACCAUAUAAAACAAGAUCAAUAACUUUGAUCUAAAAUUUUAAUGUCAUAUCAUCAUUAUAAUAUAAUUGCCAUUUAUAUGUAUUAUGUAUUAAUUAAACUUGUUUGAAAAUCGCCAUGUGUGUGUAUAUUAUAUUUAAACAAUUUUAUUCAAACUUACAUUUUCACAUCCACCUUAAAAAAUCAAUUUAUUGCAUAUGCAAGCAGCAGUAUGGAGUACAUAUGUGGCCAUGACCGUAUAUUGUGGGCACAUAUUACAUAUGGAGGUGUGGUUUAUGUGCGAACGUAAAUAUUGCGGAUAGGUUUUUGGAACAUAUGGUUUGGAUGCAUUUUGUCUAUUCUUAGAUAAUAUUUAUGAUAGUGUUUGGAUGAAAAGAACACUCUUAAAAUUCACUGUUAAAUUCUUUAGAAUACAACAGUUGCGAUGGGAUAAAGUCACACUAACCGUCAAGUUUGAAUCCAAAUUGGGAUUUUCCUUGAGAUCUCGUAAAGUUCCUACGAGGGGGUGGAGACAUGGGGAUCGGUCCAUGGUUUUCCUCCUUUUGCCACAUUUCAGCUCAUGAGAAUUUGCUUUGUCCAUCUUGAGGUCGCUGAGUAACCCAACUCGUAUUUUGUAUCGAAAGUUGUACAACCAAGGGGUUUCAAUAUCCACUCUUUUUCUGCUUUCGUCUGAUCACUUCGGGCAAUUUUUAAUUCGAUAAAGAUUCUCAUCUUUUGAUAGUUUUGGGUGAAAAGAACAAUGUUAAAUUUCAAUCUUAGAAUACCAAAAUAUGUCUUUUUUGUAAUCUCUUGAUCCUACAAUAUUAGAUUUCCACUAGCUCCUCCAUCAGUAAGCAUAUGGUCGGUGAGAAGGGAUAUGUGACUAUUUAGGAAGGGCUUCACCAUUCCUUGAGUUUAAGAUCCCAUUCAAAUUUCCGAAGAAUAAGAAAAUGUGGAAGUGACAAUCAUGCUUGAAUCAUGACUAUACUGCCUGCUCAUUGUUGGUCUACAAGCUAACUGCGACGUGGAGGUCGAGUGGAGGAGAAAGGGUAGCAAGAAUAGUGGUGAUUAGAGAUGAUGGAGCAGGGUUUUGCGACUUCUAUAGGUUAACCAAGUGGGUUUGGGAUUUGGAGAGGGAGAGAGGAAGACUGAAGCAGGAGCGAUUAAGUGAGGGGCGUGAUAGUGAAGUGGCAAAGGAAAGAGCGGAUCUUGGAGAAAGGUCGAGAAAAGAAGGGAAGAAGGAGAGGCAAGGAAUAGCGUUGAGGGUUGGAGGAGAGCACGUUGGGGGAGAGGAGUGGAGAAAGUGGUUCUUUCCCUUUGGUUUCUUGCAAAUAUGGGAAAACAGCUCAAAAGGCUUUGAUUGUUCUAGGUUUACAAAGAACAACUCUGAUUGAGACGUGGUGGGUGCGUGGAAAAUAACUUGAUUUGACAUGAGUAAGUUGCACAAAAUUUUUUUAUUUAGUUUGUGUGCAAUUGGAGGAUAUUCCCUUAUUUUGGGAAUUCCCGCAACCAAAUAGCUUAACGGGCUUGUUCUUGAAGUAACAGUUUGACUGGGAUAUAUUAUAUCUAAGCUUUUAUUUUGUUUAGUAAAAAUUGUUGUCACCACGAAGAUUACUACUACCAGUGGCGUGGUGGUGCUGCUGCCGCCAGCAUGACUUUGUGUGCAUGUUUUGUACCUUGCCUAAUUUGGACGAGCGUAUAACAUGUCUGCACGACAUGUGGUUCAUGUGACGUUGACUAGUUCGCGCAUGGUAUAUUUACGUACGACACUUUGAAUUUUGUCGUCCACAACCCAAGCAGCCUCUAAGUAUUAAAUUUGCUUUAUUAGCCAUAACAGAAGCAAGAGUUAAAGUGAGGAGGAAUUGUAUUAUGAGAGACAGAACCAGCACGGAAAUGUGUAGUAUGCAGGGAAAAUGGGAUGUCUGUUUUGGAAGUAAAUAACAAAUGUUUUGUAGAAAAAUUGUGCCCGCUGAGAUGUAAUGAUUUGUAUGCCAAGCCGCUCAAAAGAGGCACAGUAAAAAAGCAGUACCUAAUAUUUGUUUGAAGUAAGUAGAAAGGAGGGAGAAACUUGUUGUAUGUUUAUGAAAGAUGUUGAAUUUCUUUUGAUGCAUUUGCCGGCGUUGAGUAGAAGUUGGAAGCACGAAAACAUGAUGUUCUUUUUAUAUAAAUAAUUUCAUUGUUUCCUUGGCGGCAGUUUAAAUUAAAUAUUGUAGUAUAAAGAAAUUCUGCAAAUGGACUAUAAUUGUAAGGAUGUGGAUUUUUAGGAUGAGUCGAUGAUGCGACCAGGAUGAUUUUCUUUAACAUCACGUUUGGGUCAGACGGCCGACUCAUAUUGUUGUGCUGUUCUUUUAUAUUUGCACAGAUUUCACUGCCAAAUAUUUUUGUUAAGUGAGUAUGGACGACGGAGGGCUUAUCUGUUGUGUUGUCAUCAUGUUAUUUUGCAGUAUCAUCCAAGAUGUUGGUGUUUGGGGGCGGACGUUGCAAGCUGACUGAGGUGUUUUAAGAAGCAUCAACUCUGUAUACGAGGUUCACCAGCCAUUGCAUUUUUCAUAUUUAGUUUAUUGAGUACAAUAAUUGUCUAUUUUUAAUUUAUUUGUUACUUAAGAUGGUUUAUUAUCAUGAUAUUGUUAUUUCUACAAUGUAAAAGACUGUAACUGUUUUCAUAUACAUGUGUAAUUUUUACUCUGCAUGAAACUUCUAUAUUCUUAAUGAAUCAAGUCAUGAAUAUAUGUUGAAAUAAGUAGGUUCAGGCCUCUGAUUCGGGAAAAUAAUAACUGUAACACUUAAUAUAGCCUGUGCAAAUCUGGACAUGCAAUUCUAUAACUAGCCAAGAAAUUCUAUAAAACUUGCAUUGAAUGUAAAUUCAAUUCGCUGAACAUUUAGUUAAUUUAUAUGCACAUUUGAGAAUGAAUUACACAUUGAUGACGCAAUCUUUUAGACGCAUAUAGGCUGUCCUUACAAAAUGAUUCUUUUGUGUGUUUCAUGAGCUGUCCUUUCAUCAAACAUUAAGUGAGAUUUUUAGGAGGCACUUUAGAUCUGUUAUUAGAGAAAUUCAUCUCAAUAUUAUGCUUUUUGUUUUUUUUUCUCCAUUUUUUUUCGUCGACAUCUAUUUGCCUUUUGUUUGAUCUUAAAACUGCGGAUUUAAUGUAGGUUUUGCUCUGAUGAGACCUCAAGGCUCUGGCAAUACCAAUUGACACUCCAAUUCCCCGAUGCAAACAGAGAGGCCCGAUUUGCAUGCAAAAGGAAUUACAGAUGGAUCGGAACUGCGAGCCGCAAUCAACGCGCCUAUCGGAAAACAAGAAGAAAUAUGACUACUCGUGGGUAUACAGAGUAUGAUUCUCGGAGAAGCACUAACUAUGAGAGACGUCAUUUUGGUGAGUUGUUGAUAUUCGCCUUCUUUUACACUCUUCUUCGUUGCGAACCAUCGGAUGCCGAGCCGCUCUCACGAUAUGCGAAUCACGCUUGUUAGAUAACCGGUUGGACUACUGGUAUAAGAUUAGGGGUAUGUGACGCGUGGUAUUCUCGGGCCGCGGCGGUGUUCUUCUUACUCUAUGAUUCGUUUCGCCAGCUGGCUCUGCGCGAAGAACAGGCACGGGGUGGUGGCUUGGUGUCCGGUGGCGAUGUCAUUAUGGGUUGGCGUGAGCCUCUGCGAGAUUGACUUCUCUUCCUCACGGUGCCGUUGCUUCACGUUGUGUUACAUGGUCAUUAAGCUUGACAGGUCGGAUCUCAGUGAGACAAAUGCGAGAUGCGUUGUUGGCUCCCUGGUGAUGAGUAAAUCCAUCAUCCAUCCAUCCAUCUGGUGUAUAUACUUGCGGUUGAGAUUCUGAAAUGAAGAAAAACUAUUCGCGUAAACUGUAAAUACAAAAUUUCAAUUACUGAAGCUGGUGCAGAAAGACUUCUUGAAUGCUUCAUAUGUAUAGCCAGUUGAUAUUCAUCUUUGCAGGACUAUUAAUCGCUUUUACUUACAUAUCCGUACGUUACGCGACAUUUAGACCAACAUUAAAGAUCCUGUUGGAAUGAUGAAUAUUUUUGUGAGUAUUUUUUUUAAAAAAAAAAUGUAUAAGAAGUAAGCUUAUAAUAUUUGGUAGAUGAGCAGUACGGCUCCAAUGUAGGAUAGAAUUAUUAUAUCAUUAUAUUCUAAGCUGGACUUAGAGUUUCAAUGUAGGUUUUGAAUUCUAUUUGAUGGUUAGGAGUGCUUGGAACUUCUAAAUUGCUAAAUGUAGAUACUUACAUGAUUUGGGAAAUCUAAUAAAUUUUGUAUCUUCUUUGUACCACUUAGUUUUAUGAUCAAGCAUGCAGUUGCGCAGACAGUGCCUGUUGGCUAAAGAUUGCGAGCAUUUUAAAAGUUAAAAGGGACAAAACUUAACCUCCACAAGUAGGUGAGGAACUAAAUAAUGGCUAUACCACUAAACCUGUAUUCAAAUCAAAUUGAUUCUCUAAAAGUGUGGCAAUAAGCACCAAAAGAACUAUGGUACAAGCUACUCAUGCUUUACCUCUCACCAUGACUUUAAAAAAAGGUUUGCAAUUGCGUGUUUAAAUUUCUAUGUACGAAAAAAGGAACACCAAAUUUUUUGAACACCUCUCUUCUCUCUCUUUCACCCUCUUUUUGAGAUCAGGUUUGGCCACUUUACUUAAAUAUUGAUUAUUAUUAUUUGUUUUAUGAUAUUUACUUAACUCUAAUUUUCUUAAAUAAUUCUAUAAUUCUAUUAUUAAAUUAAUAUAAUUAAAAUUAAAAAUCAAUUUAAUUUAUAUAAUUUUAUUAAGAUAUUAGCUACUUAUUAAAUUUUGUUGAAAUCACCGACAAUUAUGAACACUCUCCGAUUUGUAUAUUAUAAACAUGUCACUCAAGUUUAAAAUAAGAAAAUGUCAAUGCAAAGUUUAGGGGGCUCAAUAUUUAUUACCAAUUUAGUUUGGUCCUCGACAAAUGAGGCUGCUGGUAUCUGGCUCCCUGCUGGAAUAAUAAUCCAAACUUAAUUUAAAUUUAGUUUAGGAGAUUCGCUAAGUAUAUCAAAAUUAUACAAUAAAUAGAGAUUAGAUAUCUAAAUAAAAGUAUAGAGUUUAUCAUCUAUUAUUGGCUGAAGAGUAUGUAUAGUUAAGUAUGACGUUAUUAGAUGAAUAAGUACAGUAGAUAUGGCGUGCAUGCUGCAAGUAAAUUAAAUAUUUUCUAUAAUAAAGUAUUAAUUAGUUAUUUUUUCUAUCCUCUCCAAUAUUUUUUUUUAUAUUAUAUUUUGUUUUUUUAGAUCUUGGGUUACUAUAAUAUCAGAACAAGUUUUACCGAAUCUAAGCGGAUUGUAUUAAAAGAAAUCAGGCUUCCAAUAUUGUCGACUUUGUUUAGACACAAUAUAUAGGAAAGAAGCUUUCUCUGGGGCAAAAGCCUUCAAAUCUAAUGAUUACAAUAUUUAUAUGUAUUUUAAGAGUGACUAUUUGCUCCUUAAGCUUAUAUAUAUUAUAUAAUCUUUCUCUUCGUCAAAUUAAGCUUGAUAUAACUCUGUUGAAGAGUUUCUAUACAAUAUUUCAAAGCUGUAUGCUUUACAAAUAUAAGAGGAUUGAAAAUAUUGCCAAAGAAUUAUAUUUAAAAUACAAUCAUGUGUAUUAUUUUAUUUUAUUUAUAGCGGAUUGGAGUUCAGAUGUCAUGAUUAUGUGAGAAUGCUAUUAACUAGGCCUUAGUCUAAGCUAUGGAAACCUUCUACAGGGUAACUUAAUUUGGUGGGGUAGUGGAUAUUGCUCCAGAAGAUUGAGAAAAAGGAGGAAUAUAUUAAAGAUAAUGGAAAGAAAAAAUAAGUAAAUUUUAAUUCGUUCCGCCAAUUUAGAUGCAUUUUUUAUAUCUUUCGUGCUUAAAUUUUGUAUUUGCCGACUUAAAAAAUAAAUUUCUCAAAAGAAAAAAAAAGGGGGAACAUUGUAUCCUCAUUUUCUAACUUUGAGUAUUAAAAUAUGUAAGGCGAAUUAAGCUUGAAAAAGCAAAAUUUGCAUUAUGAUUAGUGUAUGGUUUGGCGAGAAGGAAUAAAGUAUAUUUUCACACAAAUAUUUGCAACCAGAUAGUAAAAAAAAAAAAUAAAAAGAUGUAACCGCCUCAAUAGUCCAUAUCAACGUGUCGAAAGAUUAUGCAUUAAAUAUAUGAGGCGCUAAACGCUAGUUAUAAUAUGUAAUUUACGUUUUUGGGUGGUAGUAUUUACCAAUGAGUUAAUGUCGGCUAGCGAUGGGCGAGAUCAUCACAAUUGAGUUAUAAGCAUAUGCUGAGAGAUUACCAGCAACAAGAUUUGCUGAGUGCACCUCUAGAAUCUCUGAUUAAAAUAUAUGACGCCUAAACGCUAUAUAAUAAUUAGUUUAAGUAUGUUUGAGCGGCUAGUUUGAGUUGCCAACAGUUAUUGUUGUUAGCGGGAUUAAAUAUAUGAGGCCCUAACUAGAUAUAAUAAUUAAGUUUACGUAUUUUGGCCGGUAUUAUGAGCCCAAUGAUUUAUUAUUUUUAAGGAAUCGGGUAAUUGAAGCAGAGGAAGGCGACUAAGAGAUUAGAGAGAAUGAAAGAUAGGAAAUGAGAGAAGCUUAAAUAUUUCCACUAAGAUUUAGAAAAAUAUCCCUACUGGGCCUACCAAUACAAGGCCACGGACUUUAAUUUGCAAUACGGUAAUUGUACUAAACAGGUGUAAUUUUUUGGUUUUACAUAACAAAUUUUAUUGUAUGCAGCUGAAAGAUAAAUUCCCACUGUUGAUCUCAACUAUGAGUCCCGUAACAUUUGUUUUCAAAUUUUAAAUUUAAUUAUAAUUUUUUUUUUCUAAAUUUCAUAAUUAUUAUAAUCAGUCUCAGAAUAUAUUUGAAGUUGACUAAAUAAUUUUAUGUUGAUAUCGAAAAUUAUGUUGAGAGUAAUUAGCCAUAUUAUUGUACAACGGAUCAACAACAACGAUAUAUCAUUAUUCCCAAAGAGAAAUUAUACCGUAGGACUUGGGUCGCACAGUACCAGUAAUAUAUAAAGUUUGAGCUUAGAAAUGUUGUAUAAAAAUUAAAAUCCAGACAAAGUGUUACGUCCUAAUAUGUUGAAGGCAAAAGUACAACUCAGCCUAGUUAAAAUUUUGUGAGAGUUCUUUAUCUGCCAUUUAAGCCGAAUUAAACUUAUAUUUGACAUCAAUUUCCUUCAAUAUUGGCUUUACGUGAGUGCUUAUUAUUUUGUGUCAUUGCAAUUUUCACAGAACUAGUCUAAGUUCUUUUUUUCUUUUUUUUCCUUUUUGUCUUUUGAGGAUUGAGGGAUGGUUGGUGAGUUUUAAUCAUUGCCACAUUAAUAGUAUUAAUGGCAACUUAAACAAUACAGCGUUUUAGAGAAAGAGACAUAAGAAAGAAACAAAGCUAAGAAACAAAAUUGACAGAAACAAAAACGCCAAUAUAUUUGUCCACAUUCAAUCUAUUGAUUCAUUCAUUAUUAUUAUGACUUAGAGAACAAUAAUUUGAUCUCAGUUUCAUAAUGACAUGCCCAUACUAUUCCAAGUAAAUAUGUUUCACUGAAAUAAUUUGGACAUAAUACCUUUAAAACACUAUUUUCUAGAUUAUUUUUUUUGAGUUAAACAGGGAUAAACCCUAUUUUGGGUAACAACAAGAGCGAAUACGAAACAAAAACAAUCGCCGCAUAGGGCGCGAACCAAAUACAAAUUGACUUGAGGUAAACAGAAUCAGCACCUAAAAGAUGCCGAAGUAAAAAAAGAACAGGAAACACACUUGAAACAAGAAACACACAUGAAAAGGAAACGGAAAAGGAAAGCAUUAAAGCAGAAAGACACAGUGUGGGUGGAAGUUGUCAUCAGCUCCUGAGCCACCGAAGUCCAGAAGCUUCACACGUGCAGAGGAUCCCUCUCGCCAGUUCAUCACUUGAUUUCACCCAGCACUGAAAUUCCAUGUUCGCUGCUUCCACAGUCCCAGCAAGCGUUGCUGCAAAAUAGAGAUUGAAGAAAAUUGUUGUGCCCCUGACAUGAACGCUAUGAUGAGUUCCACGAGUAGCUAGUCACCUGAAAGGUUGGCAGCAUCAAUCACAAUACCACUGAAAGAUUUUGAGGUACCUCGAAGGAUCCAGAUUCAGUACAGUUCCUCGCCAUAGGUGCAGGAAAAUAGGAUAUGAUCCACCGUCUCAUCAUUGCUUGAUAUAUAUAUAUAUAUAUAUAUAUAUAUAUAUAGAGCUAGGCUGGUAUACUAUCGGUAGCACGGAGCCCUUCGUGCUACCAAGUUGUUUUCAAUGAUAUAACUUCUAAAUCGACGAUCGGCUCCGUUAGAUUUGAUCUAUACUAGUGAAAGUAUUUGGAAACUAAAUUUCAUAAUUUUUCGACAUUAUUUACCUAUCAAACGAGUAGUCUAAAAAUGAAUGGCUGAAAAUAAAAAUCUCAUAAAAAAUAAUGAUAAAAUAUUUGAAUUUAAGAUCAGAGGUAUUAAUCUUACUCUAAGUAGUGAAAAUAAUUUUCUAUAAAUAUUUCAUCAGAUUUGGAUUGUUUUACACCGUUAAAUUCACAAACGCAUUAGAUCCACCAUUAAAAUUGUCAAUUUUGAGACCUUUUGAUCACUAGCCAAAUGAUGUUGAAAAAUUAUGAAAUUUAGUUUUCAAAUACCUUUAAUAGUGUAGAUCAAGUCUAACGGAGCUGAUCGUCGAUUUGGAAGCCAUAUUAUUGAAAACAACUUGGUAGCACGGAAGCCUCUGUGCUACCGAUAGUAUACCAGUCUAGCUCUCUCUCUCUCUCUCUCUCUCUCUCUCUCUCUCUCUAUAUAUAUAUAUAUAUAAUUUCUUCGGGUUUGGGUCGAGUUCGGGUUCGGGUUCAGGUCUGAUAAAUACAAAAUUCAUACUCAUAUAUAUAUAUAUAUAUAUAUAUAUAUAUAUAUCCGUCGGAUUUUAUUUUCUAUAUCCAUAACCAAACCCAUAUCUGUUUAGCUCAAAUAAACCCGUCCCGUUUGGAUUCUGGUUCAGAUAAUAUUUUAAGAAUCCAUACUCAUUGACAUCCCUAAUGAUGAGUUAGAUCAUCUCACCCUGGGGAUGAUCUCCUAAACAAGUUGGCUUUCAUAGAUAAAAUGCGACUAUUUAUUUGGUCAAUUUGAUGAGGCAUGGAAUUGACUUGUAUACCCUAGCUACUGGCAAUCCAAAUUCUAUUAAAAUGUUGUAUGCAUGAUACGGAGAAAGAUAUGAAAAUGUUAUCUCUUCUAAAUUUUACUGAUCCUAUUAAUUGAUUCAGCUAGUAGUUUAACUAGUUUAACUCUUCAUCAGCUCGAAAGAUAAUUACGAUUCUAUUUGCAAUCAAAGUGGUCCGAUCGGACUGAUUCAACUAAUAAUUCUUAUAAUCAUGCAUCAUUAAUAUUUUUACAUUCGGCAUUGUAAAAUUUUUUGCCCUUUUUUUUUAAAGCGAUAUAUAUUUUACUUUAUUUGCAGAUAUAUAUACGAUGCUAUCUAAAAAUUUGAUUUAAACAAAAAAAAUAGUUUAGAAAUAAUCACAAGAGUCAAGAAAAGGACAUGCAACCUUGGUCCAUCCAUAAAUUAAAAGGUUGGAGUAUAUCUAAGAUCACCAGACAACAUUAGUGUCUUCAACCUACCUCUCUUUUUUUUUCUUUUUUUUUUUUAAUGGAAGUGUGGAACAUUAUAUAAGCUCACAAGCAAUUAGAAAAGAUAAGGUGCUAGUCUUUUGUACGGCUCUCCAGGUACUUCUAGCACCCAUCACCAAAAAAGUUAACCUAUUUCUUAAAUUGGCAAUGCUUACCAUUUUUGUGGGCUACAUAACUUAAUAUAGGCUCUUUCAAAUUUUGGUGAGUUGCUUAAUAAAUUAACAUAGGGCCAUAGAAUAAUGGGUGCCUAGCUACACUGUGGAUCAUGACAUGACUUGUGGGCAACAAACAAUUAAGAUGGUUUUUGAUUUGAUUUGAUUCUCAAACCCUAUCACAUGCCAUGCUCCCCAUCUGAGUUAGCAUUGGGGAGUGCUCUUUGCUUCCCCGCUUCUGACUCAUUGUGAAUGAGACACAUACCAUGCACCAAUUAACUAACAUUUGUCAUAUAAAAAAUGAUUCAAAAAGUAAUUUUAAUACUUUCGCUCACCUACGUGAGGGAGAUUAAUUAAGUUGACUAUACUGUACGUGAGCACACACAAGGUAAGUAAAAAAAAUGCUGUAAAUAUAAUAAAAUUACAAGACAUUAAUUCUGAACAAUUGAGGAGGCUUACGACUGAUUUUGAUUUCAUACAUUUAAUAUUAAUCAAAAGAAUGAUCUAAUGUACGACGAUCCAUGCAUGAAUAGUCUUAACAUUAGAAAGUAAGAUUCGCUUUGAGUCAGAUCUCAAUAAGAUGGCAUUACAAGAUUGACACCGCCGUAAGUUCGGUAAUUUAACGUACCCAUGUAUGAAUGAACCUUUUGCCCCUGUUUGGUAUGGGGUUAAGGGGUGCAAUAACCCCUUAACCCCAUACUUCCAAACACCCAUCUUUUGGGGUGCCCGGAUAACUCCUUUUGUGGUGGGGUUUGUUAACCCCACCCCUCCCCCUGGUUAGGCUUCAGUUAUAAUUGUAUUUUUUGAGGGUUAAAAUGCAAUUGUAAGUAAAAUAUUAAAAUAGUUCGGAAAAUGCAAAUGUGAGUGAAAUUUGAACUUAAGAAAAUUUUAAUAUAGUUGUUCUUAAAUUUUAGAAAUUUUCAAAGUCACAAAAGAGUAGUGAGAAAUAUUUUUUGGUACAAAAUUAUACUAAAAUUAAUUUAAUUUUACUCAAAAUUAUUUGCAAUCAUAGAAUUUUAAAAUAAAAAAAAGCUUUUAUUUUAAUACAUUAAUAUGAGGGUAUUUUCGUAUUUUUAUCUCUUUACCAAUCACUAUCCUUCUUAUCCCACCUACUCCAACCAAACAUUAUUUUUCACUAUCCUAAACUAACUCCAAACCCCAACCAAACAUAAAAAUACUCUAACCCCAUCUUAACCCUGAACUUAAUCGUAUCUCUGGAAUAACUAGUUUUUUCUUAACCCCAAACCAAACGAUAGUUUUGAGUUUGCCAAGUUCGAACUCCUGCAUCUGAUUAAAUUUAGGGUUCGUGCCCUGUCUUCAAGUUUAAUAUAAAUAAAUUUUUAGAGGUUCUUCGAGGUGUGGGACCAACAGACAAGUUUCAAAAAGGAAAGAAGAAAAGAAAAAGAAGCAAGAUAAUUUGUCAUGAUUUGGAUUGGAUUAACGGGUUAAUGGGGCUAGUAAUUAAUUUAAAGCCCUAGUACGUAGUACAAUACAAUUAUUUAAUAGGAGGCCUACCUUUCAACCACCCCCCUACCCACCCAAUGCAUCUCAGUUUGAUACUUAUCACAAUACUAGUACAUGAGCCCCCACCUAUACAAAGUUGUCACAGCCCCAGUAGGCUCUCCGGCCUAUUCAAAAAAGUGGAGGUCUCUUUUAAACUAUCCCUUUCUAUCCAUGCACUUCCCCCAUCUAUCUACAUAAAAGCCUAACUAUGUGCCCAUGCAUGGCAUCAUUCAUGACUUUUCCCCUCUGCCCUCUUUCGUGCUUCUGGAAGCACUUCUCUCAAAAGCUACAAGAUUUGGACCAUUGCUUUCCAUUUCUUUCUUUUUUCUUUUUUUUUUUUGGAGAGAGAGAGAGAGAGAGAGAGAGAGAACUGGGUUGAGAUUCCACUGUGUUAUGACAAAUUAUUAUUGCCUAGAACUUAUCCAUCAUGGAUUGGUUUUGUAAAACUCCUUCCUACAUGUCUCAAAGUGAACGUUUUCACAUGCAAUCUAUUGACUUAAAAGACCAUCACUCUGUCUUAUGGCGUGAGGUCAGAUUAGACCGAAUCACGCUCGAAAUGGUACGAGACUGGAUUAAGCAAAGUAAUGUUCGAAGUGGCGUGAGACCAAUUGGGCCGAGUCAUAAUCAUAACGUACUCCAUUUUUCUUUGACAAAUAAGACAGUACUGUGCGCACUAUUUUUGUGCGCUUUAAUUGAAUCGGUUAAAUAUCUAACGGUUCGAGCUUUUGGAAUUUACGAUUGGUGCCAAUGAUCCGACACAAUCUCAACACAUUAAGAGUUUGAAAAGUAAAAAUUAUAAUUGUGAAAAUCCAUUUCUCUUUGUAACAAUUAAGAGCUUUGGGACUAUAUAUCUAGAUAUAUUCGUAAUGAAUUUCGACAAUACGAUCUAAUAUUGAGAACUCUGUUUUGAGCAAAAAGUGUGCAUAUGUGUGGUUUAUGAACAUCGUCAGAUAAUAAUAAUAAUAAUAAUAAUAAUGAAUUGGCUCUUGGCUAACAUGGAGGAUGAGGUCCAGGGCAUUACUAUAAUUAAUUAAUUUUUAUUGUGAUAUUAAUAGAUGUUUAAAAUCUUGCCGGCCAACUGCUGGCUGACAUGUGCCAGCAAAUGGAGCUUCUUCAUAAGCUGAAUGGGUUGGCCUGCAGCAAAGGUUAAUGGAAUUCAUAGUUGGAGAUUUGCAACUUGGCAAAAUAAUUCCACUAAACCAUUGAAUAGCCUUAUCUUUGUGCUUUCCCUUUCUUUCUUUUUUCAGUGAGCAAAGGAUAUCUCACAUGUUCCAUUUUCCUGACAGAAAAGGAAGGAUGAAAAGGGAGUUCAGAAGAGAAUCUUUUUAAACAGUGCAAAAAUUGAUGACUUUAUGGUAACAUCUUUACAUGUUAGCAAAUCCCUAUCUUUUCAGCAUUGUUGGACAAUAGUUUUUGAGUAUUUAAAUAUAAAAGAUACACAUAUUUCUAACAGUUUGAGAAUUUUUGCUAAAAACACACUAUUAAAGUAGGAGAUUCCGAGUUUAAAUUUCACCAGACUCUUUUAAUUUUCUCAUUCACUUUCUUUCAUUUAAUUCAAAUUCACGUCUGUCUCGGCAAGUAUGAAAAACAUCAUUCUUUUGAAGAAAAAUAGCUAUUAAUUUCACAUAAUGUAACACAUAAUAACAGUACUACUGGAGUCUUCAACAAAUUUAGUUAACUUCCCUCUCUUUUCAGAGAGUUCAGUUAAAGAAGGUGGUCUUUCAUGACAGAAUGAACUGAAUUUUCACUUCUCAGGUAAAUUACAUCCCUCUUCGGUUCAAAAGGAAGCAAUUACAAAGUUACAAAAGCUUUAUGAACGAAAAUACGCAACUAUCAUUCCCUUUUCUUUUAUCCUAAUCGACUUCCCAAAUCCCUUUUACACUCAGGUAGGGGCCAAAAUUACAAAGAUGAAAAUAAUGUACAAUUCACGCCGGGCGUCGCUAGAUAACUGGAAAACGCCAAAGAGGCAUACGAACUAAACUAAACAUCCACCGCAUCAACGGUGAGAGACUUUGUUCUUUCCAGAGAAUUUGGCACAAGUGAACUAGCAUAGAAGCUCUCCACAGUGAACAUGAACUCAGGACUACCACUCUCUAUAUUCAACUCACAUUGUUGAGCCAUUUCGGCUCCCAAAUCGUGAUAGCCAUUAGUCAAAUCUUGAUUUGCUUUGCAUCGGGGAAUGCGGAAAGAGUGAUGAGUGCCCAAAUGGAACGACUCGAUCUUACCGUUGAGUGCUUGCAAUGGUUUUACCAUGGAAUCAUUAAAUCCGUUAUCCACACUCUUUUCCGAGUGAUGAUGCAAAUGUUUACUUGAUUCUCCCAAGUGUUGAGCUCUGUACUCUCCUUGCUCCGUUUGGUUCUUUGCUUUGAGAUCGGGUUGCGGUUUUGGUGAUCUAAGGCAUUGUACUUUAACUGAAUGGGAGCGAAAUUGGCGGAAAGAUUUUCUUAUCUCGCUCUUUUCAUCCCCAUUCAUGUGUAUAAUCUUCUCACCGUUGUAUGUCUCUCCUCCUGAUUCUCUCGAAUGAAAAUCAAGGCCAUCGGAUUGGCUCGACCCCUCGACUUGGUAUGUUAUCUCUUCAAAUCUUCCAUGCAUUUCGGCACACUCAAGUUGCGCGCAGCAGCACCCCAAAUUCUCCAUCGAUGACAAGUAGUCGAGGAACGAACCAGACGACGAGGCAUUUGAUGCACAGUUAUGGCAAACCUUUGCGUUCGGAGCUUCUUCUAUACCUGGUCCAGGCUUCCACGCCGGUACCAAUAAAGCUACCUCUCCGUCGAUCAUUUCUGCUAUUCUCGUCACCUCGUGGUCGGUUAUAUCUAACUCUUGAACCAUCUCGGUUGCCACGCUCAGUGCGGUGUCCGCUUCAAUAUCGAAGGGGAAGUAGAUGUUUCGAACACGGCCUGCGAAACAGAUUGUUGAGUUCCUUUAUCUGUUGAUUUUAGGGAGCCUGUUUGGGCUGGCUAGAGCUCGUAUAAAGCUGCCGCUCAAAACAAGCAUUACCAGCUUUUUCAUUAAAUUCUCCGUAACAGUUUUUUUUGUUUUCUCCAAAAGGAGCACAAGCUUCAGAUUGGAGUUUCCACUAUCUGGGCCCAAAAGCUUAUUUUAGCUUCCCGCCACAGCGAAAGCUCCAAAAAUUGUGUAAGCCAAAUUGCUAGUUUCCAAAGCUUCUGCACCCUGAAUUAGAGAAGCUGCUGUACAUUGGAGCUAGACCAAACAGGCACACACACAAUCAACUCAACAAAUGUUCUAGAAAGAAAACAUCAAUUAUACCGUCUUUGUCUGCGAUUCUUAGUCUCAGAAAAAUCCCUCCGUCUUCUCUUCUCUUUCCUUUAAUUGUGAUAUCUACAUUGGUGAGAGGCUCAUCCUCCUGGCCAUGGAAAAGGUCUAUCCCGUGGGCUUCUAUAUCCGCGUCGCUGUACUCCCAACCAUUCUCCAAAACUUCUUCUUCGUCAUGGGGUUCUUCGUCGUGGGGAUCUUCACAGAACCCGUGGCUCAUUAACGAGCCAUUACUAUGAGCAGAACUAACAUUAGGUUGCCUCACAAUACGAUCCCCGCAGCCAAAUUCUCCCUCCGAAGAGCACCAGCCGUUAUCGUCAGUUUGGAGAAACGGGUCUUUCAGAAGCUCUUUCGCCGGAAGCCGUUGGGAGGCCGUGGUCAAGCAUUUCUCGAUGAAUCGCCUCACCUCCGGGUCCUUAACUCUAUACAGAGCCUCGGGCUUAGUUCCCUGUAAGCAGAUUGCUAAUUUAGCCUAAACAAUUUAGACCGCAUAACGCUGCCAGGUCUUAAAGAUUUAAAAGAUGCGGGGCUCUUACGGAGAUAACUCUCUUGUAGAUCUGAGCCGGGUGCGUGCACUCACUGUACGGGUACUCAAAGGUGACCAUUUCUAAAACACACAUCCCAAAGGAGUAAAUGUCGACCAACUCAUUGUACUCCUCCUCGUAGACCUCCGGCGCCAUGAAUUCCGGCGUGCCUACGCAGUGGACUGCGUGGGACUUGCGGAGGAUGGCGGCGAGGCCGAGAUCGCCGAUCUUGACCUGCCCCUGAUUCCCAUUGAUGAAGAUGUUGUCGCACUUGAGAUCCCUGUGGAUAAUCGGGGGAUCGUGGCUGUGGAGAUAGAGAAGCCCACUCAGGAUCUGCCUACACCAAUGCUUCACAGCCCUGAUGUUAACCCUCCUGUGCCUCUGCCUAUACCUAUCCAUCCCCACAACAUCCAAGAUGUUAAUUAAAUAGAUCACACAAAUCAGAACAAGCUAGAUAGUAUUUUUAUUUUUAUUUUUAUUUUUAUUUUUAUUUUUUUAUCAAUCAAUGGAAAUUUUUCUUACUGUCUGAGAGUGCCAGAGGUGAACAUUUCUGUGACAAAAUUGAUGUUCCUGUUGGAGGUGUCCACCCAGGAGGUGUAGAACUUCAUGAUGUUCUUGUGCUUGAGGGUUUUGAGGAGGUGGAUCUCACAGUAGAGCCUCUCAAGGUCCUCAGGGCUCUGCAGGAAGUCAUACAGCUUCACCUGGUUCCAGGCAACCUCUAUCCCUUCAUACUCAUCAAAAGCCUUGUAACUGCCACCCAGUUUUUUCAGGUCAAAACACCACACACACACACACACACACACACACACACACACACACACACAACCCAUGUGAGAAACACUAAUGAAAAAGAAUUAAAUUUGCUCCAAAAAGAAUUACAGGAAUGAGGGGGGGAUCAUAACAUACACAGUCUUUGAAGCCCCCUUGCCAAGGAUCUCAUUGUACUGCACAAGACCAAAAAAAAAAAAUUAAUUAAUUAAUUAAAAAAAAAUCCAAAAUUGAUAUUGAGGUGAGUAGAAGAUGAGGGGGGAAAUGAAAUGAAAUGAAAUGAAAAAGAAAGGGAUUGUGGUGCACAAGACAUACCCUGCCAUAUCUUCCUGUGGGAUCAACCUCAACAAAUUCUGGGUAAUCUGGUGAAUCCUUGGCCUCAGCACACUUCAUUGUUUUUUUCUUUUUCUUUUUCUUUUUCUUUUUUUUUUCCCCUUUUUCUCCUCCUUGUCAAAACAGUGUCUCUCUAUAUGGUCCUUGUUAAAUGGACCAUGAGAUGAUAAAAGAGUCUUGCUAUAUGUAGGAACAGUGAGAAAAAAAAAAAGAAAAAAAAUCAAGCAAAAGAGUAGAUAAGGGUUGAGGAGAAGUUGUAGUGUGUUGUGGGGAUGUUUAGUUUGGAUAUAAUAUAUGGAGUGGAGGGGGGAGAGGAAGGAGAACAUGGGCUUGGGGAGUUUUCACCAAACAAGGACAAAGGUUUUCCAACUCAGCUACAAGGCUGAUUCAUUAGUUUUUCUUUUUGGUUCUGUUUUAUUAUUUUAGUUUUAUUUAUUUUAUUUUUUGCUUUCUUUCUCCUUAUUUAUUAGUUUUCUGAAAGGAUGAGAAGAGAGAGAUCAUGAGAUGUCUUUCCUAAAGGACAAAAAGGAACAGAUGGAAGGUCCUAUUUUUCAGUUUUUAUAUCCUCCUAAUGCUUACUACUGCUACUUUGGAUUGGAUGAACUCCCAACUUUUUUUUCUUUUGUUUUUUUUUUUUCCUUCUUCUCUCGCCUCAUUUAUUUCCACCUAGGAAUGUCGAUGAAUAUAGAUACAUAAAAUUUUAUCCGAAUCUAAAUCCGUAUAAAACGGAUAUAUCCGACGCUAAAUGAAUAUGAAUUCGAAUAUAAAUAUUAAAAAUAAAAAUUCGACGGAUAUGGAUUCAGAUAUAAAUUUUGAUUGUAUCCGACAGAAACCCGAAUUUAUUUUAUAUUAUAAAUAAUAUAUAUAUUAAAAUUUGAUGUAUUUGAAUUUGUAUUUUAAAAAUUUAGAUUUAAUAUAAUAUAUUUUGAAAUAUUAAAAAAAGAAAUAAGUGUUUCGGGUUCAAAUUUUCGGAUUCGUGUUCAGAUUUCGGAUUUUUUGUCCGAUUCGAAUUUGGAUUUAGAUUUUUAAAAUCCGUCGGGUUCGGGUUUGGGUUCGGAUUCAGAUUUUAAAAAAUCCGUCCCGAAUCCGACCAGUUGACAUCUCUAUUUCCACCCUUUAACUCUCCCCCAAACACCCCAAAUAUUAACUCUCUCUCUCUCUCACUUAUAAAAAAAGAAAAAUUUAGAGUGCACCGUUUAUACUGUUAAUAUGACUCCUGAUAUAAUAUUUUUUUACCCAUCUAAGUAUUUCUUAGAAGUCAUCUGUCCCAUUAUAAUUAUUAAAAAAUAUUUUUAUUACAUUUUUUUUAAAAUAAAAAAAUAUAAUUAAUCAAUUAUAAAGAGAUCCCUUCAAUUUAUAAGGGCCAAUUUGCAUAAAAAAUCCACUAAUUUUGGGCUUUUGCAAAAGUGGACCACUUUUUUGGAUUUUGCAGAUUCGGACCGAAAUUUCAGCAAACUGACGAAAAUACUCUUAUUACUUUUUCUCUCUCCUCUUUCUUUUUCUCUUGUUUUUUUUUCCUCUCUCCGAAGAAGGCAGCGGAGGCGGAGGCGGAAACAGUCCGUCUCGCCUCCGCCUCGCCUCCGCCCCGCACGCCCUCGCCCUUGCACUCCAGCCCUCCUCGCCUCCGACCCUGCUGAGGCCGCGUCGCCACCUUUCUUCUCCACUAGGGCACGGUGACGUCGAGACGCAGGCUCUUUUCCUCCACCGCGCGUCGGAACGCCGAAACGUCAUUGGAGGCGGUGAAAUCGCCUCCGAUGACGUCGCGAUGGUUGCGAUAGAAAGUAAGGAAGAGGUAGUGACAAAAAAAAAUUAUAGAAAAAAUAAAAAAAAAAAAUUUUUCCUACAGAAAAGAUCAAAACAUAUAGGAGAAGAAAGAAGAUGAUGAAAUUGCACUCUUAAAAAAAAUUACACUGUUUUAAAAAAAUUUGCACUGUUUUAAUGAAAAUUGCACUAUUUCAUAUAAAAAUUACACUAUUUUAAAAUAGAUUUUACACUCUUUAGGCCAAUAUUGCACCAUUCAGAAAAAUUUUGCACUAUUUCAUUUCUUUCUUUCUUUUUUCCUCUCUCUUCUUCUUCUUCUUCUUCUUCCUCCUGCGGGAGCAGCACCCCCCUUCUUCUUCUUCUUCCUGCAGGAGCAGCACCCACCCUGUAGGAGCACCUCCCCCGUCACCGCCGCCGCCGAGGAGGCUGCGGCGGCGACGCGGCGCAUGAUGUCGGCGCCGCCCAAAAAAAAAAAAAGAAAAGGAAAGAAAAGGGUAAGUUGGUUAGUAACCGGCGAUGAUGUUGGCGCCGCCGCUGAUGAACUUGGAGACGCUGUGUAUGACGACGUCGGGGCGGAGUCGCGCGGGGGAGACCACCAUGGCUGUGAGGUGUUGCCAUACCAGCAGGGGGUUGGUUCGGACGCGUGGUGUCUCCCUCAGGGUGUGUUGUUUUUUGGGUGGUGUGGAUCGCGGUAGCGCGAACGGUGGGGGGGGUCCGGCGACGGGGCGGGGGCUGGGUGGGGCCAGCGUGUGGGUCGACAUUCGUCUCCACGUAGAAUCAUCGUUCCAAUAAUAUAAUAACAACACGUUAAUUAAUUUCACAACUUAAACUAUUAGAGAAAAGCGUGGGAUACAAUUAAUUAUACAAUUGUAUAGGGGGUGGUGUUUUAUAAUAUUAUAGUUGUGUGUUUAUUAGUGUAGUGAAUAGGAUACUUUUUAUGGUGGUUGAUAGUGAUGUAAUUAAUAUAAUGAGAAUUGAUGAUCUCGGUGUCACCCUCAUGGACGGCGGCGCGGACGGCGUGGGUGUCGUUGGCGUCGACGAAGGUGGCGCGGAUGUUGCAGGCGCGGGAGAGGAGGACGUGGGUGCCGCCGUAGAGCCACUUGGAGGCGACGACGUGGCCACCGGCGCUGACGAGCUGGAGCAGGACGGCGGCGAUGGCAGACAUGCCGGAGGUGGUGCAGUAGGCGGCCUCGGUGCCCUCGAGCACGGCCAUCAGCCGGCCCAGGUUGAGCACGGUGCGGGGGCUGUUUGUGCUGUGCCUGGCGAAGGAGAACAACGCACGCGCGAUCGCGGCUGGGGCGGCGGCCGCGCUCAUGCGCCGCGUCGCCGCAGCGGCUGUAAUAUACCGAAAAUUCAGAAAAUAAAUAUCGAACUUUAGUCAAAUUGACAAAAGUGCGAGGAUGGUACACUUCGGAAAGUCCGAAGGUGUUAAAAUGAUCAAAAGUGAGUUACGGGAGGUUUUCGAGAGCUAAAGGAUCAAAAUCUGUAUUUUGCAGUUUUGAGCUCUUGGGGACCGGUUCCUGGAGGGAGAGACCGGUCCUCGAACGCGUAUGAAUUGAGACAGCCGAAAAAUCGGCUAAGUCUUGGAAAACUAGCUCUCGGGAACCGGUCCCUGCCUGAGAGACCGGUCCCCGAGAGACCGGUCCCACCAGAGAGAGACCGGUCGCAUCGCACGCAGCAGCUCUGGCUGCGCAGGGUGGACCUUCGGGAACCGGUCCCUGAUGGAGAGACCGGUCCCCGCCUGCGCGAACAGCCCAGUCCAGGCUGUGUGAAAGAGUAAAAGUUGAGGGGCUUGGCUGCAAUUUUGCAACCCAAUGGUUAUGUUAAGGGGGCUAAUGAGAUUUUCUCUCAUUUCCUCACCUUCUCACACUCUCUUCUCUCUCCCUCUCUCUCUAGAAGGCAAAGGAGAAGAAGAAGAAAGAAAGGAAGGAAGGAAAAGAAGGAAAAGAAGGUGAAGAAGAAGAUCAAGUAGUGAGCCUACCUCUUCUUCUUCCUCCGUGGAGCAUCUUAGGGAAAGCUUUGAGGUAAGCUUUGAUCUCUAGUAUAGUAAAACCCUAGAAUGAGUUUUGAAUGACCUAGAAAUGGGUUUUAAUGGAUUAUUUAGAGUCUUUGAAGCUUUCUUUUUGCUUCUUUAGAGUUCAAAACCACGGUUUAGCUUGAGGUGAGCUUUGGCCACCUCUAAUGGUGAAAUCCAAACUAGGGUUUGGAGUGAAAUAAGAAUGGUUUUAAUGAACUCUUUAGAGUAGAAUGAAGCUACUUUUGCUUCUCUUUGAGAUCAAACCCUAAGUUUGAUGAAUGCUAUGGAGCUAGGGCACCCAAAUUGGGGCUUUUGCUCAUGGGGGUUCCUAAGUGAAAUUGACCCUUUAGAAACCUAAUUGGGAGUAUUUCUGACGCGUUGGUGCGCUCGGAUUAAUGUUACGAAAAGCCAAUGUAAAGAUAUGAGCAAAAUGGCCUAAUAGGGCUUCGUUUUGCCGCAGGUAAAGAACGAGAAGCCUAAAAAUCUCAAGAAAAUUAUCGGAGCACCUUUGAAAGCCUACGAGGUGGGUGGUGCUUCUCAAACUCGUUGAACUUCCCUCUAUGCCUAAUGUGUCAUUCAUUUGAGCAUAUGUAUAUACAUUGUUGCAUGCAUUUUAGGGUAAAGUAAUGAUAAAAAUAUGAUGUUUCAUGAUUGUGAGUACAACUUGCAUAAUAUGAUGAAUGAGAACUAUGUGAACGUCGAAAACCCUAUGUGUAUGCAUGAGAGAAAAGUGAGCACCCAAAGUGAGCAAAAGAACAGAGUGACACAAUGACAUAGAUCGAGUGGCAUUCGAUAAAGUUAAAGUGAAAUGACACUAGAGAUAGUGUGAGGUAAAGGACCAGUGUAUUGUAAAGAAUGGUGAAAAUGACAAUAUUUAAAGUUAAAGUAAUAUGGGGAGUAAAGAACAUGAAGUGCUAGAGGUAGCCAAAAGUAAAGAAUGUAAAGAAUAUGAUUGCUAGAGUUAGCAAGAGUAAUGAAUAGUAAAGAACAAUGAUUGCUAGAGUGGCAACAAAAAGUGAUGAAAGAACACUAGAGCUAGUGUAAAGUCAAGAUUAAACUUAUAAAUCCUUUGAGUUAAGGAUAUGAUCAUACUUGCUAUGAGUUCCGUGCUCGAGGGCGGUCGCUCCCCCUCGGGCGAUGCGCUCCGGAGUUAUGCAUCACGGGUUGGAGUAAACCCGAAGGACGGUUCUAGCGAGUGAGUUCCUGCGAUGAUGGACUUAAUGUGAAGCAAGCUAAUAUGGCAAAACCCCCGGGUUAGCCUUGAGAUUAAAGAACAAAGAGUAAAAAACAAAGAACAAAGAAUAAAGAGUAAAGACAAAGAAUGAAAGAACUUGCAUAAUUUGCAUAUGUUUAAUGUUGAGCAUAUUUCCUGCUUAUUGUUCAGGCAUAUUAGCAUCAUGUUAUAGAUUGGUUACUAUAUACAGCUUAUCCUUUCUAUUAUGCCUGAGUUAGUCCUAGUGGGAAAGUCGGUGAUAUUGAGGCCGAACCUACUGGAAACUUUGUUGUGGUUCUCACCCCAUUAUUUCCACAGAGCCCGGACCGAGCGAGCCGGCGAGCGACCGAGGUAAAGGAAUCGCGUCUUAGUCAGAGGCCACCAGAGUUGGAUUUAUCUUUUGUAGUAAAUUACCCUUUGAUCAUCUUUUGUAUUUGAUGAUAAAAGAUGUAAAGAAAAGAAUGUAAUGUGUAUUUUGAGGUAAAUGUGAUGUAAGAAGGAAAUGAUGAAAUGAAAUGUAAGGAAUUCGAAAAUGUAGAAGAUGAAUGCAAUGUAUAUGAUAAAAAAUAAAUCAUAGUACAAGUGAAUGUUUAGUUUCCUUUUUCUUUCACUCGUGACUAUUGCUUACCCUCGUGUAAGCCGUAUUUGUAUAUUUCCGCUAGUGUACUUUUUGUUUGAAAAUGUACAUGUGAUGAGCCUUGGGCGGACAGGAAAAACUCUGUCCGUUCGGCGUCUGUUUGACGUGCUCGGGCCCGCCCAAAUUGGUAUCGGUCCUGGGGCGUGACAGCGGCCUCCUCGGCGGCGGCAGCGGCGGGGGAGGUGCUCCUACAGGGUGGGUGCUGCUCCUGCAGGAAGAAGAAGAAGAAGGGUGGGUGCUGCUCCGGCAGGAGGAAGAAGAAGAAGAAGAAGAAGAAGAAGAAGAAAAGGAGAAGAGGAAAAAAAAAGAAAGAAAUGAAAUAGUGCAAAAUUUUUCUAAAUGGUGCAAUAUUGGCCUAAAGAGUGUAAAGUUAUUUUAAAAGAGUGUAAUUUUUAUAUGAAAUAGUAUAAUUUUUAUUAAAACAGUGCAAAUUUUUUUAAAACAGUGUAAUUUUUUUUAAGAGUGCAAUUUCAUCAUUUUCUUUCUUCUCCUAUAUUUUUUGAUCUUUUCUGUAGAAAAAUAAGUUUUAUUUUUUUUAUUCUUAUGUUUUUAUAAUUUUUUUUUUUAUCACCACCUCUCCUUUGCCUUUUAUCGCAACCAUCGCGACGUCGUCGGAGGCGAUCUCGCCGCCUCCGACGACGUCUCGGCGUUCCGACGUGCGGUGGAGGAGAAGAGCCUGCGUCUCGACGUCGCCGUACCCUAAUGUAGAAGAAGGGUGGCGAUGCGACCUCAGCAGGGUCAUAGGCGAGGAGGGCUGGAGUGCACGGGCGAGGGCGUGCAGGGCGGAGGCGAGGCGGGCUGUUUCCGCCUCCGCUGCCUUCUUCAGAGAGAGGAAAAAAAGAACGAGAGAAAAAGAAAGAGGAGAGAGAAAAAGUAAUAAGGGUAUUUUCGUCAGUUUGCUGAAAUUUCGGUCCGAAUCUACAAAAUCCAAAAAAGUGGUCUACUUUCGCAAAAGAAUAAAAUUAGUGGAUUUUUUAUGCAAAUUGGCCAUUUAUAAGGAAGAUUCCUUCAGCUUAUUAUUAUUUUUUCCUUAUCCUUUUUUCACCACCGCCUCUCUCUCUCUCUCUCUCUCUCUCUCUCUCUCUCUCUCUCUCUCUCUCUCUCUCUCUCUCUGUGAAAGUGUACGGAAACUCAAUGGAUCCUCUAGUUUUAUUUUUCCGUUACACCUUUAAUAUUAAAGAUUUUUUUUAAAAUAAUGUGAUUUCAGCAAAGUUCGUAAUUAUUUUUAGAAAAAAAAACAAAGUAAUAAUUUAUGACUAAUAUUCAAUAAAGUUAUUAAAUUUGAUAACAUUUUUAUUUAUUAACUUGAAUAAUUCAAAGAAAAUUUAAAAGAAAUCAAAGAAAAUGUUGGCAACCGAAAAAUGGAGAAGUUGAAGGAGCUUUUUCAAAAUUUUGUAUAUUUGAGGGGGUCCUCAACAAAAUUUGAGCCUUUUAUUCCCAGAGAAAUGCGAAGGGCGAAUUUCCAUAAAAAAGUAAGUAACACUAUACGUACAAGUACAACCCGACCUUAGCUCAUUUAAUGGCCCCUUUUCUUCUUUUUUUUUUUUUUUUUUUUUUUUUGGGUAAACUUCAAAUAUUCUUGUGGUUUCACACUUUCUCACUUUAGUACUCUACAGUGUGUAUCAAGUUAGCUUCUGUGGUUUCACACUUUCUCAUUUUAAUAUCUUGCGGUUUAAAGUGUAUCAAGUUAGUACUCUGUGGUUUUGUUUUUCUCUUUUUAUUAUCUAUUUCACUAAUUUGACAAAGUUAAAACUAAAGGGUACUAAAGUAAAUAUUUGAUAAACCUAGGUAGGGUAUCUGAAGUUUUUGUAUACAAUUUAACAAAAUAUUAACAGAUGAGCCGACGAAAAGAGAAAAAUGAAAGCACACGGUACUAAAUUGAUGCACUUUAAAUCACAGGGUAUUAAAAUAAGAAAGUGCGAAACCACGUGGUACUAAAUUGAUACACGUUAAACUACAGAGUACUAAAGUGAAAAAGUGCGAAACCGCAGGGAUGGUAUUUAAAUUUUUUUCUUUUUUUUAACUAAAAUCUAGAAAGGGCUUUGGAUUAUAGAUUUAGUAUUUUUCUAAAAAAAUUAUUGAAUUUACGCUUUUGCAAAAUGGAACUUUUGCUCGGAUUUUAUAAAUUCAGCUCAAAUUUUUAAAAAUAUGAGCAAAAUGACUCUCUCCUUUCUUUCUCUCAUCUCUUUCAAUGAUGUUAUUGCCGUCCCUUUCCUCUCCCCCUCUUCUCCACCGCCAUCAUUUCCCAUCCUCUUUCUUCUCCUACUCCUCUACUCCUCUACCUGCUGUCCCUUUCCUCUCCCCCUCUUCUCCACCGCCAUCAUUUCGCAUCCUCUUCCUUCUCCUACUCCUCUACUCCUUUACCUGUCGUCGCAGAUUCGGGAAGUGGACGUGCAGGCACCGAUCUCAGAGUGUUUAAGUGAGGCAGACAUCGAGGAGGCUAAGAUUGUGACAACAACGAUGAUGUGCAGGUGGCGGAGGACCGGGGGAAAGAAAAUGGGCGUCAAUGUCGUACUCCUUUUAUUUUCUCCUUUUUCUUUAUUCUUCUUAUUAAAGAAAAAAAUAUAUUUCACUAUUUGACUAUAUAUUAUACAAGUUAAUAAGUGUAUCAGGCUGUACAAUAGUACAAUGUGAUGUCAAAUAGUGCAACAUUUAAAAAAUAUUGCACUGUUUAAUUAUAUAUACUAUUUGAUAAUAAGUUAUAUUAUUUUUUUAAUAUGUUUUACUUGUUAAAUAGAACAACAUAUAAUCAAAUAGCGUAAUAUAUUUUUCUUUAAUGGAGAGAGAACGAACACAAAAAUAGAAGAAGAAUAUUUUUAUUUUUAUUUUACUGUCAUACUCAUUCCUCUCCUUCCUUCCUCUUUCUCUAGAAGGAGGGAUGCGGAAGACGAAGAUGCCGACGACGACAACAUGGAAGGAGAUGAAAGGGAGAAGAGAAAGGGACACGAGAAGGAAAGGAGAGGAAUAGAGAUAUAUUUUUGACCAGUUUUGCAAAAUUCAAUCCUAAUUUCUAAAGUUAAAAAAAGGUUCGAUUUUGUAAAAAUAUAAAAUUAUUAAAUUUUUUUUAAUAAAAAAGGCAAUACUAAGUUUACAAUCCAAAGUAAUUCUCAUUCUUUGCCCUAAUAAAGAAAUUGUUGCCUGCAUUUUAUAUAUACGUCCUUAUAAAUGUUUGUACAUUUCUCCCUGCAUUUAUGCUUUUAGUACGGUUAUUAAAAUUUUAAAUAUUGUGCAGAUAAAACUUGUAAAUAUUUUUAAAAAAUAUUUAACUUAUUAUUGUCUUCUUCUACUCUCACUUUUCUAGAGUUUGAUUCUAAAAUUGUCAACAACCAUUGGCCCCAUGAUUAUAACUCGAGAUAUUGCCUGUGAGUUUCGUGGUUCGAUCCCUAUCAUUUACUAAUUUCCAAAAAAAAUGUCAACUUGCUCCUUAAAUUAAUAAAUAAAUAUGCACAAGAUAAUAAUAAUAAUAAUAAUAAUAAUAAGAGAAAUGAUUCGGUACUUUAUUAUUAAAAAAAUAAAUAGAUCUUAACCGUUGAUUAAUAGAGGGUAAAUAUGUAAUUUUAACAUUUAGCUAAAGGGUUACAUCAUGCGAGGUUAUUUUGGUAAUUAAACUAUACAAUAUUUAAAGAAACUUUUAAUUGAUAUUCUAAAUUUAUGAAUUAAUUUGCGCUAAUUUGAAAAAUUGAUUGAUUACCCUAAUUUAGACAUUAAUUAGGCAUUAAUUUACGCAUUUACUUUAGAAAUUUAGGUGAUUCUAAAAUUUAGGCAUUAUUUUAAAUUAUAGAAAUUUUAGAAAUAGUUCUAUUUCUAAAUACAUUGAAUUUAAAUAUUAAAUAUUAAAUAUUUAAAUUAAAAAAUUAAAAUUUAAGUUAGAGGAAUUUUGUAUUAUUAUUUAAAAAAUUUGUAAUGUUGAUAAAUAUUUUAAUUCAACAUACUUAAUAUGUUUAAGAAAUUUUUAAAUUUUCAAUAGUUUAGACAUUAAUUUUGUAUCACUUAUCUUAAAAAAAUUGAAUGUAGGUAAAAAUUAUAAAUUAAUGUAUUUAUACGUUAAAGAAACUUUAGAAUGUUCUAUUUAGACAUUAUUUUUGUAUAUUAUUUAAAAAAUUUGUAAUGUUGGUAAAUAUUAAAUUUAACAUAUUUUUAUAUGUUUAACAAAAAUUAUGAAUUUCAUGUUAGUCAUUAAUUAUUGUCAUUUACUAAUUUUAAAAAAUUAGAAUGGUGGGCAAAUAUUUAAUGCAACAUAUUUAAUAUGUUUAAAAAAAUUUAAGAAUUUUUAUAAUUUAGAUAUUAUUCUUUAUCACUAUUUAAAAAUUUAAUGUGGAUAAUUGAUUAGAAAUAUAGGUAUAAUUCAAAUUUUUCUUUAGGAAAUAGAAUUGUAUGGACCAAAAUUAUUCAAAUUUUUAUAAUAAUAAAUUGAUCUUUUAAAAUAAUAAGAAUCAUAUAUUGUAAUUUAAAAUAUAAGCUGAAACAAAUAAAAUUGAAGUUUAGAACCUAAAAAGUAAAUAGAAACCUCCGUUAAUUUUAAAUGAUGUAGUGCAAUUUAAACUUACCAAUAAAUAGAUUUAGACUGUAUAUUUAAAUUUUAACUUAUAAUAAAUCUUAGAUUUUACUAGAGUUAACAAAAUUAGAAUAUAGAUAAUUAAUAAAUUUAUAUUAAACAAAUCUUAGGAUAUUUGUAUAUUUUAUUAAUUUGAUCAGGCUCAAUAGUUUAGACAUUAAUUUUGUAUCACUUAUCUAAAAAAUUGAAUGUACGGUAAAAAUUAUAAAUUAAUGUAUUUAAUACGUUAAAAGAAACUUAGAAUGUUCUAUUUAGACAUUAUUUUUGUAUCAUUAUUUAAAAAAUUUGUAAUGUUGGAAAUAUUAAAUUUAACAUAUUUUUAUAUGUUUAACAAAAAUUAUGAAUUCAUGUUAGUCAUUAAUUUUGUAUUACUAAUUUUAAAAAAUUAGAAUGGUGGGCAAAUAUUUAAUGCAACAUAUUUAAUAUGUUUAAAAAAAUUUAAGAAUUUUUAUAAUUUAGAUAUUAAUUUUUAUCACUAUUUAAAAAUUUAAUGUGGAUAAUUGAUUAGAAAUAUAGGUAUAAUUCAAAUUUUUUGUUAGGAAAUAGAAUUGUAUGGACCAAAAUUAAUUUCAAAUUUUUAUAAUAAAAAUUGAUCUUUUAAAAUAAUAAGAAUCAUAUAUUGUAAUUUAAAAUAUAAGCUGAAACAAAUAAAAUUGAAGUUUAGAACCUAAAAAGUAAAUAGAAACCUCCGAUAAUUUAAAUGAUGUAGUGCAAUUUAAACUUACCAAUAAAUAGAUUUAGACUGAUAUAUUUAAAUUUUAACUUAUAAUAAAUCUUAGAUUUUACUAGAGUUAACAAAUUAGAAUAUAGAUAAUUAAUAAAUUUUAUAUUAAACAAAUCUUAGGAUAUUUGUAUAUUUUAUUAAUUUUGAUCAGGCCAUUAAUUUGUUUAUUAAAUUGAUUUUUGACUCUUAUCUUUAAAUUUUUUAAUUUUUAUUUGAUUUUUAAAUUUUUAGUUUGUUACCUUUUAGUUUACAAUUAGCUUAUUAACUUUUAUUAUUAUGUUUAUUAAAUUAGUAUUAAUGAUUUAAAAAUCAGAUUGAACGAUUGAUUUGACUGAUCAGACUUUAACUAUUUUAUCAAAGAUUUGAUUUCAACCUAUUAUAACUGAAUAAAAUUAAGAACAAUCUGGAACAUAAAGAUAAUAGCGUUUUAAACAGAAUGACAUUUAACUGUUAGAGUUAAUAAAUAUUUUAACUAAUUUUAAAUAUAAAAAUUAAAAAGAUUAGAAUUACUAUCAGAAACAAAAGGAUUAGGAAUUUGAAUUCGAAAUGCGACAAACAAUUGCAAAAUCUAUUUCUGAACUUGAUGUUAGGGUUGUAAAUGAGCCGAACGCCGAACGAGCCGAAGCCAGCUAUUGUUCGGCUUGUUUAGUAAACGAGCCGAACAACGAUAGUCGUUAAAGUAUCAACCGAAAAAUUUCAGUGUUCCUGUUAUAACACAGCCGAACACGAGCUGGCUCACGAGCUGGCCAACGAAUAUAUAAGUUAAAGGAUUAGAUUGAAUAUAUAAAAAAUAAAUAUAUAAAAUUUUAUCCAUUAAAUUUUGAUCUAAUAUUUGAAACUUUACAUAUAAAUGAGUCUUUUUAUAAUGAAGCUCGCCUUUAUAUUUUUAUUUUACUAAAAAUUAAAUAAUAAAAAUAUAUUAUAUAUAUAUAUAUAAUUAUUUAUUUAUAUAUAAAUAUAAAUUAUAUAAAUAUAAAAUAUAUGUAUUCUAGCUGUUAUCUAGCCGAACACGAGCGAGCUGACCUCAGCUUGUGUUCGACUCGUUUAUUAAACGAGCCGAAAAAUUCAGCUCGUGUUUGGCUUAUUUACUAAAUGAGCGAUUUGAUCUUGAGCUCAUUUCGAACCGAACACGAGCUGGCUCGCGAACAGCAAGCUGAAUUGCCACCCCUACUCGACGUAUUUCAAAAACUCAUAUCUAAACCCGAAACUGACCAAUUUUCUGAAACCGAAAACCGAAUCCAAACUCGAAGACCGGAACCUUAAACAAUUAUUUCUCUUUACCAUAUUUCAAAAUAUUUUAUAUUAAAUUUAAAAUUUUAAAAUAUAAAUUCGAAUAUAAUAUUAAACUUUAUAUAUGAUUCGGGUUGGAUUCAAAAUGGAUAUAGACAAAUUUCAUAGUUGGUCCACAAAGUAAUCUCACAUUCUUGUUGUCAAAUAAUUUGAAACUUUUCUUACAUGAAAUGCCAAAAUAUGAGAGGAAAGAUAGAGAGAAAAAAGAGAAAGAAAGAGAGAAUAAAAAUUUUGAUAAUAUAGUAGAGAUAAAAUGACUAAAUUGCUCAUGUAUUAAAAGACAAAAAUAUCAUUUUCGAGGUAUCUGGUAACCGAUACCUCUCCCAAAGUGACCUGCUAUUGUAGGUCACAAUUUUAAGAAAAUUAAAUCUGAACUGUUGAAUGUGAGUGAAUGAACGGUAAUGGAAGAAAAAAAAGUAUAAAAGUAUUACUCUAAUAAUAAUACCUAUACAACUAAGUAUUUAAAAAAAAAUUAAAAAUUGAAUAUAAAAAAAGAAGAUAAAACUAAUGAGAAAAUAUUUUUUUUAUUUUUUAUUUUAUUUUUUUUUGAGAGAUAGGUAGCAUGCUAUCCACUUCGUUUAUUUUAUUUAGAGAUAAUCUUAGCCGAAAAUGUGAAUCAACAAGGAUUCGAACUGCCUUUUGCCACUUGUGUUAGUGAUCGUCGGUACUAAUGAGAAAAUAUUAACCUGGAGAAUGUAAGAUUUAUAUUCACUUUUUAAAUCAACUUACUGAUAGUAUUUUCUAAAUAAAAAUAGAAGAAUAUAAUCAAAUUUCAAAGAGAGGAGGGUGGGUUAUUCACAAUUUACACUCUAGGGCGUAUUUGGUUUGCCUAUUUUUUUUAUCCUAAAAUCGAAAUCAGAAUCGGAAUGGACGAAUCCGUUUGUCCGUAUUUGAUAUGCGGGAUUUUCAUUCCGAUUCCGAUUUCGGGGUAUGAUAUGCGAAAAUUUCAUUCCGAUUCCGAUUUCGGGGUGAAUAGAAAUCCCUCAAUUAUUCUUUUUUUCAAUCCAGCCUAUAAGGCCAGAUUGAAAAUUAAAUCGGGGGAAUGAAUUUAUUCGUAGUAAAUUUAACUUUUUUAAACUUAUUUUUUAAUUAAAAAUAUAAGUUUAACCUUAAAAAUUAUAUUUAUAAAUUUAAAUUUAAAUUUGAACUUAAAUUAAAAAAUAAAAUUCAAUCAAGCAUUUCGAAUUUAAUUUAUAAAUUUAAAUUAAAUUUAUGCAUUCAAAUUGAAAUUGAAAUUAUAAUUUUAAGUUUGAAUUCGAAUAAAUUGAAAUUUAUUUUUAUAUUUUGAAUUAAAAUAUCCGUUCAAUUUCAAAUUUAAUUUUUUUAAAAAAUAUAUUUAAAAUUUUGACAUAAAUUUUUAAUAUUUAAUUUAUAGUUUGAAUUUAAACUAAUAUAUUAUAAAGAUAAAAUUGGUAUAUUAAUUUGAUUACGUUUUUUAUAUCUAUCUGAAUCAAACACCAACAAUGAUAAUAAUUCAUUCUGAUUUCGAUUCAGGUGGCGAACCAAAUAAAAUGAGAUAAUGAAUUAUUUCGAUUUCGUUUCCCGUUUAUUUUCAUUCCGAUUCCGAUACCGAUUUUAUUUUCGAACCAAACUUCAAGUGUACAGAUAGUGUUGCUCGUAAAAAUGAGCUUUUUUUUGUUAACAAACUUAACAUAUAUUGUAAUUAUAAAUAUAGUAUUUUUUUAAAAAAAAUAUUUUUAAAAUUAGUUUCUAUGUAGUGAAUCGUUUAUUAUUUUCUUCAAAAUAUUAAAAUAAUUUUUAAUAUUUAAUAUUAUAUAUUUUUUAGAGUUUCGAUACGAAAAACAUAUAAGUUGGUAAAUAGGGCGAAUAAUUUAUUGAUGUUAGAUAGCCAUAAGCUAGAUAUAAUUUUUCAAAUAAAAAUAUUAAAAGCCUAGUUUUAGAAUUUGAAAAAUUUAGAAAUCUAGUCGUCGGAAACCCCGCAAAAAUAUCCUCUGACAUUUUGCAUGUGCUGACGACGGGAAAGAAAAAGAAAUCUAAAAUUCCCCCACCACAGAUUCAAGGCAUUGGCUACGGAGCCACAGGUUACAUUCAUUCGUACUCAUGAAAGCAGCCUAUUUUUAUCUCUCUCCAAAAAAAAAAAAGCCGCCUAUUUUUUCUGGUUCUUAAAGGAACCGGGAAAAAAAAAAAAAACAUUUCUGAUACAAGCAUUAGCAUAAAUUAAAUAGAGUUAAAUACAUAUAGAUGUAGUAUUUCUGGUGUUUGGUUGUCUGUGAGAUUUCAACAUUUGAGACUUGGCGACACAUCUGGAGAGUAUCGAGACAAGUCGGAGUCGUUUUGGCACGAAAUGGAUACAAAACAGACUCGACGAGAGGCGAGAGUGGAGUUUUGAUGCUAAAAUCUGCAAAGUGCAGGAUUUUAGUGUUGAGUACUGGUACGGCAUCGAGUUGGUAUCGGUAUCCUGUGUGCGAGCUUGCGGUUGCGAGGCCGAGUACCGGUAACCAAAUCGGGUACCGGUACUCCAGCUAGCUUUUGAGUUGGUAAAGGGCAUUGUUGUCUUUUUUUUUUUUGUUAGUGGUUAUCCAUGCCACCUACUCUCCCUAUAAUUAUCCACCUGAGAAAGAGAGUAUUUUUUUUUCAUGUUCCGCUCUUUCUAGAUUUGAUUGUGUUCGAGGGAGAUCGUGACUCAAGCUUGGGAGAUUUUCGACGUCGAUUCAGAGGGCUGUUCGAGUGUGCGUGCGUCGCUGUUGCGUCGUUGGAGGCCGGGCGAGCGCGUGAUUUCCCCUCAUUUCGACUUCUCGCCGUGGUUGGACGUGCUUUUCGAGGUGGGUUGAAGUUUACCGAAAUCGUCGAAAUAUUUUCUAAGUUUUAGCAUCGUCGACAUGUAUCAUUUGUGUAUUUCCUUGCUAGCACUCGAAUUCAUGGAUUAGUGUUAAAUCUGAAUUUGGAGUUAAGCUAGUUGUAUCAUUUUACAUAUUGAAUUUGAAAUUGACUUAGGAGAAAAUAUAUAGAUCCUACACUGUCAUUUCUGAAAAUUACCAGAUUUAGCUUUAGGAGCAGUCGUUCGAUUGUAUCUAUUAGUGCGAGAUGGAUACCCAGAUUAGUGUAGGAUGAGUUUACAUUCGUGCUGGGAUGUCGAGUUUAUUUUUACAGUAGUGUAUAGACUGUUUUAUACUGUCGGGUGCCGUCACGGUUGAUGUUGGACCCAGAUUUCUGUAUUUGCAUCAGAUUAUGCCAAGAGCACGUGUGCUUUGGUUGUUAGACCCAUUUGCUUUGAUUAUAGCUUGUGAGAGCCUGAUUGAGCUCGACAGAGACACGCUUGCAUACUCGGUUGGGUAUAGCGCCCACGAGUGCCACUCCGGAGUCGGGUUUUGUACGUUUGCAUUGAGGUCGUAGUGUCCGGUUUGGACUUGCUCUUCACCAAAUACCCAACGUAGUGGUGGUUGGUGUAGCUUCGACAUGCAGGACGGGUGCGUUCACAAUACCUAGUGAGAUUGAGUUAGAGAUUGCAUUUCUAUAUCUAUAGAUAGUGGUUAGCGAUAGUAUAGUGGCAUAUAGCUAUAGAGUUUACCAGCAUCCUUUACUAUCCUUGUGCAUACUUUUUAUAGACUUAGUGGGUGAGCCGUUGAGGUCGAUAGCGGUACCUAUUGAGGACUACUAUUUUUUUGCAGUAGUUCUCACACCCAGUUGUUGACCUCCUUUUUACAGAGCAUUCUUCUGCGGCUGCUACUGUUCCCGUUUCUGAUCGUGAAAAGGGAGUCGCGAGCUAGAUCCCUUCCAGCCUUGCUGUAGUACUAGUGGAAUACCUCCCACAGGUAGUUUUGGGGUUUUUGUACAUAAGGUCUUAUUAUCUAGGAACUCGCUGGAGCGAGUGGUGUAGUAGAUAAUUUGUAUGUACUUGAACCUUCGAGGUUAUAUAUUACUUUUCUAUUUAGCAGCUCUUUACCUUGUGGUUGUAGCUUGGAUUUUUUUACAGGUACAGCUAUCGCUUCGUAUACAGGGAAAUUUCUAUGUAUACGGCGGGUCUGUUGGCGUGCUUGGGGAAAUGUGUAAUCCGGUGCGUGACAGAUUAAGUUUGUAUUAGAGCUUAAUAUUAGGUCGUUCGAACCUAGAAACCUUAAGCUUGGCAAAUCUUAGGAAAGGUAAGACGCGAGAGGCGUGAUUUAUCGCGAAAGUCAGCGAUUGGAUUAUUUUAACUCCUCCUAGAGUGGAGUGAGUGGUUGAACGAGUGUCUGUUUUGGCCAAGAAAGUUAUGUCGGCUGCAGACAGCAUAAUUUUGAGGAGAAACAGGGGCGACCUUGUAACACACUGGACUUUUGCAAAUUGCGAGGUUCGAGUGUUUGAUCUGUAUUCCAAAUUUUUUCAGGUAUUCUGGAGGGUCGUUGACAGUGUUUCGACCUAUGGCUCGUAUCCCGAGAAUUGAGGUAUUUAAAGUAGCGCUAAGGUCAACAAAGUGGAGGACUUAGGCUGCUCUCUGGUUGCUGUCUGUAGGAUUGUGUAUCGGUACACCUUGAUGGUUGUAUCUACAGAAAGUGUACCGGUUACACCUUGAUGGUUGUACCGGUACACAUGUGGUAAAUAGCCAACUCGAGAGUUGGGUUUGUAUGUUCGGGGGAUUUGUACCGGUACACUUUUUCGUGUACCGGUACACUUUGAUAGAUUGCGAAAUGGCAGUUUUUCAGGGGCGUAUCUGUGACGCCCCGACUUCCCAGGGGGUCACCCAUCCUAGGACUACUCCUGUCCUAGCACGCUUAACUCUCUUAACCUCUUGGGCCUUACCACCACCCAAAAUGCUUAAGCCGGGUUAAGAGUUUAGCCCUAUUAUAUCUCAUAUAUAGGACUAUCUGGGGUCCCACAGUAUCUGCAUUGUGGCUUCUCUAUAUUAGCCCCCACGCCCAUUAGGGCCUCCCCUGAGCUGAGAACAGUGGAGAGCAAGGUAGGGUUCAUUCCCUCUUCUCCUCUUUGGUCUAUUCUUUCCUUUUUGCUUGGGAUUUAAGGUUUGAUCUCCUCUUUUGCUCCUUGGUGCUACUUCCUCCAUGAUGAAGGCUUGGAGCUUGGAUUUGGAGCUUGAUAGAAGAAAAAUUAUCACACCUAGUGGACUUUGAUCCUUGUUUGAAGCUCUUAAGAGGUUAGUCACUCGUUCUUUUCUCUAGAUUUCAAGCUUUGGUGGUUUAUUUGAGAUGAAACCCUAGAUUGGAAACUUAGGGUUGAUUUUGGGUAUUUUGGAAUUAGGGCAUUUGGAGCUUGAUUUCUUGGAUUAGAAUCCUCCUCUAGGUUGGAUUGGAAGGGUUCUAACUCUCUUUUAGAGUUUAAAAAGGAUUUUUCUUUACAAGAGGUGUAUUUUGCCCUUUUCUUGAGAUGCUUAAUGAUUGAGCUUACUAGUAUUCGUAACGUUCGUUUAACUCUCCUUUUAUUACCUUUAGGGUGUUAGGAGAAUAGUGGGCUACUUCGUUCGGCGAAACGAAGGAGGCUUAGCGGAGCUUCGGUGGGUUUGACCUCACCAAAAAUGAGAAAAUCUCAUUGUGUCGAUUUAAGUAUUAUAAAAUAAAAAAUCAUGCAUAUUCAUGUUAGAUAUAUUAUUUGUGAAUUUUAGAAUGCUUAAAAUGCUUAUGUUAUAUACAAUGCAUUUUUGUACCCCUAUGUAGUAGAGGGUUUAAUUUCAUGUUGGGCUUAUGCAUGUGAUUAGCAUUCUAGAUGUGACUCGAGAUCAUCUUCAUAUAAUGAGAAUGAUAAGUGUAAUGUACUAUUGGACAAAAUCCCAUGUUGGACAUCGGAACAAGUAUAAUGCCAUAAAGAGGCAUUACACUAGAAUGAUAUGUGAAUUAGUGAGCUAAUAUCAUAAAGCAACAUUGAGCUUGGGAUAUGUAUGAACCUAGUAAAUAAUGCCAUAAAGGGGAUUGGGAUUUGGAAUAUGCUUGAUCAUAGCAAUGCUCUAGUGUCAUAAAGAGGCAUUAGACUUAUUGAUUGUGGGAACUUCACAUUGAGAUGUAGAACUAGACCGAUGGGGUACUAGUGACUAUUACCAUGUUAGAGACAUGAUGAUUGGGUACUUGAGAUGAUGACUAUACUUGCUUGCCAUUUGUGCUCAUUCGCACAUGCUUGUGAGGGUCGCUCCCUACAAGCCGGCACUCCGGAGUUAGCCUACGUGACUUAUGCUCGCUCGUGCGGUAUCGAGAAGCCUACGGGGUCGGGAGGGAUAGACUCAUUCCUAGAGUGAAAAUGUUGGAGCUACCACCGGCACUUAGGCUGCACAAGGUGGACUACACUUGUGUAGGUCCUGAAACAAGAUUGAACAAUGACAUCAAUCCAUAAAUGAUAAUCACUACUAGAUAGGGUGUAGUAGUUGGAUUAUCUUGACAUGCUUAAUGCAUAGCUUUGGAUAUUUAAGACCUGUAGUAUACUUGGUAAUAACGCUCAUUGCAUUAUAGUAUACUUGCUUCCUAUGUGGGAUCAUAUUAGUUAUGUAUUGGACAUACUUGAUCAUAGUAGAAUGAAUGUACAACAUAUUGUCAUCAUAUUACUUGUGGCAUAGUAGUUUAGCAUUUAUACAUUCUUUCAUAUCUACAGUUUAUUACCGUUGCUUAACAUAUCUACCUUAUUUUGGGCCUAGUGGUGCAUUUUGCUAAGAUCAGUAAUUGCCCAUUGGGAACUAUAAAUUAUAGUUCUCACGCCCCCUGUUUGAUGUCUUUCUUACAGAGCCUUCCACCUCGGGAGAGGCUAGAGACCGCGGCAAAGGUGUCGCUUCGAGCUAGCAAGUGAGGGGUCUUGCUAGGUGUAUCAUCUUUUCCUUUUGUUUUUGUUGGAGAGAAUUAGAGCGUUUUGUUCCCCACAUAGAGACUACCAUUUUAUGAUGUUGUAGUACCUAUAUUGAGACUUUGAUGUAUCACUCUAUGUUUUAUAUUAGUCGAUAGUUUUUUUUUCCUCUACUUGUUGUUAGAAUUUAGCUGCUGUUUGCUCUGAUAUCUCUAGUUGUAUUACUUUUCCUUACUUUCAUAUCUCUAUUGUUGUAGACGCCUUAUAUGUGCAGGCAUAUGGCGGGUCUGGGCACGCACCGGGCGGGCCUAUGUCGGGUCCCGGAGCGUGACAGAUUAAUUUGGUAUCAGAGCCUAGGGUUGAGUCUUAGUGGACCUAGCAAACCUUAGGCCCGUUAGACUAUAGGAAAUAGGCUCGUGAGAGACGAGGUCUAUUUGAUUUGUAAGCGAAAGUAUUAUGAUUGGAUUUUAUUAUAACUCUAAAAAGUUGGAGUUUAAUUGGAGUGUUUAGCUUCUAACUUCGCGGAGGGCUACGUUGGCGGCCGACAACGUAACAUUGGGAGUUAGUAGUAGAAAACACUUCCUUACUUUCGCAUGAUUUGGGUACUUAUUGUUGAGGGGCUGUGAUAGCGUGGGUUUUAUUAACUUGCGCUUUAUGAUGUUGUAGUGAUAAUGUCGACGACACGCUCUAAGUCUGUUGGAGCGGACAAUGCGGCGAACCUUGAAGAGGUGAAGACCUCCGCUACCUUCGGAUCUGGUGAGGUCCAUGAGUUGAGGAGCCAGCUUGCGGCCCUACUGACUUGGUCGCGCAGUAGGCGGCGGCUGCUCAGCAGCAUGCAGUGCGGCGCGCCGGCAGGAGGCGCAGAUGGAGCGCCUAGAGGAAUUGCUCGUGCAGCAGGCGGCUGCUAGGGAGGCACAGGUGCCCACACCCCCACCCGCGCCGGCAGUGGUUGUGACACCGAGGCCGCUGUCUCCAGGGCCCGGUACUUUGAGGACAACACCGAUUGUUGCGCCCCGAGAGGAGGAGUUUGUGGCACCACCGGCUCAGGUGCCUUUGGCAGGGGCAGUUUUUCCCGUGAUGGUUGAGGGAGUCGAGCGAGAUCGACUCAUGGAUCGUCUCAACGAGUUUAUGAGGUGCAAUCCUUGGAUUUUUGAUGGAGAGAAGGUCGACCACUGGAUUAUAGAGAAGUGGUUGAUGCAUAUGAAGAAGCUUUUUCGCGACACCUUCGUGGAGGAGAGAGACCGGGUUUGGCUCGCCACUCAUCAUCUGGACGGCGAGGCCUAUAGUUGGUGGUUGGAUAUUCAGGAAAAUCCCAACACCGACCUGGCAGCGAUCACAUGGAGGAAGUUCAAAGAGCUUCUUCUGGCGCACUACUUCUCCGACAGUGUCAAGAGGAAGAUGGAGCAGGAUUUGCGCGGCUUGCGCCAGGAGGAUCGGAUUGUGGCCGAGUACGAGAGGGAGUUUUCUCGGCUUCUUCAUUGUGUGCCCUUUGUUGUACGGGACGACGAGGACAAGGCCCACAUUUUCGAGCGUGGAUUACGGCCUUUGAUCUUUCGGUUGGUGCAGUCCUCCAACCUUCAGACCUAUCGUGAUGUGGUGAACCGCGCGCUCAUCGUGGAGAGCGGCGUGGUGGACUUGCAGGAGCGUCGCGAAGGCAUGGACAAGGGGAAGGGCAAAAGGCCCGCGGCUGAGGGUGCGAGUCAGACGCACUUACGGAGGCUGCAGAGGUACCCCAGGAGCCGGAGCCAAUCGCUAGGACGUGGCUUGUCUACUCAGCGAGGAGGACCUGAUCGUCGCCAGGCUCGGUGCUGCGUGAUCUGCGGUGGUCCUCAUUUUCCACGGCAGUGUUCACGCAGUCGGGGCAGGUGCUACCUGUGUGGCCAGGAGGGCCAUUUCCAAUCGGACUGCCGGAGGGGUCCAGCGCCAGCGCCAUCAUAGGCAUCAGCACCAGCUUCACCAGAGGAGCUUUGCAAAACUUUUCGUACCCCUCACUCGAUUGACUCGAAAGGGAAUUAAGUUUAUCUGGAGUGAGGAUUGUCAGAGGAGCUUCGAUGAGUUGAGACCGAGGUUGAUGUCGGCUCCUAUCCUUGCCCUUCUAGUUAUGGGGGGAAGGAUUUGUGAUAUACAGUGAUGCAUCGCACAACGGGUUGGGUUGUGUUCUGAUGCAGUAUGGUAGGGUAAUUGCUUAUACUUUCUGGCAACUGAAGGAUUACGAGAAGAAUUACCCUACACAUGACUUUGAGCUUGCUGCAGUGAUUUUUGCUUUGAAGUUAUAGGGGCACUACUUGUAUGGCGAACGCUGCGAGAUUUUUACAAAUUAUAAAAGUCUUAAGUAUCUGUUCACCUAGAAGGAAUUGAAUUUGAGGCAACGCAGGUGGUUGGAGUUGUGAAAGAUUAUGAUAUCAGCAUCCAGUAUCAUCCCGGCAAAACGAAUGUGGUGGCAGAUGCGUUGAGCAGAAAAUCAGUGCAAAGCUUGAGCAUGAUGAUUACUUAGCAGAGGCCGUUACUUGAGGAAUUACAGCGGUUAAGGCUUGAGGUAGUGUCCCCUUAGUCUACUGUGAGACUGAUAUCUAUAGUCUUGCAGUCUACUAUGUUGGACAGGAUCAGGAAGAAACAGAGGGGAGACUCAUUUGAUAAAGAUUCGAGAGCUGAUAGAGAGGGGACAAGCAGAGGCUUUUUCUAUGUGGACAGUUCGGGAGUACUGCUGUGAGACCCCAGAUAGUCCUAUAUAUAAGAUAUAAUAUGGCUAAACUCUUAACCUGGCUUAAGCAUUUUGGGUGGUGGCUAGACCCAAGAGGUUAAGAGAGUUAAGCGUGCUAGGACGAGAGUAGUCCUAGGAUGGGUGACCCCCUGGAAAGUCGGGGCGUCACAACUGCGGUACAGGGACCGACUAUGUGUGCCUAUGGAUUCAGAAAUCAGAGAGGAGAUUUUGAGAGAGACUCACUUAGUUAUACAUGGAUGAGAUUGUGAGGUUACAUGAUGUACCUACCUCGAUAGUAUCGGAUCGAGACCCGAGGUUGUCUCGCAUUUCUAGAGGAGUCUUUAGAUGGCCUUGGGUACACAGCUAUGUUUCAGCAUAGCGUUUCACCCACAGAAAGAUGGUUAGUCAGAGCGGACCAUUCAGACUCUGGAGGACAUGUUAUGAGCAUAUGUCCUAGACUUUGGAGGAGGGUGGCAUUGAUAUUUGAGACUGGUUGAGUUUGCGUACAACAACAACUAUCGAAUGAGCUUUCGGAUGGCUCCAUUUGAAGCGUUGUAUGGACGCAGGGGUCGAUCCCCUUUGCAUUGGAGUGAUGUGGGUGAAAGGGAGACUCUGGAGCCUGAGAUUCUGAUGGAGUCAGAGAAAAAGAUUAAGGUGGUACGACGAUAUCUAUUGACCGCCCAGAGUCGACAGAGGAGCUACGCUGAUACCAGGAGACGAGACGUGGAGUUUUAGGUUGGAGAUUAUGUGUUUCUAAAAGUCUCGCCAUCCCAAGGGAUACGCAGAUUCGAAGUACAUGGAAAGCUCAGUCCACAUUUCGUAGGCCUUUUGAGGUAUUGGAGCGAGUCGGACUAGUAGCCUACAGGAUUGCUCUACCCCCAUGACUGGACGAUAUUCAUGAUGUUUUUCACGUCUCGACGUUGAGGAGAUAUGUGUUCGAUCCCUCACAUAUGAUCGACUUCACUUCACUGGAGCUUGGUGAGGAUUUGGGAUAUAAGGAGUGACCGGUGAGGAUUCUUGCUCGUGAGACGAAAAAAUUACGCAAUCAGAUCAUCCUUUAUGUAUAAGUGCAGUGGAGUAAUCACGAGAAGCGUGAGGCGACCUGGGAGCCGGAGACGGUGAUGUGGGAGUCCUACCCUUACUUGUUUGAGGCUUAGGAUUGAGGUAUGCGUUAAGUUUCGAGGACGAAACUUUUUGUAGUGGGGGAGGAUGUAGUAUCCCUGGUGUUUGGUUUCCUGUGAGAUUUCAGCAUCUGAGGCUUGUCAACACAUCUGGAGAGUGUCGAGACAAGCCGGAGUUGUUUUGGAGCGAAAUGGACGCAAAACGGACUCGACGCGAGAUGAGAGUGGAGUUUUGACGCUGAAAUCCGCAAAGUGCAGGAUUUAAGUGUUGAGUACCGGUACGGCAUUGAGUUGGUACCGGUACCCUGUGUGCGAGCUUGUGGGUGGCGAGGCUGAAUACCGGUAACCAAAUCGGGUACCGGUACUCCAACUCGCUUUUGAGUUGGUAAAGGGCAUUAUUGUCUUUUUUUGUUGGUGGUUAUCCAUGCCACCUACUCUCCCUAUAAUUAUCCACCUGAGAGAGAGAGGCUAUUUUUUUUCAUGUUCCUCUCACUCUCUAGAUUUGAUUGUGUUCGAGGGAGAUCGCGACUCGAGCUCGGGAGAUUUUCGACGUCGAUUCGGAGGGUCGUUCGAGUGUGCGUGCGUCGCGGUUGCAUCGUUGGAGGCCGGGUGAGCGCGUGAUUUCCCUCUUUUCGACUUCUCGCUGUGGUUGGACGAGCUUUUCGAGAUGGGUUGAAGUUUACCGAAAUCAUCGGAAUAUUUUCUAAGUUUUAGCAUCGUCGACAUGUAUCAUUUGUGUAUUUCCUUGCUAGUACUCGAAUUCAUGGAUUAGUGUUAAAUCUGAAUUUGGAGUUAAGCUAGUUGUAUCAUUUUACAUGUUGGACUUGAAAUUGAUUUAGGAGAAAAUAUAUAGAUCAUACAUUGUCAUUUUUGAAAAUUAUCAGAUUUAGCUUUAGGAGCCGUGGUUCAAUUGUAUCCUUGCGGUUAGUGUGAGAUGGUACCCAGAUUAGUAUAGGAUGAGUUUACACUCGUGCUGGGAUGUCGAGUUUAUUUUUACAGUAGUGUGCAGACUGUUCCAGACUGUCAGGUACUGUCGCGGUUGACGAUGAACCCAGAUUUUUGUAUUUGCAUCAGAUUGUGCCAAGGGAACGUGUGUUUUGGUUGUUAGACCCAUUUGCUUUGAUUAUAGCCUGUGAGAGCCUGAUUGAGCUCGACAAAGACAUGCUUACAUAUUCGGUUGGGUAGCGCCCACGAGUGCCACUCUGGAGUCGAGCUUUGUGCGUUUGCAUUAAGGUCGUAGUGUCUGGUUUGGACUUGCUCUUCACCAACUACCCAGCCUGGUGGUGGUUGGUGUAGCUUCGAAAGGCGGGACGGGUGCGUUCACAGUCCCUAGUGAGAUUGGGUUAGAGAUUGCAUUUCUAUAUCUAUAGAUAGUGGUUAGCGAUAGUAUAGUGGCAUAUAGCUGUAGAGUUUACCGGCAUCCUUUACUAUUCUUGUGCAUACUUUUUGUAAAUUUAGUGGGUGAGCCGUUGAGGUCGGUAAUGGUACCCACUGAGGACUACUCUUUUUUUGCAGUAGUUCUCACACCCAGUUAUUGAUCUCUUUUUGUAGAGCCUUCUUCUGCGGCUGCUGCUAUCGUCGUUUCUGAUCGUGGAAAGGGAGUCGCGAGUUAGAUCCCUUCCAGCCUUGCUGCAGUACUAGAGGAGUACAUUCCACAGGUUGUUUUGGGGUUUUUGUACAUAUGGUCUUAUUGUCUGGGUACUCGCUAGAGCGAGUGCAGCUUCCUCACGACCCUUUUGUGCAUUCGGAUCUUCAUUGUGCCAACUCCCAAAACUUUGCAAGUUGUCCCAUUCCCCGUUAGAGCUUUUCCAUUCUUAAUCACCUUAUAGGUGGUAAAAGACUCCUUCUCUGGGCAUACGUUAAAGGAACACGUCGAAUCGAGCACCUAUAGGCAUCAUCCGAAACUUUCACACUACCAAUCGCCGCAUACAGCACAUCAGAAUUGAUUGUCUCCGACUCUGCCACCUGCGCAUUUGCUGAUAUUUUCUCGUCCUGGUUCAUCAUAAUUUUCUACUUAUGUUGUUUUAACUCUUUCAGAUCAUUCCGAAGUUCCUGACAGUUGCGCUUGAUAUGCUUUUUCCUGGGACAAUAAAAGCACUCUACCUCAGAUAGUGGCUUCUUGACGCCUCCUUCUUCGCUCUCACCACCAAAUAGUAUUCCAGCUGUGUAUGUCGGACUAUUGAGUCAUCUUCUGCAUCACGUUCAAGAGAUGCACCGCCGUGACCGUCUCUAUGCUUAUAAAGUAACAUAGUCACCAGAUGCUCAUAUGUUGCCAGUAGCGAAGAUAGCAAAAUCAACGCCUUGUCCUCGUCAUCCAGAUUGACUCCAAUACCGGUCAACUGGGCUACUACCUUGUUGAAGUCAGUCAGAUGCUCAUGUAUGCUAGCUGUUUCUUGCAUCCACAAUGUAAAUAAUCGCUACUUCAGAUACAAUCUGUUCGUCAGGAAUUUGGUUAUGUAUAGGUCUUCUAAUUUCUUCCACAAUUUCGCUGGUGUCAUCUCACUGGUUGCAUUGUAAGGAAUUUCAUUUGCUAAUAAUAGAUAAAGCAUACUCAACGCCUUCCGCUCAAUUUUCAUCCAUGUCGUAUCCGUGACCUUUGUCGGCUUCGUCUCCUUUUGGUUUAUUAGAACUAAAACCGAGAAGAUCUAGGUCGUCGGGUGCGAAAAUACCAAAAGAGAAUCGAGAACGAGAGAAGAAAAUAAAGCACACAAUAGCUACGUGGUUCGGCCAUCGGCCUACGUCCACGAGCAAAGAUGGAGUGGAGAUCUUUAUUAUAAUUAAAGUGAUGUACAAAAUAUGCCUUUCUCACAAAACUCUAAUCCUAAAAAUACACCCAUACUCUCUCUCUCAUCUUCUGCACUAAACCAAUGGAAUAAAGGGUAUAUUUAUAAUAGUGACUAAAUCCUAAUACAAGUAGGAUACAAACCGACUAAGAUUAGGAAUAUCGCAAUAAAAUUAGGCAUAAUCUAAACUUAAUUUAAUGGGAUAAUCAAAACAUAAUAGGGUUAGAAAACCUUGCGGUACUAGAAUUCGAGACAUAUAUAACAAUCUCCACCUUAGCUUAAAUUCUCUGUCUUCUCCACCAAAAUCCCAAAAGCUCCUGAAGUGCUACUGCACAUGCGAACAAGUUUACGGAAUACUUGACCUUGAUCCCCUAAAAACUUAAUGAUCAAAUCCGCGGGAUUUUCUAAAGUGCCAAUUUUCUCCUUCUCCAACUACACCUUUUGCAACUCUUUUGCAUCAAAACGACAACUUGUCGUAGAGUGAAAUUGUUGGAGCGAUCAAACUUCUCGAUCUCAAACUUCGUCGUUGCCUUAAACACCCAAACGAACAUUCCGUCUCUGGUACCAGUUUGUUAGAACUAAAACCAAGAAGAUCUAGGUCGUUCGGUGUGAAAAUACCAAAAGAGAAUCGAGAACGAGAAAAGAAAAAUAAAGGACACAAUAUUUACGUGGUUCGGCCAUCGGCCUACGUCCACGAGCGAAGAUGGAAAGGUGAUCUUCAUUAUAAUCGAAAUGGUGUACAAAAUAUGUCUUUCUCACAAAACCCUAAUCCCAAAAAUACACCUAUACUCUCUCUCAUCUUCCGCACUAAACCAAUGGAAUAAAUAGUAUAUUUAUAAUAGUGGCUAAAUCCUAAUACAACUAGAAUACAAACCCACUAUGAUUAGGAAUAUCUCAAUAAAAUUAGGCAUAAUCUAAACUUAACUUAAUGGGAUAAUCAAAACAGAAUAGGGUUAGAAGUUCUUACGGUCUGGUUUUGCGACUGUCAUCCCGAAAUACUUUAAAAUCUUCUAUAUAUAUUUUUCUUGUGUCAAAUGCAGUAAUCCUAACUUGUUGUCCCUCUUAAUUUUCAUGCCAAGAAUUUUCUUAACAGCAUCUAAAUCUUUCACCGCAAACUCACCCUUAAGUAAAGCCUUCAAUUUAUUUAUCUCAACCAUGUCACUGGAAGCAGUAAACAUAUCAUCGAUAUAGAGCAACAAAUAUAUGAAAGAUUCCUUAUCAAGUUUUCUGAAGUACACGCAACAGUCACGCUUGCUUCUAGAAUAUCCGUGACCUGCCAUUAAAGAGUCGAACCGCUUAUACCAUUGUCGAGGAGACUGCUUUAAGCUAUAAAGCAAUUUCUUUAACAGGCAAAUAUGGUCCUCCUUUCCUUCAACAAUGAAUCCCUCCGGCUGUUUCAUAUAAAUUUGCUCCUCAAGUUCUCCAUGUAGAAAAACUGUCCUAACAUCAAGCUGCUCAAUAUACAGGUCAUUCAUGACUACUAACGAUAAAAUAACACGAAUAAAAGUAUGCUUCAAGACGGGUGAGAAAAUAUCAUUAAAGUCAACACCUUCUACCUGACUGUAGCCCUUAUCAACUAAACGAGCUUUAUACCUUGUAUCUUUCAUGCUGGGGAUUCUGUCUUUUUUUCUUGAAGUCGACCCACUUGCAGCCAACAAUUUUUUUGCCUGUAGGCGAUUUUACCAACUCACAUGUCCGAUUCUUAUGAAGAGACUCCAUCUCCUCAUUCAUCGCCACCAACCGCUCUGUAGAACUGGCACUAAAAAUAGCUUGAUUAUACGUGGAAGGUUCGCCUUCUUCUUUUGUAUUUUGUGCCACUGAAAGAGCGUAAGCAACCAUAUCUUCAUAACCAUAUCACUGCAGUGGUUUGAUUUGUCUCCUCGCUCUACCUUUAGCAAUUCUCUGCUUCUCAACUUGUGGGGUUUCAUUUACUAUGGUGUCUGGAGAUUGAGCUUGUUCUGAUUGAGUAGAGUUCUGCGACUGAACUAUACCAUCGGCUUCUACCUCCACCUACUUGUUAGCACUCGGGGUCUCAUCAGAAGAAUUAUGGUUGGGAUAUAAUAUAGUAGACUCAUAAAAUGUGACAUCCCUACUAAUAAUUAAUUUAGACGAUUCAGGACACCACAAUCUAUAUCCCUUAACCCCCGAUGCAUAACCAACAAAAAUGCACUUUUUAGCCCUAAGUUCUAACUUGCCUUAAUUGACAUGAAUAUAAGCAGGACAACCAAAUAUUCGCAAAUUAGAAAAAUCAGAAGGGCUACCUGACCAUACAUCCUCCGAAAUUUUGCAAUCAAGUGCUGAAUGUGGAGAUCGAUUUACUAAAUAGCAUGCCGUAGAGAUUGCCUCUGCUCAGAAACUCUUAGCUAAGCCAGCAUUAGAAAGCAUACAACGAGCUAUCUCCAAAAGAGUUCUGUUCAUCCGUUCGGUCAUCCCGUUCUGCUGUGAAGUAUGCCUAACAGUACUUUUAUGUUUGACGAUUCCUUCAUUCUUGCAAAAUUCUUCAAACUUUGAUUAACAAAAUUCCAAACCGUUGUCGGUCCUUAAUCUCUUGAUCUUCUUUUCAGUUUGCUUCUCAAUCAUGACCUUCCACUGCUUAAAAUAAUUGAACACAUCAUCCUUACUUUUUAAAAAAAAUGCUCACACUUUACGAGAAUAGUUAUCAAUAAAAGUCAAUAUAUAUCUAGCACUACCAUGAGUAGGAGUACGUGAUGGUCCCAAAGAUCAGAACGAAUGUAGUGCAGAAUUCCUUUUGUCCGGUGAACUGCUGCCUUAAAGCUGACUCUCUUUUAUUUACCAAGAACACAAUGCUGGCAGAAGUCCAAUAAUUGUAAACUCUGACUACCAAGUAGACUUCUCUCGCUCAACUUCAUCAUACCAUAUUCACUUAUAUAGUCCAGUCGCAUAUGCUAUAAUCUGGUGCUACCAAAAUCUGAUAUAGAGGAAGAAGUCACCGCUGCUGAACUUGUCACAGUGGAACCCUAUAGAACAUAUAACAUGUCGGACAACUUGGCCUUCAUCACUACAAGAUUCCCUUUAGCGAUCUUCAUUAAUCUGUCAGCUGAAGAACAUUUAAAGCCUUUAGUAUCAAGUGUACCCAAUGAUAUCAGAUUUUUCCUCAUAUCCGGAACGUGCCAAACCUCAGAUAUAGUCCUCACUACUCCAUCGAACAUCCGUACUCGAACAGUGCCAAUUCCAAUAACUGUACACUUAGAGUGAUUUUUCAUCAAUACAACUCUACCUUGAAUAGGCUUGUAUGUCGAGAACUAUUCUCUAUGCGUACAGAUAUGGAAGGAACAUGCGGAGUCCAUAAAUCACCUAUCCUGUCUACGUGUCUUAUCCGUAACUAUGAAGACGAUAUCAUUUUUAUCUGAUUCUCCUGCUGCAACACUUGCUUCUUCUUCAGUAUUGGUAUUUUUCUGACCUUGACUUUUAUCAAAAUUAUUUUUCUACUGCUCUUUAUUUUUCAACUUGAAACAAUAAGCUUUUAUGUAACCAUUUUUCUUACAAUAACCACAAAUCAGAUUCCCGUGCUUUGACUUUAAUUUAGAUGUACCUCUAUUAUCGAAACCUUUCUCUCGAGACCUCCUAAUCAGAUUCCUGUGCUUUGACUUUGAUUUAGAUGUACCUCUAUUACCGAAACCUUUCUCCCGAGACCUCCCUCUAGCGACCAAAUCUUGUCCUGAAGCUCCACCUCUCUCAUUGCUUAUCUGGAUGUCAAUUCUCUCUUUUGAAAGUAAAGAGAAUUUAACAUCAUCGAGACAUAGAACAUAAUAAUAAAAGGACUUCAUCUUCCUCCUCGAUUUUAACAUCUAUCUAGCAGAGAUCCAUAAUAAUAUAUUUAAAUUCAUCUAAAUACGACUUAAUAUAUAGAGGUACCUUCCACCAUGCGUAACAUGAAGAGACGUUGCUUCAAAUAUAACUUGUUGGUGAGGGACUUCGUCAUGUAGAGAGACUCCAAUUUAAGCCUAAGCCCUACAACGAUCUUUUCAUCCAAGACCUCGCGCAAUACCUCAUCGGAUAAAUAUAAUUGUAUUGCUGUAAGACCUCGCGCAAUACCUUACCUGCUCCGGCGUCAAAGAAUCAGACAUCUUUUUUUUUUCCCAACAAUUCCUUCUGCAAUCUUUGUUGCGUCAAUAUAGCACGCAUCUUGACUUGCCAUAAUGCGAAACUGUUUGUCCUGUCAAAUUACUUCAUCGUCAUCUUAAUCCUCAAAGGGAAUUGAAAGGCUCUGAUACCAGUUUAUUAGAACCAAAACCGAAAAGAUCUAGUUCGUCGGGUACAAAAAUACCAAAAGAGAUCCGUGAAAGAGAGAAUAUUUACGUGGUUCGGCCACCGGCCUACGUCCAUGGGCGAAGACGGAGCGCUUCAUUAUAAUCAAAGUGGUGUACAAUAUAUGCCUCUCGAAAAACCCUAAUCCUAAAAAUAUAUCCAUACUCUCUCUUAUCUUCCGCACUGAACCAAUGGAAUAAAGGGUAAAUUUAUAAUAGUGGCUAAAUCCUAAUACAACUAGGAUACAAACUCACUAAGAUUAGGAAUAUCAAUAUCUCAAUAAAAUUAGGCAUAAUUUAAACUUAACUUAAUGGGAUAAUCAAAACAAAAUAGGAUUAGAAAACCUUGCGGUACUAAAAUUCGAGAUAUAUCUAACACGGUUCAACGUCUCGUCCAACUCUCAUUGUACCAGGAUUGCCCACACUUUAAUUUGCCACAAUCUGAAAUUGUUCUUACUGUCGAACUUCUCGAUUUCGAACUUCGUGAUCAUCUCUAUUGAUCUCUCCAGCAGAUCGGUAAUCUUAAGCUCUAAUACCAAUUGUUGGAAAUUUGGUACUAGCCUUGAUUCUAGAUCUUGAGAAUCUGUAACUCAUUUUGAUACUGUCAAAUCGGAUUUUUACUAUAAACCCGUCUCCUCAGCAAAAUGUGAUACAAUCACGAAAGAGAGAAAAUCAAAACUAAAAAUAUGCAGAUGAAAUAAGAUUUAUUAAAUAAGAGAAGAUUAUAACUAACUACUCUUCUACAACAGAAUAGCUUCAAAUCCGAGCCCUUUUUUUUUUAAAUCUCUCCUACCCUUCUCGUCUUUUAUAAAUCUAAAAGACCACACUCUCUUUUUCUUUCUCACAUGCACCCGUGCACUAGAUGCAUACAACCGGGCCUAGGCUUCUCCAUGGUACGGUCGCUACCAUAAAAGGCUCUUUCUCACCCUAGCUAACUCCACCAAAGCUAUUCAACUUUUGCAUACAGUGUUCUAUAUAUAGAGCUCACCCAAGAAGACCCAAAUCAUAGGAUAAUUAUAUAUAAAUCCUAAUUUAUUUAAUAUUUAAAUUUAUAUUAAUUUAUCUCUAAUAGAUUUAAAUAUUUCUAAUAAAUAUUUAAAUCUUAAUUGGUUGGUCACCAAUAGAUUUAAAUAUUUAUUCUAAUCCAAUUAGGAAUCAACUAUAUACAAAUCUAACCAAAUCAUAACAUUGCACAUGUGUAAAGCCGUAUGGUUCUUCGUACAAGUAUAAAAAAAUGAUUAUGAAAAACUCUUUUUAAAAUUUUUCGUCCGUUUGGUUUGAAGGAAAGCAAGUAUUCUUGUAAAUCUUUUUUCAUAUUUGAUGAAAACCCAGCAUUUUUGUUAUCAGAUUCUUUUUUUAGAAAAACGAAGAUACUAAUUUAACAUAAAAUAUGAAAAAAAAAAAAACAUAAAAGCUUCUUAUUUUUCAAACCAAACGGACAGAAACUAAAAAAAUAGAUUUUCAUGAAAAACUUUUUCAUGAAAUUUUUUUUUUCACUUUUUCGAGAAACCAAAUAGCUCCAUGGUGUCUCAGCUACAUACAAAAUUAAUAUUAUUAUCGGCAUAUUAGGAGUUUUCUACGAGUGCCUGUUUUGUACAUAAAACUAUACCAUACAAAAUAAAGAGUAAUUUUAUAGGUCCUCUACUGACCUUAUCUUGUGUAAUUGGUUAAAGACUCGGUGGUUAAUAUCUGAGAUUUCAAGUUCGAAGCCUAACUUCUUCAUAUCUCUAGUUUAGUUUAUUUUUUUAAAAAAUGAAUGAAGUGGUUAGAGCUUACUACUAUCUUCUUCUCUCAAAAAAAAAAAAAAUUAUAGAUCAUGUAAACACUGCUUUAUGUACAUACUGUCCAUAAGUUGGCGUAUAUGAUAUAAAAUUUUUUUAAUUCAUUUAUGUUUUACGUAUGCAGUCUGAAAAUGCCACAAAUGUUUGCCGACAAAUAGAAAUCUAGAAGGGUAGCAUUUUGAAAGACCCAAACGUUUAUCAUAAAGAAAAGAAAAGAAAGAGAAAAAUUAGGGAUGUAACUGAAGUCCUACUUCCAAUCCUAGUUAGUUAAUUCACGAAUUAUUCACGAAUUAUUCGCGAAUUAUUGAAAAUCCGAAUUAAACGGUCCGUUUACUAUUUUUCCCAAAUAAAGAGAAUUAUUCGCAAAUUUUUGGGCUAGCUGAAUUGUUCGUGAAUUAUUCCCGAAUUAUUGAAAAUAUAAAUAAAAAACUUAUAAUUUUUAUUUUUAAAUAUAAAUUAUCUUAUAUUUUAUAUUUUAUACCGAAUCCAUUUUUUAAGCCGAAUUUUUCACCGAAUUUAAAAAUUAGAAAACGAAUUUUAUGCGUAUUGUUGGAACAGAUUGUGAUAAAGGUAUGAAAUAGAAAGAUUAAAAAGGCUUCAAGGCGUGUAGCAAUGCCACUUUCCUUAAGGCUUAAUCCGUCCCCACCGUUCUAACAAUUUGGUGUGCACCGGGUCAACGAACAACCUCCCAGGAUACAAUGAAGCGUAAACCUCAACUGCGUUUGCACACACGAAGUCGAGCCUUUGAGCACUCACUCGAUUAAGUUGUCAAAAGAAAUAGAAUAUAAAACAAGAAUGGAAUUAUUAUGAAUGAAGACUUCAACUCUUCAACUGUUUUCUGUCUGUCUCCUUCUGCAACCAAUGCUAUGGACUUAUAUAGGCCACGAACGGGUGCUUCAUGAAGUAACUAUUCACGAAAGGGUGUUUCGUGAAGUGACCUUUCGAUUGUGACUUUUCAUUUGAUCAUAACUACCAAAUAGUUAUAUGAAUCAAGUUCAAUGAAUAUAACCAUUGAUUCCAACGGGCAUAUGUACGAAGAGACACACUAUAAAGAUGUGUCUUUUCAUAUCAUAUUCUUUCACUAAAAGUCACAUCCUUUCACUCUAAGAGUCAUACCCUUUGAUUAGAGUUGCAUCCACUCACUAAGGGUUGCAUCCAUUCACUAAGAGUUGCAUCCAUUCACUAAGGAUUGCAUCCUUUCACGAAGAAUCACAUCCAUUCACUAAAAACAAUAAACAAAAUAUAUUAUUUUAAAAUUUUCCUUACAAUUCCCCACCAAAUUUUAAAAUACAUAAAAAUACAUCAAAAAGCAAAAUAAAACAAAAUCAAAAAUCAAAAUCAAAAUUCUUGACAACUUGACAAAACCGUAUGCAUAGGUGUAGGUGUAUUAAAACUUGAACCUACACUUAGUGAAAACACAUCAAAGUUAGUCAUAAUUGAAUGGUAGACAAGCUUUGAACCAACAAUUAUUUUCGACUAACCGGACAUAUCUCACACAUAGAAAUUUAUAAUCAGUCGAGUGCUCUAUUUUAUUGCUGACACUUUUAUGGCCUUGUGUCCGCAUCCUGUUUCAUGAAUGCUGUUAGAGUCAAGCCCUUAACUCCUAGAAGCGGCCACACUUCACAUUCAUAUAGGUAGACUCUACCAGAAGUGUCCCGUAUUUAACACUUCAGUAAAUACUACUGUAGGUCUAUUAAGAACUUUAUUAGUUCAACCUUCCCUUUUCAAUACGGAUACCAAGCACUUUACUUGGGAUGGAAAUUUUAUAUUAUAGUGCUUGCAAUCACUCCAUAUGAUGUACUUUGGCUCAUUGAACUUAAGACUUGAUGAUGUUUCAAGUGUUAAGUCGAGUUUCCAUCAUUGGUGACUUUGUAAUAUGGGCUUGAGACCCAUCCCCAUCGAUGUCCUGAAUAUCAAUUCUCUUGGAAGUCCCUUAGUCAACGGAUCCGCAAGAUUUUGGUUUGAUCUUACAAAAUCAAUGGUAAUUAUGCCAUCUGAUAUCAGUUGUUUUACAUAGCUAUGUCUUAAUCCAAUAUGUCUUGACUUCCCAUUGUAUGUUUGACUAUAUGCUCUUGAGAGCGUAGCUUCACUAUCGCAAUGUAGCGAUACCGGCGGCAUUGGUUUUGGCCAAACUGGAAUUUCAUAUAAUAAAUUCCUUAUCCAUUCCGCCUCCUUACUAGCAGACGCUAGUGCUAUAAAUUCUGCUGCCAUGGUAGAGUCCGCUAUACAUGUCUGUUUCUUAGAACCCCAAGAAAUCGCACCUCCACCUAAUAUAAAUAUCCACCCACUUGUGGAUGCAUGAUCUUCUUGAUCUGUUAUCCAACUGGCAUCUGUAUAGCCUUCCAAUACUGUUGGAUAUCCACUAUAGAAAAUUCCAUAGUCCAUUGUCUUUUUCAAAUAUUUCAAAAUUCUGUAAAUAGCAUGCCAAUGUACAUUACCUGGAUUGCUAGUAAAUCUACUUAAUUUACCAACAGCAAAUGCAAUAUCAGGCCUAGUACAAGACAUGGCAUACAUCAAACUUCCAAUAAUCUUAGAAUAUUCUAACUGAUUAAUUGAUCUACCAGUAUUACGAACUAGUUUUAGAUUAGGAUCAAAAGGAGUUGAUACUGGAGUACAAUCAAAAUAACCAAAUUUUCUAAGAAUCUUUUCGAUAUAAUGAGACUGUGUUAAAAAUAAUCCAUUAUUUUCACGAAUAAUUUUAAUUCCCAAAAUAAUAUCAGCCUCCCCCAUAUCUUUCAUAUCAAAAUUGCAAGAUAAAAAAUUUUUAGUAUUUUCUACUUGCUGAACAUCGGUGCCAAAAAUUAACAUGUCAUCAACAUAUAGACAUAUAAUAACACCUUUACCAUUUGAAAAUUUACUAUAAACACAUUUAUCAGAUUGAUUAAUUUUAUAACCAUUGGAAAGAACAAUCUGAUCAAACUUUUGAUGCCAUUGUUUAGGUGCUUGUUUAAGCCCAUACAACGACUUGAUAAGUUUACACACUUUGUGCUCUUGUCCAGGAACAACAAAGCCCUCGGGCUGUUCCAUAUAAACUUCUUCAUCUAAUUCUCCAUUUAAGAAUGCUGUUUUGACAUCCAUUUGAUGAAUAAUCAAAUUAUACAUUGAAGCAAGAGCAAUCAAAGUUCUAAUAGUCGCUAAUCUGGCAACAGGUGCAUAGGUAUCAAAAUAAUCAAUGCCUUCUUUUUGUGUAAACCCUUUGGCAACAAGUCUUGCCUUGAAUUUAUCUAUGGUGCCAUUUACAUUGAUUUUCUUUUUGAAAAUCCAUUUACACCCAAUAGGUUUACAUCCAGGAGGAAGAUCAACUAAUUUCCAUGUUUGGUUUGUCAUAAUUGAGUCCAUUUCAUCAUUUAUCGCUUCUUUCCAAAAAGCGACAUCAGGAGAUUUCAUUGCCUCCUCAAAUGUUGUGGGGUCUGAGUCAAUGUUUAAACAAAAUUGGAAACUUUCUGUAAUCAUUUCUCUACUACCCUCAACAAGAAAAGUAUAAAAAUCUGGUCCAAAUGUUUUAGCAAUUCUAACUCUUUUACUCCUUCUAAGUUCUGGGGUUUCAAUUGCAACAUCAUUUUUCUCAUUGGAGUGUUCUUUACUCACAAUAAGUUCUUUGGGUCUAGGAAUUGAUACAAAUCUGUUUUCAUCAAAUAUAGCAUCUUUAGAUUCAAAAACUGUGUUGAUCUCAAUGAAGUCAUUAGAUUCAAUCACGUAAAAUCUGUAUGCUUUACUAUGUUGUGCAUACCCAAUAAAUAUGCACUCAAUUCCUCUUUCACCCAGUUUCUUUCUUUUCGGUUCUGGAACCCUCACAAUAGCUCUACAACCCCAAACUUUUAAAUAAUUUAAAUUGGGCUUUCUUCCCUUGAAUAAUUCAUAAGGAGUUUUAUCAUUCUUUUUUGUUGGGAUUCUAUUUAGUAGAUGGCAAGCUGUUAAUAAAGCUUCGCCCCAAAAUCCAUAACUUAACCCAGAGUUAGAAAGCAUAGCAUUGACCAUUUCCAUUAAUGUUCUAUUUUUUCUUUCUGCAACUCCGUUUUGUUGUGGAGUAUAAGGUGCAGAGGUUUCAUGUAUAAUACCAAUGGACUCAAAAAAUGAAGGAUCAUAAUAUUCUCCUCCUCUGUCUGUUCUUAGGCAUUUGACCAUUUUCUCACAUUUCACCUCAACUUCAGAUUUAUAAAUUCUAAAUUUAUCUAGCGCUUCAUUUUUAGAAUGCAAAAGAUAAACAUAACUAUAUCUAGAAAAAUCAUCAAUAAAUGUAACAAAAUAUUUCUUUCCACCAAUAGAAGGAGAAGCAUGCAAGUCACAAACAUCACUAUGUACCAACUCAAGUAGAUUAGAACAUCUAUCAAUUUUAGGAAAAGACUUUCUAGUAAUUUUAGUGAGCAUGCAAGUAUUACAUUUUUCUAAUUUAUUAUCAAAAUUAGGAAUUAACUCUAACUUAGCCAUAUCUUGUAAUUUUCUAUAAUUAACAUGUCCUAAACGAUUAUGCCAUAAAGAAGAAGAGUCAAUAAUAUAGGCUGAAAUAUUUAUUUUAUUAAUAAGAUUGAGUUUGAACAUGCCCUCAUACAAAUAUCCUUUUCCCACAAAGAUUCCACCCUUCGACAAAAUAAAUUUGUCGGCCUCAAAUACAAGUUUGAACCCAAAUUUGUUAAGAAGACUUCCUGAAAUAAGAUUCUUCCUAACUUCAGGUACAUGAUACACAUCGGUGAGAGUGAGAGUUUUUCCUGAUGUGAACUCGAGUUCCACCUUGCCCUUUCCUUUGAUUUGUGCUGUUGAAGAAUUGCCCAUAUAGAGAACGUUUCCAUCCUCCAAUGCAUCAUAAGUUUUGAAUAAACUUUUAUCCUUGCACACAUGCCUUGUGGAACCCGAAUCAAUCCACCAAGCUCCGUCAUCUUCGAGUAUAUUAGCCUCGGAUAUCAUAGCCACAAAAUUUCUUUUGGAAUCCGGUGCACUUUCCUUUUUGAGGAACCGACAUUCUUUCUUGUAGUGGCCUGGUUUACCACAAUGAAAGCAUGCACCUUUCUUUUUCUUAUUUGUCAUGUUGUGGUUGAUCGGAUGCUUAGCUCUCUUUCGAUUUUCUUUUGUGGGUUGACGGGUUUUACUAUACUCAUCUUCCGUCACAUACACUUUGGCACUCUGAGCAUCUUGCUCCUUUUUGCUAUCUUGCAAACGAUAUUCUUCUUCUAUGCGAAGAUGGUUAGCCAAAUCUUUAAGAGUAAUCUCUUCCUUUCUAUGUUUAAGACUUUUCUUAAAGUCUUUCCAUGAUGGAGGAAGUUUAUCGAUUAUAGAGGCCACAAUUAUAGAUUCAUCCAUAUUCAUAUUAUGUUGAGUAAAUUGAUUGAGAAUAUGUUGAAUUUCAUGUAAUUGAUCUAGAACAGAUCUACUAUCAACCAUUUUAUAGUUAUUAAAUUUGCUAACAAGAAACUUCUUACUUGUGGCAUCCUCGGAUUUGUAUUUUUCUUCAAGGCCUUCCCACAGUUCUUUAGCCGUUUUCACAUUUUGAUAGACGUCGAAAAGCGCAUCCGACAUAGCAUUUAGAAUAUUGCCUCGGCAUAUAUUGUCAUCUUCAUCCCAUUUUUGUCUUGUACGAGUUUGUGCAACAGGUUCAUCAUCGUUUUCUUCUGGUCUUGGAGUAGUGAGGACAUAAGCAACUUUGAGAGUCGACAGAAGGAAAAAUAAUUUCUUCUGCCAGCGUCUGAAGUCCAUGCCAUCAAAUCUUUCUAGUCUCAUAAAGUUUGUUGCCAUCUCUCGUAGAGUAGCAGUCGACAUUUUCGGUUUUAAGCCUUAAGAUUGUUGGAACAGAUUGUGAUAAAGGUAUGAAAUAGAAAGAUUAAAAAGGCUUCAAGGCGUGUAGCAAUGCCACUUUCCUUAAGGCUUAAUCCGUCCCCACCGUUCUAACAAUUUGGUGUGCACCGGGUCAACGAACAACCUCCCAGGAUACAAUGAAGCGUAAACCUCAACUGCGUUUGCACACACGAAGUCGAGCCUUUGAGCACUCACUCGAUUAAGUUGUCAAAAGAAAUAGAAUAUAAAACAAGAAUGGAAUUAUUAUGAAUGAAGACUUCAACUCUUCAACUGUUUUCUGUCUGUCUCCUUCUGCAACCAAUGCUAUGGACUUAUAUAGGCCACGAACGGGUGCUUCAUGAAGUAACUAUUCACGAAAGGGUGUUUCGUGAAGUGACCUUUCGAUUGUGACUUUUCAUUUGAUCAUAACUACCAAAUAGUUAUAUGAAUCAAGUUCAAUGAAUAUAACCAUUGAUUCCAACGGGCAUAUGUACGAAGAGACACACUAUAAAGAUGUGUCUUUUCAUAUCAUAUUCUUUCACUAAAAGUCACAUCCUUUCACUUUAAGAGUCAUACCCUUUGAUUAGAGUUGCAUCCACUCACUAAGGGUUGCAUCCAUUCACUAAGAGUUGCAUCCAUUCACUAAGGAUUGCAUCCUUUCACGAAGAAUCACAUCCAUUCACUAAAAACAAUAAACAAAAUAUAUUAUUUUAAAAUUUUCCUUACACGUAUUAUAUCCGUAUUGAAUUUUUGCUGAAUUUGAAUUAACUAUCUAUGCUUCCAAUUGGCCAAAUAUUAAAGGGAUCACUUUAAGAUCGCCAAUACAUUCCCUUCUCUUUUAAAGUGUUGAUACCAAAAUUAAGCCGACCUAAUCCACGUAUGAGCCAAUAAGGACACGUGGUACACUAGGAGUCGACAAUAAGGCGCCUGAAGGACAAGAAGGCGGGAACGGUUGAAGAUUAGGGCGUAACUUCCAUGAGGAGUUAGCGUAACUUCCAUGAGGAGUUAGUAUAACUUCCACGAUCAUGGUUACAACCACUCGCCCCAACUACUUUCAACCAAAUAAUAAUGUGAGCUAUAAAUAGUAACUUUGAAGCCUGCAAUAGGGGUCUUUGCCCCUGCGCACAAAAGACCACCCUUAUUUUCUCUGCAUUUUAUCGCUUUUCUAGGAGUAGUCUAAAUGUAAUCUUUUUCUUUUCCGCAUUUACUGCUUUCCUAGGAGUAGUUCUUGUAACUUAGAUCUUUGGAGUCUGUCUGCCCCAUGGGCAUCACUUUCUUAUAGAUCUUUGGAGUCUGUCUGCCCCAUGGGCAUCACUUCCUUGUAGAAUAUACUUGGAGUCUGUCUGCCCCACGGGCAUCACUCCCCUGUUCUUGUACUCUUCCAUUCCCUAUUCAAUAGAAAGUCACGUUCGGCUAUUCGGGUCGACCAGAUUUUGCGUUGUGCUAGCCAUUCGGCUCAUCUCCCGGCUUAACUUCCGACUUUCCCUGCAUAUUCGGCUUAUCCAGCCGAACCGGAGAGUAAAAAGAGUUUUCGAACCCGGCUGACCCGAUCUCUCGUCAGCCGAAUCGCUUGAUCCUCUGUGGGCGCGUACUUCGAGGGUCAUAAUCCGCAGCCAUCUCGCAGCCCGAUGAUCUUUCCAAGGAGAAUUGUUGACCGGGUCAAGAGUCAGGACGUUCGGCUACCAACAAUUUUUUGGCACGCCCGGUGGGACUCCUUUUUAGGUAAAUUUAUAUAUAAAUUAUGGCUGAUAAUGUACGUAAUAGGGUUGUUCCUAGAAAUUCUGGGAGUGAUCAACCUAGUGAUUCAGACAAUGCUGGCGAAUGUCAAGCAGUUUUGCCAGUUGAAGGAGAAACUAGUGGACAGUCGGCUCAUCAAGAGCCGAGUCUAACUCAGGCACUCGGCCAGAUGAGCCGAGUCCUGCAAACUUUAGAUCAAAAUAUCCAUCAAAGUACCGCUCGACUAGACGCGGUGCUGGCCGCUAUCACGGCCUAUAAUGAAAAUAUUGCACGAAUAGGGCAAUUAUUGACUCGAAAUGAGCAACCAAUGACAGGCUUACAAAGGCCUAUGAUGACACCAGUGUUGCAAAAUCCUGCGACACCGGUAAAUGGACAGCCCCAAUACCAGGGGGCACCAUUCCAAGCGGCUUACAGACCGGCCGUCGUCAAUACCGGUCAACAGCCGGAAAUUACAUGGGGAUUGCCACCACCUCCGCCGAUGGCAGCAUACCAGCCCCAAAAUGUAGGGGCUAGAGCUGGGGGGCAGGCCCCUAAUGAUAUGCAAGGAGCGAACCCUGCAAUACAGAAUUCUGGAGUUCCUCAAGGGCCAAAUUCGGCUCAAGCACAAGCUCCGCUGUAUGCUCAGAUUGAGGAAGUCAUUCGGAAUACCUUCGGAGUAGGGGCCAGGCCGGCUAUGCGGCCUGUUUUUCGAUCCCCGUAUCCAGCAAACAUAGAUACAGAGCAUCCGUAUCCGGCAAACUGGAAAAUGCCGAAGUUCGACAAGUUCUCGGGCGAUGAGACCGAGAAUACGGUCGAGCAUAUAGCCCGGUUCACGGCCCAAUGUAGAGAAGCGGCCGCUGACUCAUUUUUGAAACUUCGAUUAUUUAACACGUCGUUAACUAAAACGGCGUUUACUUGGUAUACAAGUUUAUCAGCCAAUUCCGUCCAAGAUUGGGACGAAUUGGAAAGAAAAUUUCAUGAGCGAUUCUAUAGAUCGGAGCCACAAUUAUCGGUCGCCGACUUGGCUUUAUACCGACAAAUGUCAGGUGAAACGGUCGAAGAGUAUUUGGACCGUUUCAAAAUAGCCAAAACCCGGUGCUUUAUGAGAAUGCCGGAAUCAGAGUUCGCCAAAAUGGCGUUAAAUGGUCUGCAUUUUAAGAUAAAAGACCAUUUUGAAGAUAAGUAUUUUUCUAACCUAUUUGAUCUAGGUGUUCGAGUUGCCCAAUACGAGCAAUUUCAGAAGAAAAGUGAGGACGAUCGGCUGCAAUGGAGCCGAUAUAAAAAUCAAAGCAAAGGCAAGGAGAAAUCCUUGCUAGAAGAACAGUCGGUUCAAGAAGAGCCGAGCCAAUCGAGUGAAAGUGAAGAAUCGGCUGAUGAAGCCGAGAUAUAGCCACUUUCUUUAAAAAGAAUUUCUUGAUAGAAAAACAUUCGGUUCAAGAAGAGCCGAACUAAUCGAAUAAAAGUAAAGAAUCGGCUAAUGAAGCCAAGAUAUAUGUGGCUGGGAUGAUGAAGCGUCGUUUUCCUAAAGCCGACCAAGACCAGCGAAACUAAAGCUUGGGUCUCGGCUGUGCUUUUGAACAGUCGAUUUGACACCAAUAGUCAUCCGAAUGUUCAUUCGAAAGACUAUUGGGGGGCAUUGUUGAUACCAAAAUUGAGCCGACCUAACCCACGUAUGAGCCAAUAAGGACACGUGGAACACCAGGAGUCGGCAAUAAGGCGCCUGAAGGACAAGAAGGCGGGAACGGUUGAAGAUUAGGGCGUAACUUCCAUGAGGAGUUAGCGUAACUUCCAUGAAGAGUUAGUAUAACUUCCACGAUCAUGGUUACAACCACUUGCCCCAACUACUUUCAACCAAUUAAUAAUGUGGGCUAUAAAUAGUAACUUUGAAGCCUGCAAUAGGGGUCUUUGCCCCUGCGCACAAAGACCACCCUUAUUUCCUCUGCAUUUUAUCGCUUUUCUAGGAGUAGUCUAAAUGUAAUCUUUUUCUUUUCCGCAUUUACUGCUUUCCUAGGAGUAGUUCUUGUAACUUAGAUCUUUGGAGUCUGUCUGCCCUAUGGGCAUCACUCCCUUGUAGAAUAUACUUGGAGUCUAUCCGCCCCACGGGCAUCACUCCCCUGUUCUUGUACUCUUCCAUUCCCUAUUCAAUAGAAAGUCACGUUCGGCUAUUCUGGCCGACCAGAUUUCGCGUUGUGCUAGCCAUUCGGCUCAUCUCCCGGCUUAACUUCCGACUUUCCCUGCAUAUUCGGCUCAUCCAGCCGAACCGGAGAGUAAAAAGAGUUUUCGAACCCGGCUGACCCGAUCUUUCGUCAGCCGAAUCGCUUGAUCCUCUGUGGGCGCAUACUUCGAGGGUCAUAAUCCGCAGCCGUCUCGCAGCCCGACGAUCUUCCCGAGGAGAAUUGUUGACCGGGUCAAGAGUCGGGACGUUCGGCUACCAACAUAAAGAUUUGCAAAUUUAUAACAAACUAGGCCAUUGAGUAAUGACACAAGAAGGAAAUGGAGACGUAUUAAGUGUGAUUUUAUCCUAAGCCUUAGUUUGGUAUUGAGGUUCAUCUGGCGUUAUUAAAUAAAAUGAAAUUAGGAUAAAAAGCAUAUAGGGAUAUACUUUUGUGUUUUCCGUUGGUACCGCAGAAAAUAUAUCGUAACCGACUAUUUGUGAUGUACGGAACACAAAAUUACGUACGGAAACAAACAUAGUAUUUUUCUAUCGUAAUUUCUCACCGCACAUAACGCAAUCUUUCCGCAAUCCCAAACGACAACACUCUCUCUAGAUGUGUAUGUUCUCACGUUGCAGGUCCAAUACUACAUAUCAAACUUCUGAUUUAUAUAUGUUGAGGACACAUUUGACCUCCUUUGUGUUCUAUAUUUUCCUUUUUCUUUUUCUUCAAAUGUUUUUGAAAGUUAAAGACACCUAAAUAGAGAUAAUAAUUAAGUUAAAUUUAAGUUUGAUGUGAUUCUAAAGUUAGAAUAUAGUUACUACAUGAUUUUUCAUUAUUAUAGGUAAGAAUAGGAGUCCAGUGGCGUGAAAUAGUUGUUCAUCUUUAAAACCCCCUUUUUUUAGGGGCAAUUGCUUAUAUAUUCCUGAAAAGUUUCCGACUUUCUGAUUUACCCCCUUUAGAAGGGUAAUAUUGAAAAUACUCUUUUUGCGUUCCAAUCUAUUUCAAAUAUACCCAUAGAGUUAAAAUCUUUUAAUGAACUCUCUUAUUUUUAUGAAAUUACUAUUUUGCCCUUUCAAAUAUAUCUUUCUACCGGCACCCACUUUUCUUAUUUGCCCUUAAGUUAGGGGUACAAAAAGUAUUUUGCUUUUUGAUCUUUUCAAAUAAACUCUUCUACCAUUACCAACAUUUCUUAGCUGCCCUUAAGUUAAGGGUAAAAGUGGCAUUUUAAUUUUUUUAACUGUGAUAGAUAUUUAACUCAUGUUUAAUCUAAGUUAACUUAACGGGUGAUAAUUGUAGGGAUAUUUUGGAAUAAUGGAGGAACAUAUGAGGGGUAUAUUGGAAAGCAAAAAAAAAUAGAGGUAAUGAGAUAUUUCCGAGAUUUUGAGGGAUAUAUAGGCAAUUAUCCCUUUUUUUUAUGAGAGAGAAAGAGAGAGAGAGAGGUAGCAUGCUACGUACGUACCUACUUUGCUUAUUUUUUAUAAAUAAAUUCAACUAAAAAUAUGAAGCAACUAGAUUUUAAAUUUGGAAUUUCAAGUACCAACCAUCAAGUACUUAGCCAACUGCAUUUGGUAUGGUCGGUUUCAUCUCUAAAAGCUUAGGCCAGUGUAGAAUAGUAGUUUUGAUAAUUUACAUUCAACAACACAGCCUCAUGUCUGUGCUGAGGCUAAAUGAACUAAAUGAACUCAGCUUAGGCUAGUGUAGAAUAAUUUGUCGAGUUGAACCAAAUGAACUCGAGACUUUCUACUUUAAUACCACUAAAAAUAAGUGUCUCUAAAAACCUUACGAUACAACAGUAAUUUGUAUUCACCAAACUGUGCAAAUUAAGUGUCCUAAUUUGUCUAGUACCUAUUUCAUUUUUUCAAUUCACAGGUUUCUUUCGAAGUAAUAGGAACAUAAGCAUGCAUAAAUGGAACUAAUUUGUGAGACAUCUUGUGACGCCUCAACUUUUCAGGGGAUCAUCCAUUCUAGGAAUACUUUCAUUCUAGCACCUUUAACUCUCUUAACCUUUUGGGUCUAACUACCAUCCAAAAUGUUUAAGCCGGGUUAAAAGUUUUAUUCCUAUUAUAUCUUAUAUAUAGAACUAAUUGAGGUCUCACACAUCUCUUUUUCAAAAUC
rnacentral:lncRNA from 1 species